CAUGCCAAGGCUAGUAUGCAUAUGCAAGAUUGAGCUUUUCAACACCUAGUAAAUACUCAAGCAUUAUCAAGACCCCUCUUAAUAGUACAACAUUCUAUCUUAUCAACCCGGUUUUUUCUCCACUAAUCACCGAGACCGGCAACAUAAAAUGCCCUACAUUUCAUACCUUUGCCUUGUGCAAAUUCACUUGGGUCUAGCUUGAUGCUAAUAUGCAUAUCAUGUCGAUCACCAUCAUUUCUUUUGGGCACUUGAUGUUCAUCAACAUAUAGACUCUACCCAUUUCAUCUCAUCAACACACUUGAUGUCGGUCAACACAUGAUUUCCAUCUUCUAACUCCUCACUACAUCAUUUGACUCUCAUCAACACAUGAUGAUUCUUCAUUUUCAUUUCUUCAAGCCAUGUGAUGUCCUUCACUACAUGAAGUAUAUCAUUUGAUUUCACUGCUUAUCUUCUUUCAUUCUUCAUAUGAUUGAUGCGGAUUACUCAUAGCUUCAUAUGGCCUCUCAUGGUCCAUCGGCCAUAAGCCUUUACUCGCCCUUCACCACUGCUUGAUCCAUCGGCGCCAAGCCUCUUGCUUGCCCUUCACCCUUGCAUGGUCCAUUGCAACCGAGUCUUGCUUUCCCUUCACCAUCUUACCACAUGAAAACACUUUGUAUCCCAUAUCUUCAAUGUAUUCACUUUCUCAUUCACUCCAUCCAACACCAUAUACUUGUUGAUCACAAAAUCAUCAUGCCCGUGCUUUUGAUCUUCAUCAACUCAUGAUGUUCAUAUUUUUUCACACCUUCUCAACAAGUAUCCAUUGACACAUAAUGUCUUGUUGUCAUCAAUCACAACCUCAACUUGUUGCUCCUCAACCAAUGAUCUAUCAACCCUUAUCUUGAUGCCAAAACUCAACCUAACACAUCAACUCAUGUAAAUAGUUAGUCCCACGCAUCUGGUGUCAUUAAUCACCAAAACUCACCAUAGCACAAUGGUAGAGGCCUAGAUCCUUCAAUCUCCCCCUUUUUAGUGAUUGAUGACAACUCGAUCACAUAAAGAGAGAUAAUUAAGAGUUGCCUCUUAGUAUAUGCCAACAUUUACAUGAGUCAUAUACUAGAGGUUUUGUUUCAACUAAUGAAACACCAAUCAUAGAGUGAGCUCCCCCUAAAUAUGUGCAUAUAAGUAUAUGAAAGUGAAACAAUCAUAUGCACAUUUGAGAUGAAACUCCAUGUGAAGUUCACUCUAUGCUUGGAACCUUACCUCAAGAUUCCAAGAGCAUCUCUCCAUACACAUGACUCUCCCAUUUUGGCAUCAAGCACCGAAAAGGAAAAAUAUGCCAAGUAUAUGAUGGACUACACAAGUCAUGCAUUUACUCAAAGAGAGAUAUGUCACAAGUAAAGACCAAAUUUAAGGUGUGACAAGAACAAAAUGGAUCAAUACUUGUAAGACAACAUAAUAUAGCAUGAACUCCCCCUAAGCAUGUGCAUACAUAUGUGGGAAAAAAAUAAGAAACCUAUGCACAUAUGCAAUUUCAUAGAUAUAAAGAGUUCAUCCUAUAUGAAUCCAAGGGAUGCAAUUUAAAGAAAUGAAAUAACAAAAUUAUAGCAUACCUUUGGAAUCACAUUAUAUCCAUCGUGAGACCAAAUAAAUUAGAACUCAAUAAAUGUUAGUCUCAAGAUCUCAACAUAGAUGAGAAAUUCUCUCCUCAAGAUGAGUAUACAUAGAUAUUCAAGAUAAACAUAUGCACAUUUUUAUGUUGAGAGCAAUGGAGAAUAUUUUAUCCUAUAUUUCAGAGUUCUAUCAUAGGAAAGCAAUUUAAGAAAAUAUGAUAAGAAUUUCAAGAUGCAUACCUUUUGAUAUAUUCACCUUUCCACCAAAUGAGAUUAGACAAUAUGAACUCAUUUAAACCAUUAGUCUUACAAGGUAUGGAAUAAGAUCCCCUUACAAAGUGUUCAUAAAAGAAUACACAAGGUAUACAUAUGCACUUUCACAUAUAAGGGUCAAGAGGGGAGUCUACACCAUUUCUUUAUGUUCAAGGAAGCAACAAUCAUGCAAGCAUGGACUUUAAGCACAAGUGGUGAAAAAUAUGCAUCCAUGAACAAAAAUGAGGCAAACAUAUACUAUACUGCUCACAAUGAACUAUAUUGCACAACAGGAACAAUAAACAUGAGUGUUAGAUAGCAAUGAAGCACAACUCAUGAACUCACCUCUCUAUUUAACUUCUCAAUUCUCAUGGAUAGAAUCACCAAAAAUGACUUGAUCCUCAAUAUUGUGAAGUUGAAGCUCAUAGAUCAUCAAUAUGAUUUGUAGUAGCCAACUUGGAGGAGGAUAAUUGGAAGAUAAGUAUCCAAGCCAAAGGUGAUAUGCGACAACUAGAGAUUUGAAUGCAUGGUGCAAGAGAGAUGAUCACUAGAUAUGAGUUGAAAGAGAACUGCUCUUGAUAUGCUCGAACAAAUGGAGUGACUUUGUUGUCUCCACAUUUAUCAAGUCAAUCAUCCAAAAUGAUAAUCUUUGUCAUCUCCAUGCCCCUAAAGUUUUCUUUAAGAACCAUAGGCUCAAAACAGUUUUCAACAACUUCUCUUGCAUAGAAUUCAGUUCACUAGAUAUUCUAACAUGUUUCAAGUAUUUCUCCACAAUGAUCUACCAAUUUUCUUCCCAAUGCCUAUUUUGAAAUUGAUCAUAUCUCUUCAUAACACUCAUUUCCUUCCAACACAAUAGCAGCAAAGGUUCUCAAAUGAACAUGACUUUUGCUGUGUUGGAUAUGAUGCCUUUAUUGUAGAAUUCAAUCUUGAUGGACAUAUCUUAGUGGCUGUCAUUUUAGUUCUUCCAUAGCAUCAAGUGAAACAUUCUUACUUAUAUACUAGCCAGCUGAAAGUCUACUUAUCCCCCAUGCUCCAAUGCCAAUUUUGAUUAUGAAAAAUUAGCACUUCGAGCACCAAAUAAAGACUAGGGAAAGUAUGUAUCAUGAAGUUUAUCGAACCAUCCAACAAGCAAUAGAUUUCAGACCAUCACAAUAUGCAUAGUGAAAUAUCAGACAAGUAAUUUUUCUAUCCAAAACAGAUUUUCAGAUUUGACAACGUAUUACAAACAUCCCUCACAUGAACAUGGCAGAGGCACUUAUAAAGACUCCAAUGACCUCAACUAAUCUUUGAUAUGUAAUACUUAUGUUCUAUAUGAGGAGUUUGUAAGAGAUGGUGUCAUACUUACAAACUUUGUCAUUGCAAUGUCACCAUGUUAGUUUCUGAAUUAUUCUUCAAGAAUGCAAUUCUGCAGCAGCUCAUCAAAGCACUUGUCAUAUAGGGAGACAUAUAUGACACCAUUCUUCCCAUGAAGCAACAUGUCCAACAUUUCCACUCUCCAACAUGUCAUGAUAUUCAGAUAUGGAAAGCUACAGAUAUCCUUACAACUAGCUGAAUUUUCAUAAUCCAUGGAGCUGAAAUAUGUAGCUUCUUCCACACUUACUUAUCUCUGAAAUUUCUCACUUUCUAAGCCUCAAAAUCUGAAAGUGCGUUAUAAUCUAAAGUGUCAUUUAUCUUAGCUUGUAGAACGAGAAAUUUCAGCAAAGAUCACCAAGUGGUUGCUUCAUAUAUUUGUCAAUGAUUUGUAUACAUGGUUGCCCAUAAGUUUCCAUUGUACCAAGCUACCUUUACAAUAAAAAUGAAACUCCUAAACAACCCAUUUUUUUUAUAGCUAUAAAAGGCAAUAAUCUCAACUCUCAGCUGUUGUGUUGGCUUGGGCGCAAGUGAGCACACAUUUCAGCUUUAACCAUGAUUGAUAAGAUGGAUAACUACAAGAAAUGUGUUGAUCUAUGACAAAAAUUUUAUGACACAUUUGUUCUCAUCCUAGAUCUAUGAAAUUUCUGGAUGAAAACAUCAUAAAGUUUGACAUCUGAGCAAAUUUAGUGAUAAAGUAAUGGAACAUCAUAAAAUGUGCCACUGUAGCCAAAAAGAAAUCAUCACUCCCUGUUAAACGGUGGUUUUGUGAUGAUACAAGGUCCGAAAAUGUUAUAAACCAACCAGAGCCCCACAUGUAAGUUUAAGUUGAUAAAUAGGAUAGUAAAAUAAAAAGGAAAAUAUGCUCCUCCCAUGGGUCGAACCUGUUACCGAUCAAAUGGGAAGUCUUUACUGCAGCUGCGUCCCACAUGUACAUUUCAGGUGAGUUGGUGGUAGAAGUUUUAGUAAGUUAUGUUAGUCUAAGAUGAAAAAAAGGAAAUAGUGUGAUAGCAAGGCUCAAACCUUUAACCUCUUGAAAGUGCUGAGACAACACUACCACUAAGACAUGAACUAUGUAUGUUUUUUUUGAAAGGACACAAUUUAUAUAUUUUUGUUCUAAUAAGUGUGGUCCACAUGCUAGUUGCAGGCCCAAGCAUGGGGUAUAUUUUUCAUUUCUCGACACGGUGUACACUACUACAAGAGACUCGCCGGCACCGUGCUUCUGUUGGCUGUGGCAAAGACUAGAGCUAGCAUCAGUGCGCAGAUCUGCAACCACCCACGACGAGAAUGGCGAAUCCUAGUGGGCCUAGUGGAGAAGGGAGGAUGAGGAGGAGCUCCGGUCAGGUUAGUCCCCUAUUUUGUGCCGCUACUUCCCCUAUCAUCCUAGGGAAGGGGAUUUCUAGAUUUGGGGAUCUGGGUUGAAGAUACUAGAUUCUGAUUUCAUCGUACCCUUUGAUUUACAUUCCAAUUGGUGUUAGAAGUUGAUAUGCUAUAGUUUAUGAAGUGAUUCUCCAUCCCGAUUUUAAGAGUUUAUGCUAGAGAAUCAGAGAGAAUCACUUUCAGCCACAAAAUCACUUCUCUCAGAGAAUUAGCUCCCAUAGGUGCAUAGCAAAAAUCAUGUAUCUAGUUUAUAAUUUGAUAGGUUCAUGUAUUUUAUUAGCUUCCACAGGUGCUUGGAGUCACUGAUAGCUACAGAUCGCUGUUGCUUGAUCAUGAUGUUAUCGUUGUGGAUCUUGAAAACAAGUGCAGGCAACGUGCAAGCACAUGUUGCCUUUCUAUGUGAGGUAUAAUUGGACAUUGGACCACCCUGGGCGCCAGUAUGCAUGCUGCUGCGAGGUAAACGAUAACUUAUUUCAAUUCUAAUAAACCUUGCUUCUACUUUUGAUGUUAUUAGUGUUGUAAAUGGUGAGUUGUAUGAACGUAACCAGUGUCUACAGAAUGAAGGGAUGAAAUGUGCGUUGUUUAGGUGGGUUGAUCCUGAAUGGGAUCAAAGGACUAAAAAAGUUAUGGUGAAGCUGAUGAAGAGGAAGGAAAAAUCUGAAGAGGAGCAAGGUGAUGGGAAGAAGCAUGGAGAAUUGCUAAGAAGGAGGCCAAUGACGCAACCAAUGAGUUGCACUUGAUGAAGCAAUACUUUGGGGAGGCAACCAAUUCCCUGAUGAACAUGACAAGGAAAAUGAGAAAUGAUGCAGUGUUGAAGGAGCUAAAAAUGAAAAACCCUUACAGUGAUUAUGAUGCAAGGAAGUAGAAGGAAGAAUAUGCAAAGGCUAGCAUGGAGCUUGAAGAGACUGCCGCUGAGCUGCAGAAGGACACCUAGACCAGGCCACCAAUGUGGUGAAGAGGGUCAAGCAAUCGAUGCUGGAGGCCAAAUAUAGAAGGAAACUCAUCAGGGACAAUUAAAGGCAUAAUGUCACUCAUUAGGCCAAAUUAUGAUGAAUGGAAAUAACAUGCCAUCUUAUAAAACUUGUUGGUGCUGUGAUGUUUGCUGCUUGUUGCUGCUGUGAACAUUGUAGUGAUGAAUGGCUAUAACAUGCCGUCUUACAAAACUUGUUGCUGUUGUGAUGUUUGCUGCUUUUUGCUGCUGUGAACUUUGUAGUGAUGAAUGGCUAUGACAUGCCAUCUGAUUAUGCCAUUUUGGUUUAAUCUACUUUCAAUUUCAUUCCAGGAUAUUUACCAUUUAGAUUCAGAUACACUGCAUAAUUGAGGAACACUAAUAAUAUACAUACCGAUACUAUAUAUACAAAUGCGUUACAGGUGUUACAAAAUGAAAGAUCACUAAUAUACUAAUAGCUAGGCAACAUCCAUGUUCCUCGCGACCAAAUCAAGUUCCCAGGAACCUACGUAAUGCAGAUCGCAGGAUCAUUGUUGACACCUGCCACAUUUCUUAGUCCCUGCUCGUAGAUCCAGUAUUGCUCCUCUUCAUCAUGCCGAUAAGUUCCUAGGAAGUAAAUGUGAUUUUCCUUCAAGUUAGGCAAGCCACAAAUGGCAUGCUCUUGUACAACAAUGCACUUGCCAGGUCCAAACAAGAUGAUCUUAUUCUGGAACUCUGGAGCUAUCUUCUAGGGAAUAGGCUACCAAAUGUCACUGACAAAUGAAUGCAGAGUAAAUUCCACCACCUCAACAUCUCUCUCGUUGAUGUCCCAGGAUGCGGUGCUGUGCAUCCUCUCCCCCUGAACAACAAAGAACAAUCGGUCUUGACCUUGGAGUAGAGAAGGUUUUGCUCAUGUCAAGAACCCAUGAUAAUCGGAGUCCAACGACUUCAUGAGGUGCUGGAAGAUGAAGGCCCAAGUGGAUCCGCAUGUGUUCAGAAGAACUGCACCAUAUAUCUUCUGAAGGUAUGGUAAUCCAGUUGGAUUGGCUUCCAAAAUGCCAGAUGCAAAUGGGCAAUGACCCUAGCGAUGGAGAAGAUUUCAGGGGCCAAAAGUUAGUUAUCAUGAGAAAUGACUGUACUAGUAGGUGUUUCCAAGCCUAAGAUACAAGCAUGGAGAGCAGCCAUAUGGCAUCCUGUUGGAAGUCGAGGAAGGAUAAUGUGGUCCCAAGGAGACAAAGGAUUCAACAGGAGCGCGGAGCUCCCAUCUCUGUCAUCUACGGCGACUAGGCAUCCCGAUCUGCCGCAACCAAACACACUAGUCCUUUUCCCAACUAAUGCUAGAAAGGAGACCUCAAAAAGCCGGUGAUCCACAAUGGAUGUGAAUGUCACUACUCCAGAUUCACUGGUACCUUUGGAUUUCAGAAUCCAAGGGUCAAAUAGGCAUGCCUCACCUGAACGAGCACAAUUCCAACUCUUACAGACUGCUUUGAACCUGAUGAAAUAUCUUGCAUCACUGAUCUUAUUGGCGAUGCUCACAAGAAGAUCUAGCAUAAGAUUUGCCUAGGAAGGACCAUGAUUGAUGAGAGAUUGACUGGACAACCAAAGAAGAAGGUAGAGGGAGAACAAUGGAGGACUCAUAAUAGACAGAGAAUAGGAAAGUUAUGGACAAGGCAGAGGUUGCAGUUCCAAGAAAGACAAAUGAAGAGGGAGUGGAAGCAGUUGGCGAAGGUCUGAUGUAUUUAUGUUUUGCAGAAAGGACCUUCCCGAGUAACAACUGCAUCUGUCUGUUUGUGUACACUAGAUCAUCUUAUUUAACUACUAUUUACCAGACCGGAAUUUCCUAUAUAACGAUGAUAUUUAGCUAUUCAUGGGCACAUUUAUCGCUUGUUUAAGUGCUAUGGCUUGUAUGCCUUGGAAACAAAAACCAAUGAAACUUUGCAUUGUGUGGAGCAGUUAGUUUCUACAAAAUAAAUGUUAUCACGAAAUGAAAUUAAUUUAUUGGAAAUAGCGCAAUGAUGUGGCACUCAUGGAGAGAUUGGAGGACUGCUUUAUGAUUUUACAUUUCUUUGAGGGGCAACGGAGGGACAGCCUCAUCCUUGUUUAUAUUAUUAUGGUAUUAUCCCGUUCUCUUCCCUUGUCAAGUAAGCUAUUUCAUUCCUGCAACCACCAAAAAACCCAAGUCUGGUAGAACACCUCUUCCUCUCCCCAUGGAGCCAUCGUCUCCUAGAGCGACGGUGUAUGGCACAUCCUAUGAUGAAGAGGAGAAAGCUCUAGGGUUGAUGAAUUUGGAGCCGAGCAAUUCGUUGUCUCCUAGAGCGACGGUGGACACAUCCUCUGAUGAUUUGGAGUAUGUGGAACAAAUGGAAAUCACCAUUCAGGUGCCUCUCCGAUGUUGCACAAUCCAUAAGUCAACCAGAGGUGGCCGUGGUCAGGGGUGCGGAAGCACCGCCACUCGCCAGGGCACCUCCAUCCCCAAGCACGGGGUCUGAGGAGGCAGGAAGGGACCUCCACCAUCUUCGUUAGAUAGCGGCAGUCAAUCUCUACCAUCCUUGUCGAGCGGCGGCCAUGGACCUCCAUCAUGGUCCUCGACCGGUGGCCAUUGAGCGGCGCCAUUGUCCGCGGGCGGCAGCAAUGGAGGGGCGGCCUCAUCCGCUGGAAGCGGCCAAGGAGGUCCACCAUCUUCCACGGGCAGCUGCAAUGGAGGGAUGACCUCAUCAGUGGGCAGCUGCAUCAAGGCCCCGGAUGCACCAUCGACCAAGAAGCGGCGCCUUGAUUAGUGGUAAUUGGUACUAGUAGAAGAAGAAGUAGUAGAAGUAGUAGCAGCAGCAGCAACAAUAGUAGUAGUAGAAGAAGAAGUAGUAGUGGUAGUAGUAGUAACUAUCUAUUAUCAUCUUGGAUCUAGAUCCCAAGUAGAUCCCAUUGUGAUGUGGUUUUAUCUUCGAUCUUGAUCUCAAUGCGAUGCGGUUUUCUCUUUUUGAUCUAGAUCCAGUUGCUAUAGUUUCCUUUUCCUAGUAAGAUGGAUUUAAUUAAGUAGCAUUAUUAUUGAUAACAUUUUCAUACGGUCAGUUCAAAAACAUAGCAACGGACUUUCCCCCUUCAUUCGGUCAGUUCAAAAACAGAGCAACAGAGCAAGAAGGCCUAUUGCUUGCGCUACCAUCCUGUCUGUUAGAAAUCAGGGAAACAAACUUCCCCCCUUAGAACAAUAUGUCUUAGAACAUAGAUAAACAUAACCAUUUUUAUUACAAACAACACACUCCAAGUACAAACGACACAAAUGCAUACAUAGGCAUAGAUCCAUUGUCGGUACAAGUACAACGACACACUCUAACAAAGGAAUGAAGGAUACUUAGGCAUUCAUCCACUAUUGGUACAAUGACAUACUCUAACGAACGAAGCACGACAACACAUAGGCAUAGAAAAAGUGGUGCACCAAUGACAUGCUACUACCAUCAUGGGCUCAUGGUAACCCAACGGCAGCACGAAAUUCAGCAAAACAGCCAUCCUGAAGGAGAUACUGUUCUAAAGCAUGAUGCCUUGCCCUAGUAUCCCACAACACGCAGGUGUGGUAGAACCACCCAAUGUAACCUAGCUAAAGUGUUCUCAACUUCGCCUCACAUGCGAACCGACACUUUAAUCCGUCUGUCGGGUUAUACCCGAUAAACCACUUGUCUCGGAUCGAAAUGAAAAGCAUCUCACACGAAGGAGAGUCCAGAGAUUACAACAUUCCAGUACUUAAUACAUUAAUUCCAAUUCAGUUAUUACACAACCAUUGUUCAAAAGUGCAUAAAGUGAAUUGUUUAGAGUUCAAAGCAGCGGAAAGAGUACGACAACUAGACAUCGAAGCAGAUACAUCAUGGUGAAGCCAACCAUGACGUCAGUUACCACGGUCCUCGCCGACUGAGGAUGGGUCCUACUCGACCGUCCAACCCGAAGGGAGCUACGUGGGCCAAGUUAAACUUGCAGCACACUCAUCAAUAUCUAUUUCAUUACCUAUAAACAAAGCCACAAGCAAGGCUGAUUAUACUAAUACUCAACAAGACUUACCCGUCGAGUGGUAACUACUCCAUCGAUUCUAGACAUGCAAGGCUUUUUGGCUGAGGGGUUUGUUUUUCCAAAAGCAUCUAAGUAGGUCCUUACUUUCAAGUUUUAGUAGAAGGUUCUAGUAGAUUAUUUAUUCUAGGUAAGCAACCUUUUCUAAGCAAGCAAGUUGAGCAAACAAUUUUAUUCCAAGCAUCAUCAUUUAAGAUAAUCAUUCUGUGUUUCACUUGUUACUCAGUGCCGCACAGUAGUCAAGCAGUCUCAAACUGUGAGAGGAAGAUGAUUCGAAUCGAGUUUUGAAACCUUGCAAGGUGAACCUAUCUCACAAAAUCCAUGUACCACGACGGGUUUGCUUCACUUGUCAGCCAUCCCCAUCAAUCCCCAUCUACGUGUUGGGGCCACUUCCCUUGGAUACAAGGCCCCAUGGUACCGGAUGAUGCUGUACCAUGACUGCACUUGUAGCCACAUGACGCAUCAAGGCAAACUCCAUUCCAGAGAUAGUGGGACUGUCCGCUCACAUCCCGGUUCGAUCAGGUACUAGGCUUCCCUAUCCCAUACUAGGUAUAAGAUUAGUACUUUCAAAUACUUAACCACGAAUGCCGACACAUUUUGGCCUUAGCAUGUUUAUCACUAGACAAACGGGAUAAAACCACCAAGUCGGAACAAAAGGUCCCAUCCAUCAUCCAUAUGGUUGUAGUAUAAGUAAGCAAUGCAAUCAACUCCUAUAACUCAUGAGUGACUGGAAAUCACUCGACUUUUACCGAAUCCUACUUUAGCAUUGCAGCUACUCAGCCUAUCAUACUAGUGUUCAACCAUAGGUACCUAAGAUCAUGCAACUAGGUAUUCAAUCAACUCCUAUGAACGUAAAUGCACAAGCAUAAGAAUCAUAGAUAUUGCAUGAAUUUAGAAAACGGGGUUAUGCUCCGGGGCUUGCCUUCCUGGACUAAGUUAGUGAGCGGGUCAUCGGAUGCUUCGCUGAUCUCUUGCUAGGCUUCGGCGUGGUGCAGCUCGGCGGAUCCUUCCUCCGCAGCAGGUAACAGCUCGUACGUCUUGUCUGCGAGGUUCGCUUCUGCACGAGAUGCAUAUGCAAUAUUCAAGAUUUUACAAUCUCACAUGCAAGAUGCAUUCAUAAGACAUUACAGAAUUGUAAAUCUUACAAUGAAGAUGUAACCCAAGUCAAGAUUCAAACUUGAGUUGUUCGUGAGAUAAAGUGAUUUCGUGUUUUAAACCCUAGGUUUGAUUGAUGGUGAUUGUGUACACGUAUAAGGUUUUAGAAACUUAGAUUUCACAAAGAAAGCGUAGGGUCACUUUAGGGUUGCUCAAAACUCAUUUGAAAAGUUAUCCUAUUUCUGAAUUUUUAAACAACUCAAAUUAUCAUAUUUUAAGUGUAUUUAACUACAUGCAUUUAUUUGGGCAAGGCAAAACAUCUAGCAACCAGAAGCUAGUAUUUUUCCUAGAUAAACAGAGGCAUCAAGAACCUAACAAAAGUGAUCUUGCAUUUUUAUCUAUUUCCUUUUAUUUAUAGAGGAAAAGAAAACAAGAUCACACCUAGCAUCCAAGCAUUUAACUCAACUCAGUGAGUUUCACAACUAAACUAGUGCUGCAAAAAAUAUAUUCAGCACAAGCUCAACAUAACCAAACUAACAGAAGUGGAUUUUGUUUUUUAUCAUUUUUGUGUGAUUAAUGGGGCAUUUAUGUGCUUAAACCCAAAAUAAAAUCUAGAGAAAAAUCUACAACAGUGACAUCCUCAAAAUUAUUUUUCAGUGAAACUACACAACACACAGAGUCUAAGAAAGUUAGUUUUGCAUUCUUCCCAUUUUGUACAUUUUUCUACACAUUUUCAAAGUUUCAGACGAUUUAAACCAUUUAAAACAGAAAAAAGGAUAAAACAUUUUACGAGGUGGCCCUUGGAAGGAAUCGGGGCCUUUCAAAUAGGUCCCUAGGUAGCCGGUGGCUUUCCGGCGAGAUUGCCGGUGAGCGGCGGUGCUAAAGGGGGAGGGAAGUGCUCAGGCGUGAUGUGCUGCUCACCGCGGUGAGGUGCGCUGAAGGAGUCGGGGAUGGAGAUGGCUGGAGGAGGGCUGUCUGUGGUGGUGCUUGUCACGACGGUGGGAAGGUUCUGCGCUAGCAAGGUUGACAGCAGAGAAGAGCUGGUUGGGGCUUGGUGAGCUGCAGUGGGGUGCCUGUGAUGCACUGGAGGUGUUAGCGGGCCGCAAAGGGCACCGGAGGGUGGGGCUCGAUGGUGAAGGGCGCGGUGGCACUGUGCUUUUGGGCCGUGGAGGAAGAUAAGGUCGGGUGAGCACCGGCAAGCACGGUUUGAAGGCUUUUAUAGCUGGGAGGGGGUGCGAGGGUAUGAGAGGGAGAGCCAAUAGCUCAAGGCGGCUUGAGUGGCGGUUGGGCAUGAGGGGACGGGCGGAAUGCCACUAGCGGAGUGGCGGGCGAGCGCGGCGGUUGGCCGGCGGAGAUGCAAGCACUUGAGAGCAAUCUCCAGCCAUUAGCCAUGGAGGAUUGCGAAGCGCAAGGAUGCUUUGUGUUGCGUGCUUGGGUUGGGCAAAGAGGGGGCUCGAGUUGUCCUGUCACGCUGGCGAGAGCCGGAGCGGUGAGUGGCAGUGAGCGGGUGUGACGUGGCGGACACAACGGUGAGCGGGCACAUGACCGUGGUGCGGCAGUUGGGCGAAGAGGAUGCGGCGCCUGGGGAUAAGAUAACGCCAACGGGUCAUUGGGCAAAGGGGCACACUGUGCUGUCCCGUCGCUGGCGUGCAUAGGCAGGCGAGGCUGCACGAACGCUGAGGAUGCACAUGGCGUGGCGCGACGCGGAAAGGUGGUGACCACACGCUGGUGAGCAAGACUAGAACGUGGCGGUGCACGAGGUAGCGAGCUUCAAACCGGAUUUGCGCAAAAUUUCAAAAUAAACUUGAAAAAUUUGAAAUCUAAAACUUGAUGUCCACACUUCAAACUCCAACUCUUAUAAAUACAUCAAGUUCAAAACUAUUUUAAAUUUGGAGAUAGAACCCAUCAAAGUUUGAAGAAACACCUGUUUUCAGGACUUAGAGAAAUUUUGAAAUGAAUUUGAAUUUGGCUGAACUUUGGCUCAAAUUCUCAAAGUGUUUUAGUCAAAACUAGCAGAAGUUCAAAUAAGCAAAGUGGUGAAGUUUGAAAAGUUGUACAACUUUUAUAUUUGCAAAACUUUGAGUUGUUAUAUAAAAUUUGAAUGAUAAUUGCCCUAAUUUAAGCCUUUUGAGGGUAUUUUGUCCAUUUUAAGUGUUUGAACUUCAUUCCAAAUUUGGUCUUUUGAGGUUUUUGAGAUGUUUGCUACGAUUCAACCCUGGUUUGAGUACUAUUAAUAUUUAGUCUUUGGUUUGACUUGAUUUGGUCAAAUUUUGUAACACCUCGUGUUAAUGACAGCCUAAGGGUGUCAAUAAGAAGUUAAUGAUGAUUGUUGGAGCAAAAGGAGGGUAAUUGACUCAAAGUCAAAUUCGAGCCGAAUUUGACCGAAAUUGCAAUUUGAAAUUUUAAAUUUGGAUAAAUUUAGCAAAAAUAUGAAGUUGAGGCUUGAGGGUGUUUAGAACUCAAAGGAAUGAAGUUGGAGACUAAUUCUAGUCUUAAACUCCUCAAGAAUGCAACUGAAAAAGGAAAUCAACCAAGUUACUAUUCCCCGUCCGAAAAUAUGCAAUUCUGAAAAACAUUAUGAGUACUCAACUUUGAAAUUAGUUUCUGCCUAAUUUUCCAAGUAAGUGAGCAAAGGUGGCUGAACAUUAGUGAAAUAUGGCCCUUAGACAAGCUUAGUGGGAUGUUGUUGGCCAGAGAAAGUGGAAGGAUCAAAUUCAAAAUGGGACUGAAAAUCAGCACUCCAGCAGUUUUCAGCCUAGCUACUGAAAUGAAUUUUUCCUAUGUGUGAAACAGCAGUGAAUGACCAUGUUUGGAGCAAGUUUCAGGGAAAUAUAGUACAAAAGGUGUGUGCAAAAUGGAAUCUUUGUUAGUUGUAGAGCACGAAUGGAUGAGGGUUGAACUAUAUGGAGUAAGUUUGAGCUACUCAAAUCGAUUCAAAAGAAGGGCAAAUGGCCCUGUUACAGUGACUGUCGAACUGAAUCGAAGUGUUUCAGAACAGUUCAGUUCUGCCUGAACUUAGGGCUUAAAAAUCUCAGCGCUAGAGUGUUUAUCUCGGGUAAAGGCCAAUAUAUCAAUUGAAGUACUCGAGUUUCUCUACAAGUUUGCUUAAAGGACUUUCGGACCAUAGGAUUCGAAAUCAACCGUUUUUGAAGGUCUAAAUUUUCGGAGUAAAAGACGGGGAGGGGGAAACAGCAGAGGCAGAGACGUGUCAUUGCCGGCACUUUCACCCGUCGUCCAGCAUGAUGCAUAGGGCCACCUCCUCACCCACGCAAGCCUACAGCUAGACCACGGUGGCACUCAUGCACGUGGUGAAAAGUUCGGAUAUCUACCGCUCUCGCCGCCGCACUUAUCUGUUACCGUGCCACCCUGUUUUACCCUCGCGAGCAGAGCACGGCCAAGCUUCUGCCGUCGGGUGAUUUCCACCGUUUCACCACCUCCUGCCUCAAUUCCUUCCACCCACAUCCCCAUCAGCACCUCGCAGACAUCCAUGCCUACCCAUUUUCCAGUUUCCCCACCGGCGAGCUCUUAGCUGCCGCCGUUUUCGUCCGCCGCCGCCAACCUCUUGCUCACGGUGAGCUUUCUUUUACCGCCACCAACUCUCCAUGUGGUAAGUCUUGGGUAAGUCCAUAGGCCACUAGGGAGCCGUAGGAGGAGUCAAGGGCCGUGUUGGUGCCGUUGCCGUGCUUGGCCACGGCCGGCGCCGGCCAAGCCGCCCGCUACCGUGGAGAGGCCAGCUCCGGCCGUCUCCCGGGGGGCCACCGCCGCCCACGGGUGCGCCGUGGCCUGGGGGUGCCUCCUCGGCCCAGCCUCGUUGCCGGCGAGGCGCCAGCCGUCGAGCCGCACCGGCCCCUGUCGUACCCUAUUUUUGGCGCGGGGGAGAAGAAAGACCUGGCGCCAGGGACCCACGCGCCAGGGAAAGAGGGGAAGAAAAGAGUGGGCCAGCGGGUAGAAUAGGAAGGGGGGAGUAGAGUUGGUCCAAUGGGCCCAGCGCGUGGGAGAGGGGUAGAGAGGAGUAGAGUAAAAAAGGUUGGGCCGGGGGUUUUUGGAUAAUCUUAGGUUUUUCCUUUUAUAGAUAAAUAGUGUAAAUUCGGUUUACACCAUUUAAAUCACAGGAAAUUCUAGAAGUGUCCAAAAUUAGUAAAACUAAUUUUGUUAGGAUUAUUUUAUUUUCCUUUAUGCAUUAAAAUUUUUACACCUUAGGAAAAAAAAUAAAAUUUAGGUAUUUAUUUAAUGCCUUUUCAUUAAGGUAUUUAAAUAAAUGCUUAACCUUUAUUAAAUGCAUAAAAUAUUGAAUAAUAUUUUCAUAUUCACAAAUUAUUAUUAACCCAUAGGAAUUAAGUUUUGAGAUUAGAAAAUAUUUAUAAUGCUUUCUAAAAAUAAAAUAAAAGACCUAAGAUAAGAUUAGCAAAAAGAUUAAACGUGAUGGGUUAACCUUUGUGGGUAGUUAGUGUUGGCUUUUAACUUUAUCAUGAUGAUAGGUUGUAUAGUCACUUGUUGGCUUGCAACUUUAUCAUGAAGGAAAGUUGUAUAGUCUUGUGUUCAAAACUUUGCAUCUCUAACCCCUGCAUGUACUAAAUCGUAGACACCGAAGCUCCAGAAGGGGGAUUCUUGGAUUUAUCUCAAGGACCUUCGGAAUUUGAAGAAAUUGUUGAGUUAAUCCCCAGUGAAGCCGGUCAAUCGGACAACGCUAACAUUUUUACAGAUCAAGGCAAGCCCCGGUGCAUCUAUACCUAUCUACUUUGGAGUUAUUAUUUCAUGUGUCCAAUUAUUGGUUAUUUUCCAUAUGAAUGCAUUAAAUCUAGGAGUUGAUUGAAACCUAUUCUUGUGCUUGAUCCUACCUUGUUUAGAGGACAUCUUUGCCACUUGUUCACUAAUUAGUAAUUAUCCUAUGCUUAGCAAUGCUUAGAUACAUCAAGCAACUUGAUUACUUAGCUCUAAGGUAAAUUUGGGGUCAUACAUAUUAGUUAAGGAAAGUUAGCUUGGAAAUUUGAAAAGCCGACAGAAGCUAGAGGUGUUAGUUCUGUCUGCUAAGUUAAAUUGGUUAAGGCCCGAUCGUUGUCUUAACCUUUGAUCAAGUGAGUUUCACCUGGUUGCUUUCUGGGUAUGGGACCAGUAAAGCCCGGUAGGUUAGUUGACUCUUUGAUCGGGAAUAUUUUGUACCCGUGCUUGAUGUGCUGGAGAAUGGCAGGGGCGUAGCCUGAAACUCACAUGGAGAUCGGGCCAGACGUGGGGUCCCAUGUGGGAGUGCAUCCCUAGGUUCGGGUAGUCAUAUUCCCAAUCUUUGGGUAUGCUAAUCGAAAGGUCAUUAUGUGCAACCUGGACAGUUGUACAUAGCUGGUGGUCAGGGUGCUCUCCUGCAGGAUGUAAAUUGAUUCGGAUCGCCGCAAUUCUCGGAUAUGAAUGCACUUGAUCACCGUUAAGCAUCGUAGUGUUAUCUAGUGAAUGUAAUGUUUUUUUCGAAAUUAAUAUGUUGUAUGACUUAAUUCCUACUGAUUGCAAAAAUAUUUCUUUUUCACCAUCUAGACUGGUCAGGUAACAACUCAAUCUGAAAUAAAAGAUAAAGUUAAGGUUUCACUUAUAGUAAGCUCUUUUAGCAAAAUGUGAGUCAGCCAGUACACUAAACAACUAUCAUUCAGUUUCGGAAAAACUAUUAUAUUGGUUAGUCGGGUUAGUCUUGCUGAGUACCCCGUUCUCAGGGGAAUCCUUCAUUGCUAUUUCAGAGCUGCAGCAGGAGUCCGCCGAGGAAGAAGCCCCGAAGAACUAGGGUAUUUUUACGAGUCUCAUAAUACCCUAGAAAUAAAACCCAAAUGAUUGACUUUCACCUGGACUUGUUUAUGUUUUUAAACUCUUAAACUGCUCUGACUUGCAUUAUUAAGUUUGUUUCAAACUACGGUUUGUAAUAAUUCACACCUCGGUAUGUAUGUAAAAAUGUAAUAUUUGUUGAUACCUUCCCAUCGUGGAAGCGAUCCUGAUGUAUGGCUAUGGGACACGUCGUGGAUGUUUCGAGGAGUCCUAGGGACACUCGACGGACUACCGGACUUAUACUGUUUUAACUGCGUUUCGGAUAAUUGCUAUUCUGAUAGCGAUUAGGCGCACUUACACCAGUUUAAGUUGGGCGGUUCCGCCACAAAUUUAGCCUGUAUUGGUGAUGUUUUAUGUUCUUAAGUGAAGUUUACCCUUAAUUAGAGACAAAAUCAAACUUAUACGCUACAUUCAAACUCUUAAACACUCUAACCAGGCUUUUAAAGACUAACUCAAAACUAGGGAUGUUACAACCUACCCCCCUUUAAAAGGAAUUUUGCCCCAAGAUUCAAGUGAAGUGAGACUAGUGUGGCUGUGUACGUACCUCCCUGGUCGAAAAGGAAACUGCGCAAGUUUUGGUUAAGAUACCCGUCCGUUUCCUAAGUAGCUUCAUCUUCAGUAUGGUUGCUCCACUGAAGUUUGAACAUCUUUAUUACUUGCCUCCGGGUUCUCCUCUCUUUACGAUCAAGGAUCUUACCUGGGUAUUCUGCAUAUGAGAGGUUGGGCUCGAUCCACACAUCUUCGUGCUUGAUGAUCUCGGCUGGGACUCAAACACACUUUUUUAGUUGAGACACAUGAAAGAUAUCGUGGAUAGUGGAGAGUUUUGGUGGAAGCUUUAUUUGGUAAGCAUCUGGUCCACAAACCUCUGUGAUCUCAUAAGGACCAAUAUAGCGUGGAGCUAACUUUCCUUUUACUCUGAAUCUAUGCACACCUUUUGUUGGUGAAACUCGAAGGUAUACAUGGUCUCCAACUUCAAAUUGCAAAGGUUUUCUUCUCUUAUCGAAGUAGCUCUUUUGUCUCGACUGGGCAACCUUAAGAUACUGGGAAGCCUUAAGAUUUUCUCGGAUUACACUUACUUUAUCUUCCGCCUCAGUUACCAAAUCUGGUCCAUACACCAUUCUUUCUCUUGCCUGGGACCAACUUAGCGGAGUUCAACACCUGCGACCAUACAAGGCCUCAAAUGGUGCCAUCUUCAAGCUAGUUUGGUAGUUGUUGUUGUACGAGAACUCGGCUAAUGGUAGAAACUUGUCCUAGUUCUUGUCAUAAUGAAUGACACAAGCUCACAGCAUAUCCUCCAAGAUUUGAUGUAUGCUCUUAGUGUGCCUGUUGAUCUGAGGGUGGUAGGUGGAACUGCAGAUCAACUUGGUGCCAAGCGCAGCUUUUAGCUGUUCCUAAAAACAUGCCACAAACUUAUCACCUCGGUCGGAGAUGAUCGUCUUGGGCACUCCAUAUAAGGAAACGAUACGAUCUGCGUGGAGUAGGUCGUCCUUACUGGGAGAAAGUGGGCUGUCUUAGUGAGUCUAUCCACUAUGACCCAUAUGGAAUCGUGCCCCUAGGAAGUGUUAGGUAACCCAACAAUGAAGUCCAUACUGAUAUCUUCCCAUUUCCAUGAGGGUAUAGGCAGCGACUGAAGAGUACUUGCUACCUUUAAGUGGCUUGCUUUCACUCUCUGACAUGUAUCACAUUUCGACACAUACUUAGCAAUCUCUGGCUUCAUCCUAGACCACCAAAAAUUCUGCCGAAGAUCAUGGUACAUCUUGGUGCUGCCAGGGUGAAUAGAGAAUUUGAAGAGGUGUGCCUCGUCCAAAAUCUGCUUCCUGAGAUCGAGAUUGGUGGGAACAACCAGUCGGUCCUCGUACCGUACUGCUCCCUUCCAAUCCUAUCGGAAAUGCUUGUAUCCUUCAUCUUUCUGUGCCAGCUUCUUCUUGAUAAGCUUCAUUCCUUAUCCUCCAACUGUGCCAAGAUGAUCUGAUCAUCCAAGGUGGGUUUGAUAGAUAUGUGGCUCAAUGUGCCGUUAGGAACAAUCUCCAAGUUGAGCUUCCUCAUCUCAUGACACAAGGUCUCGGUGAACUUGUCUACGAAGAGACAGUUGCAAUGGGCCUUGCGGCUAAGAGCAUCGGCAACUACAUUGGCCUUUCUUGGAUGAUAAUGCACCUCUAAAUCAUAAUCCUUUAUCAACUCCAACCAUCUUCUUUGGCGCAUAUUCAAAUUAGCUUGGGUGAAGAUAUACUUGAGGCUCUUAUGAUUAGUAUAGAUGUUACAGUGAGUUCUCAUCAACUAAUGUCUCCGCAUCUUUAGAGCAUUUCAUCUAAUAAACCACUUACACAGGAUCGAGAAGCAUUGCUCACACGAAGGUGAGUGGUGUGUACCGGAAGGAAAUGCACUAUUUUGGUAAGCCGGUCCACUAUAAUCCAUAUCGAGUCAUGCUUGCCAAAGGUAUUGGGUAAUCCGACUAUGAAAUCCAUGCUUAUGUCCUCCCACUUCCACGAGGGAAUAGGUAGCGGUUGCAAGGUGCCAGCUACCUUCAAGUGGCUUGCUUUAACUCGUUGACAUGUAUCACAUUCUGAAACGUAUCGUGCCAUAUCUGGUUUCAUCCCACUCCACCAAAAAUUUUGUCGAAGAUCGUGCUACAUCUUGGUACUACCAGGGUGAAUCAAAAACUUGGAAAGGUGUGCUUCAUCCAUAAUUCAUUUCUUAAGAUUAGGGUCAUUCGGAACAACCAGUUGAGCUUCAUAAUGUACAACUCCCUUCCAAUCCUGUCGGAAGUGCUUAUAUCCCUCAUCCUUUUGCGCAAGUUUCUUCCUGAUAAGUUUUAUUUCUUUAUCCUUCAAUUGCGCUAAAACAAUUUGGUCAUCCGGGGUAGGCUCAAGGGAAAUAUGACUUAAGGUUCCAUGGGGAAUAAUUUCCAAAUUAAGCUUAGCCAUCUCAUGACAUAAGGUUUCAGCAUAGUUGGUCGCUGACAAGCAGUUACAAUGGAUUUUACGGCUGGGUGAUAAUGCACUUCUAAAUCAUAGUGCUUGAUCAAUUCCAACCAUCUUCUCUGACGCAUGUUGAGGUCUGCUUGGGUGAAGAUGUACUUGAGACUCUUGUGAUCCGUAUAGAUAUUACAACGAGUCCCCAUAAGAUAAUGUCUCCACAUUUUCAAAGCAUGAACGACUAUUGCUAACUCAAGAUCAUGGGUAGGAUAAUUCAGCUGUGGCGGAUCCACCUCGGAUUGGCCUGAUUAAAGCACGGUUAAGUCGCCUAGCAUGCGACACUCAUGCCUCAAUCAAGCUAACACGAAGUGCCGUCGGAUUUCAUCCGAUUUGACCACUUAACAGGACCGAAUUAGCAAACUCACACGAAGGUGAGCGGUUGCAGAGAAUACAACAAGUCCACCACAAGAUUAACAAGUUGAUACACACUUGGUUGCAAAACAAAGUUUAACAAGUUCUGAAGAAAACAACAGAAGGUAAAACAAGCGGAAGCUAAGCGUAGGGGUCGGACGUCCUUGGUGAGGCCAGCCAAGACAUCAGUGAUCCCCUUCCUCGCCGUCCGAGGAGGGAUCUCACUUGACCGUCCAACCCGGAGGGAGCUGGGGCGGCCAAGUGCCAACAGGAACAAGCUCGGGAGUGGCGACCUCACCUGAAAAGAAAGCCACAAACAAGGCUGAGCUGCUAAGCUCAACAAGACUUAACCGACCGGUGGUAAACUACUCCACCACUUCUAGACAUGCACGGCUAUUUGGCCGAUGGGUUUUGUUUGCCAAAAGCGACUACAAUGGGUCCUUGCUUUCCAGUUUUAGCUCAAGUUCUAAGUUCAUUAACCAAUCUAUGUUGGCAACUUACUCUAAACAACCAUAGUUUUCCAACAACAAAGUAUAGAACAAGCAUCGGGUUCAUAGCAUCAUCAUGUUCCAUCUUUUUACUCAGUGUAGCAUAGCGAUCAAGCAGUCUCAAACUGUGAGAGGCAGACGAAUCGAUUCGAGUUUUUUAACCAUGCAUGGCGAACCUAAUCUCACGACAUCCGCGCACCACAAAGGUCGCUUCCUGUGUCGGCCGUCCCCAUCAAUUCCCAGGCACGUGUUAGGUCCAAACUUCCCUUGGCAUGCAAUGCUCCACAGUCCCAGUCUCUGCCGUACUGUGACCGCACUUGCACCCACAUGAUGCACCAUGGGAACCUCGUUCCAGGGACAGCAGGGGUAUAAGCCACGCCCUAGUUCAAUCAGGUACUAGGCUUCCACAUCCCAUACUAGGUAUGAGAUUAGUACUUUCAAACACUUGAUCAUGGACACCAACACUCUCCGACCUUAAGCAACUUCAUAUAGAUAGACAGGGCAAUCCACCAACCACCAAAAGAGUUCACCAGGCCCUGCCCCGUCCGUCAUCCUUAUAGUGGUAACCAGAAGGAGAACAACCAACUCCUAUAACUCGCGAGUGACAGGAAAUCACUCGACUUUUACCGAGUCCUAUUAAGCAAUGCAACUACUCGGACUCCUCAUGCUAGUGUUCAGAUCAAGGGAACUAAGUCAUGCAUCUAUGGUUUCAAACAACUCCUGUACUUAAAUGCACAUACAAACAAGGAAGGCAUGUGUAAGUUUAGAGACAAAAAGGUUUCAUGCUCCGGGGCUUGCCUUCAAGCGGAGGGGAGGAGAACUGGUCUUCAAAGGGCUCUGCUACAGCUCCUGCGGUCGGCGGCUCGGCUACUGCUUCAUCUUCUGGCACCGGAUGCAGCUCGUAGACGCCGUCGGCGAGGUUCAACUCUACACAAAUGCAAAUGCAGGAGUUAGCACUUAGACGGUUAUUUCAACAGCAACACUUGCAAGUUUUAGCCCAGAAACUUGUAGCAAAGCUAUGGAAAAAGUGGGGAAGUUCAAGCUUCAAUGGAUAGAGAACAAGACCAAGGGUCGGAUUGGAAGAAACUCAUGAUCUGACCCUUAGACUAGAGGAAUAGCUGUGCUGGGGGUCCUCAGACUUAACGCAAAGAAGUCCCCAAUUUUUACACAUAUACCCUCGGGUCAAGGAAAAAGAUAUGGCCGAGUCCUCGGGCAAGGCGGAAAAAAGGGUCGGUGAAAUAGACAGGGUCAGGCGGGACGGAAAAGGGGUCGGACGAACAGAGGGGUCGGGCGAGAUGGAAAAGGGGUCGGACAAACAGAGGGGUCGGGCGAGACGGAAAAAGGGGUCGGACGAACAGAGGGGUCGGGCGAGAUGGAAAAGGGUCGGCAGCUUACCUUCAGUUUAUAGGUGAAGCUUUGGGAUCGGGAAGGAGCGGACUUGGGCGGCGGCGAUGUCCGGCAGUACUCCGGCGGCGGCGGUGCUUCUUGUGGACAACAAGCAAGCUCUAGCACAACGCGGAGGAGUAAGCGGCUGGGUGGAUUUGGAAAGGUGGGUGUUGAGCGGAGAGGAGAGUUCCUCAAGAACUUAGGCGGCAGCGCUCGAGCACGAAACAGAGGAACAAGGCGGUAAGGCAGCGAUGGCGAAGGGAACUCCGGUAGGACUUGGGCGUUCCCUGUUAUAGCUGCGCGGGAAGAGAGAGAGAGCUGGAGCAGCAUGAAGACCGGGAAGAAAAGAGAUGGAGUGCGCUGCCAUGGCGGUGAUUGAGCAGCGAUGGGUGGCGGAACAGGACUUCGGAGAUGAUGCCUUCGUCCAUUGGGCACUGGAGACAGGGCGGCGCAGGCGCGGUUUUGCCGGGGGUUGCAGUUUGGCGGAGGUGGGCGUCGUCGUGUGGCAAAUCUGACAGGUGUGACAUGGGGAACAGCGCUACAAGCGAGGUUGCACAGGUGAUAAGACAGGCGGGCUGCGGCUGCGCGGGUGAGCGCAAAGUAGCGGUUUGCCGGGGCGCAGCUCUGGCAAGGCGGAAAGGAGCUGUCGCGGCUGGGGUCGGGAUUGGCGACGGAGGAAUCGUCGCGUAGCGCAGUCCGGGGCGGCGCGACUGUGGAGAGGCGGCGGAAAAGCCGGAAGACAUUGGGCCUUGCAGCCGGGGGUCCGGCGAGUUGAUGAUGGGCGUGAGCCGUGAGGUGGUCUGAUGCAGCAGGCGGCAAGUUUCUGCCACAGCGGCGACGGAGCACCAAGGCACGGCCGGCGAGGGAGUGAGUGAGACGGGGCGCUGCAAAAAGGUUGCAGAGGGGCUUCCGCUGCGAUUGGGGAGGAAGGCAUGGGAAACCAUCUGGUCGCGGCCGGCGACUGGGCGGAGCGGCGAGGGUCGGAGGAGUUGAGCCACGCGGCGGGGGAACUCUGAAGCGGGCAUGCUACUCGAGUGCGUCUGCCUCAGGAGAUCUGGAGGAAAGAUUUGCGGGUCCACCGGUCAGACUCGGUUUAUCCUCUGCCCCAGAUUGAAAGGGACACUGUUGGCGAGACUUAGAAGGAACCGGCGGGGUGGGUUGGGGGUCGGCAGGGGUCGGAGCUGGGAACCGGCGGAGAGGGGUCGUGUGCUUAGGGGUCGGGACCGGAACUGGAGGUUGAGCACUUAAACUCAGGGAAGCUGAGUCAGCGGGAUUAGGGACUCGAAUUAAGACUAACUUGAAAGAUUUGGGGUCGGUCGUCACAUCAGCUCAUGUGGCCAUUGUUGGGAUACGAGGUAGGCUACGCUAGCGCAAAUCAAAAUUUCUACCGCGUAAAACCAGGAAUAACUGCCGUAUAAGGACCACGGGAUUACCACUCGACGCACUACUGGUGCGGAAGAUGUAGAUAUGCGUCGAUGUAGUGAAGACGAUCACGUAGUCGUACGUAGUCGAUCACGUCAACGUCCAGCAGCUCCUCAGCAGCUCGUCCACGUGCAGCAAGAUCGCCCCCGGUGCCGCGGCUCAUCGUUAGCUCGUCGUGGCUCGUCGGCGGCUCGUCCAAGUGCUGCAGGCGCAACACCUCCAAGGUAUCCACACGUGCAGGGAGGAAGCGUCGCAAACCGGACUGCUAGAUCCGCGAGUUGCAACAGGCGAGGGCGUGGGAGGCGCGGCAGGUGUGUUUCGCCAAAAAGGUGUAAACCCUAGGGCGCCCCCACCCCUCUAUUUAUAGAGGUUCCUAACGGGCCUCUGGGUCCGAGGCCCAUUAGUACUUCUAAACCUAAUCCAACUCGGAUCAGAUCCGAAUUGGGCUUCCAGCCCCUUAAGUGUGUGACCCUAUGGGUUCGGAUACGUAUAGACAUGGCCCGAGUACUCCUACUCGGCCCAAUAGUCGGUAGCGGCCUCUAGCAAGACGUGCCAACUCCUAUACGCACACGAAGAUCAUAUCAGACGAACCAUCACAACAUAAUAUACAUGCUAUUCCCUUUGCCUCACGAUAUUUGGUCUAGCUUCAAGCCGACCGCUCUUUCUCGAUCCUGUGAUUCGGAAUCCCUUUGUAGGUUAACUCUUAACCGUACGUAGCAUGGCCAUGCAUUUUCGGAUCCGAUCACUCGAGGGACCCAGAGAUAUCACUCUCAAUUAGAGAGGGGCAAAUCCCAUCUUGAUUGACCAUGUCUCAUAGCAUGCUUCUUGACAAACCCGAAAGCUACCUUUAUAACUACCCUGUUACAGCGUAGCGUUUGAUAGCCCCUAAGUAGGUCGAUCCACAUCUUGAAUACAUGCGACAAUCUCAGGUCUAAGGACAAAGUGUAUAUGUUGUUUAAAGAGAGAACUACUUCUCGUGUUGGGUCGGUCCUAGCACAUGUCUCCACAUGUGUCCACACUAUUAGUUCAACAUCUCCAUGUCCAUGACUUGUGAAACAUAGUCAUCAACUAAUACAUGUGCUAGUCUAAUAUUCAUGUGUGUCCUCACAUGAACUCCGACUAGGGACAAUUUUAGAAUAACCAUACAAGUAAAGAGUUUCACAUACAAUUCACAUAAUUGCAAAUCAAUUCAAGUAGCCUUUAAUGGAUAUUCAAUGAACACAAUAUACAAAUCAUGGAUACAAAUGGAAUAUCAUCAUCUCUAUGAUUGCCUCUAGGGCAUACCUCCAACAGUCUCCCACUUGCACUAGAGUCAAUCUAGAAGGUACCUAAUACCCAUAGCUCUUACAUGCGCAUCAUGCUUAGCCUGCGGGAGUGGUUUUGUCAACGGAUCAGAAAUGUUCAGAUCCGUGUGUAUUUUGCAUAUCUUGAUCUCACCCCGGUUAACGAAGUCUCGAAUGAGAUGAAAUCGCCGCAUUACGUGUUUGUUCUUCUUCUGGUUCCUUGGCUCCUUUGCUUGCGCAAUUGCCCCAUUAUUAUCACAGUAGAGAUUCAAUGGGCUGGACGCAUUCGGGAACAUACCAAGCUCAAUGAGGAAAUUCCUUAUCCAAACACCUUCCUUCGCGGCUUCCGAAGCCGCGAUGUACUCGGCUUCUGUCGUAGAAUCGGCCACCGUCUCCUGUUUGGAACUCUUCCAACUAACAACACCACCAUUUAGCGUGAACAAAAAUCCUGAUUGUGACUUUGAAUCAUCUUUGUCGGUUUGGAAACUAGCAUCGGUGUAACCUAUUACAACGAGCUCCUCCUCACCUCCAUAAACGAGGAACAUAUCUUUAGUCCUUCUCAAGUACUUAAGAAUGUUUUUCACCGCUGUCCAGUGACUCUCACCUGGAUCAGAUUGGUGUCUGCUUGUCAUACUUAGCACAUAUGAAACAUCUGGGCGAGUACUUAUCAUUGCAUACAUGAUAGAUCCAAUAGCCGAGGCAUAUGACACUUUACUCAUGCGAUCCCGCUCAUCAGCAGUCGAAGGACACUGAGUCUUGCUGAGAUGUAUGCCAUGUGACAUAGGCAAGAACCCUUUCUUUGCCUCUUCCAUGCUGAACCGCUUCAACACUUUGUCAAUGUAAGUAUCUUGGCUUAAACCUAUAAGCCUUCUCGAUCUAUCUCUAUAGAUCUUAAUGCCCAGAAUAUAUGCCGCUUCCCCUAAGUCCUUCAUCGAAAAACUAUUUUUCAGUGAAGUCUUUACGGACUCAAGCAUAGGAAUGUUAUUUCCAAUCAGUAAUAUGUCAUCCACAUAUAAGAUUAGAAAUACUACAGAGCUCCCACUAAUCUUCUUGUAAACACAAGACUCUUCUUCGUUCUUGGUGAAGUCAAACCCUUUGACCACUUCAUCAAAACGAAUGUUCCAACUCCUAGAUGCUUGCUUCAAUCCAUAAAUGGAUCUCUGAAGCUUGCAUACCUUUCCAGCAUUUUUCGGAUCGACAAAACCCUCGGGCUGUAUCAUAUACACAUCCUCAGCUAGGUUUCCAUUCAAGAAAGCUAUCUUGACAUCCAUCUACCAUAUCUCAUAAUCGAAAUAUGCAGCUAUAGCUAGAAUAAUCCGAAUGGACUUAAGGAUCACUACGGGCGAGAAGGUCUCGUCGUAGUCAACUCCUUGAACUUGUCGAAAACCUUUUGCGACAAGUCGUGCUUUAUAGAUGUGAACAUUUCCAUCCAUGUCCUUUUUCUUCUUAUAGAUCCACUUGCACUCUAUGGCUUUAACACCAUCAGGCGGGUCAACCAAGUUCCAAACUUGAUUGUCUCCCAUGGACCCUAUUUUGGAUUGCAUGGCACUCUGCCAUUUUUCGGAGUCUGGGUCCAUCAUUGCUUCUGCAUAUGUCGCAGGCUCAUCAUUGUCCAACAAUAAUAUUUCCCGCAUUUCGCGGAGCCUUGCCGACCUUCGUGGUUGUUGCGGUGCUUCUCUUGCCAUGGGUAUCUCAACUUGUUCUGCUACGUUAGCAUCACUCAUUGAUUCUUGCCUGAUCGGCUCAUCUUGAACUUCUUCAAGAUGCACUGUCUUUCCACUCUUUUCUCCUUUGAGAAACUCUUUCUCUAGGAAAACCCCGUUCCGAGCGACAAACACUUUGCCUUCUGAUCGGUUGUAGAAAUAAUAUCCCAAAGUUUCCUUUGGAUAUCCCACAAAAAUGCACUUAUCCGACUUGGGUGUGAUCUUGUCCGACUGAAGUCGCUUGACAAACACUUCACAUCCCCAAAUCUUUAGAAAAGACAAACUAGGAACUUUUCCAGUCCAUAUCUCAUAUGGUGUCUUAACUACGGAUUUAGAUGGUACCCUAUUUUGUGUGAAAGCUGCUGUUUCUAGAGCGUAUCCCCAAAAUGACAACGGUAGGUCCGACUGGCUCAUCAUUGAUCGAACCAUGUCUAACAAAGUUCGAUUACGUCGCUCGGACACACCGUUUCUCUGAGGUGUUCCAAGCGGCGUAAGUUGUGGAACAAUUCCGCAACUCUUUAGAUGAUUGCUAAACUCGUGGCUCAAAUACUCGCCUCCACGAUCAGAUCGUAAGGCCUUAAUUUUCUUGCCACGCUGAUUUUCAACUUCAUUCUGAAAUUCCUUGAACUUUUCAAAGGUUUCAGACUUGUGCCUCAUCAAGUAGACAUAGCCAUAUCUACUAAAAUCAUCAGUGAAAGUUAUGAAGUAUUGGAAUCCUCCUCUAGCCGUCAUGCUCAUUGGUCCGCAUACAUCACUAUGUACGAGUUCCAACAAGUCUACUGCUCUCUCAGGAAAUCCUGUGAAAGGCGUCUUGGUCAUCUUGCCUAGCAAGCAAGCCUCACAUGUCUCGUAUGAUUCAAAAUCAAACGAAGUUAGAAGUCCAUCAGAAUGGAGCUUCUUCAUGCGCUUUUCACUUAUAUGACCCAAACGACAAUGCCACAAGUAGGUAGGACUCAAAUCAUUAGGCCGAGGCCUUUUAGCACUUACAUUACAGACAGGUGAACCAUCAAGAUUUAAAACAAAUAAUCCAUUCACAAUGGGUGCAAAAGCCAUAAACAUAUUAUUCUUAGAGAUCACACAACCAUUGUUUUCACUCACAAAUGAAUAACCAUCCUUCAUCAAGCAUGAAGGAGACAAAAUGUUUCGACUUAAACUAGGAACGAAAUAACAAUUAUUCAACUCCAUAAUAAAUCCUGACGGGAGGUGGAGUUGCAUCGUCCCGACGGUCAACGCAGCAACUCUUGCAUUAUUGCCCACGCGGAAAUCAACUUCUCCUCUUUCCACGCUUCUACUUCUUAUCAUUCCCUGCAUCGAAUUGCAAAUAUGAGCAACCGAUCCGGUAUCAAAUACCCAAGAAUUAAUAAUUGUAUCAGCGAGAAAUAUGUUGUCUAUAACAUUAACAACAAGCGUACCUGAGGUAGAAGUACUCUUACUUCCGCCAUUCUUCAAGGAAGCUAGGUACUGCUUGCAGUUUCUCUUCCAGUGACCAAGUUCAUGACAGUAAAAGCACUCUUUGUCUGGAGCAGGUCCAGGUCCAGCUUUAACCUUGGGCGCUGGGUUUGGCUUGGACGUUCCAGCCUUGCCCUUCUUCUUCCAAGAAUUGCCCUUCUUCUUAAAGCUGGGCUUGUUCUGUAUAGCCAUCACAUGGCUGGUACUAGCGCUUUUCUGGAUGUCAGCCUCUACUGUUUUAAGCGUGCCACACAGCUCAUUCAGACCCUUCUCCGUCCCAUGCAUAUGGUAGUUCGAGAUGAAGUUCCCAUAGCUAGGCGGAAGAGACGAAAGAAUGAAAUCAGUGGCCAACUCUUGGCCCAGUGGGAAGCCUAGCUUCUCCAACCGUUGAGUGUAACCAACCAUCUUGAUUACGUGUGGUCCUACUGCUGCGCCUUCUGCUAGCUUGCUCUCAACAAAGGCCUUAGACACAUUGAACCUUUCAGUCCUGGCCUGUGUUUGAAACAUGUCUCUAAGCGCCACGAUCAUAUCGUGCGCCUCAUGGUUUGUUUCGAACUGCAUCUGCAGCUCGGGUUCCAUGCAAGCAAGCAUAAGGCAGCUUACUUCGAGGUUAGCAUCACAUGCUUUCUUGUAAGCAUUCUUAGCAGCAGAGGGUGCACAUCAGCAGGUUCUUCUGUUAGUGGGUUAUCUAGAACAUCUUCCUUUUUCUCAACCCUGAGAACAAUUCUUAGGUUACGGAUCCAAUCCGAGUAGUUUGUUCCAUUCAACUUGUCCUUCUCAAGGACCGAACGCAAAGCAAACGAUGUGGUGGUGUUGCUAGGUGCCAUUUAAUCUACAACAAAAGUAAUGCAAAAUACACUAAGACAAACGUAUCCAUGAUAGAGCAAAUUACAUUAAACUAUUUUAACAGAAUCUACUCCCACUAAAAUCAAUAUCCCUCUAUUGAAACUUAGUGAUUCAGGAUCCACAACUAACAAGUCUACUAGUGAGCUUUAGCAUCACCGCUAGCAAACGAGGUAGAUCGGUAAGCAACUUUUGCUAAUCAUAUCACAUAUGACUCCUGUUGUUGGGUGACAUCUCCAUGUCUCGGCGCCCAACCGUUAUGCCCCAAGGUCCUUAACCGUUAAGAUGACCUCGUUAAGCAAACCAACCCUUAUGCGUGUAAGUGUCCGACACAAACCCGUCUAGUCAAGGAAAACUAGUGGUACCCUAAUUUCAUAGACCCACCACUAAUUGUACAAGACAUGGGACGGUGCAAGUUUUAGUUGGGAGGGCAUACUAACUUAAACUUUGUGAGGGAUCGUUCUACUUCUAACAUCACAGCAUGCACAAAGUAAAACACAAACAGAAUAGCAUUCACACAGUUGUGACACAGUAUGGCCCGUUUUUCUUAUGGUGAUCUCCAUCUCCAUAGAAGCUGUUCACCAUGGUGAUCUCCAUCUCCAUGUUCCAUGUGCGCCAUCCUUCUGGUGAUGAGUCCUCCAAGAACUUAGAACAUGCUAUUACACCUAAUAGCUAGUAAAGAAGCUAGUAAUGAAGAUUACAUAGUUGCUUGGAUCAUCACAGAUUGGUACGCAGACCAUUAAAUACAAUAAAGUGACAACACAUAUGGCUCCUGCCGUGUUGCCGUACGCGCGACACGCAGGUCACGAAUGAGUUACACACAUGCAUCACAUACACAAGGGGGCCAUACUGAUCACAAGAUACAUACAUACAUCCUGCAAAACAGAGUUAGGCGCCCUAACGUUUUCAAACUUCGGAUGCCCGAAACUCCAUCUUCCAAGCCGAAUUUGGGAAAUCUAAUUUCUCCGAAAAUGGCGAAGCGGUUGAAUUUCAUGUGUAACUUUUUCUGUAGAUCAAUUUUCAUAUAAAAUUCGCCCCGAUCCGAGAUCGUACCGAAAAGUUACGGCUGAUUUACCGAAGCAUACGCAUACGGCAAAAAUCCCGACCCCGGCAGUAGAUCCCAUCUACUAUUGCACAUCUAAUGCGCCUGGCGUAUGACCAUGGAUUUCGAUUCGACCAAUCAUAUUGAUCUUCGCUCACUGCAACUGGAUUUACGUGUAUCACUUAACUCCGAUGGCGGAAACCGACCGGUAGGAGUAUAUCGUUACACUACCAUUGCAGCAAGGGCACGAAACCAGGACAUAGAUCAAACGGAAAACUCGCAUAUCUCCAUAUGCACACAUCCCGAAUCCAAAACUAAGCAGCUACAGCUCUGAUACCACUGUUGGGAUACGAGGUAGGCUACGCUAGCGCAAAUCAAAAUUUCUACCGCGUAAAACCAGGAAUAACUGCCGUAUAAGGAUCACGGGAUUACCACUCGACGCACUACUGGUGCGGAAGAUGUAGAUAUGCGUCGAUGCAGUGAAGACGAUCACGUAUUCGUACGUAGUCGAUCAACGUAGUCGUAUGUAGUCGAUCACGUCAACGUCCAGCAGCUCCUCAGCAGCUCGUCCACGUGCAGCAAGAUCGCCCCCGGUGCCGCGGCUCGUCGUUAGCUCGUCGUGGCUCGUCGGCGGCUCGUCCAAGUGCUGCAGGCGCAACACCUCCAAGGUAUCCACACGUACAGGGAGGAAGCGUCGCAAACCGGACUGCUAGAUCCGCGAGUUGCAACAGGCGAGGGCGUGGGAGGCGCGGUAGGUGUGUUUCGCCAAAAAGGUGUAAACCCUAGGGCGCCCCCACCCCUCUAUUUAUAGAGGUUCCUAACGGGCCUCUGGGUCCGAGGCCCAUUAGUACUUCUAAACCUAAUCCAACUCGGAUCAGAUCCGAAUUGGGCUUCCAGCCCCUUAAGUGUGUGACCCUAUGGGUUUGGAUACGUAUAGACAUGGCCCGAGUACUCCUACUCGGCCCAAUAGUCGGUAGCGGCCUCUAGCAAGACGUGCCAACUCCUAUACGCACACGAAGAUCAUAUCAGACGAACCAUCACAACAUAAUAUACAUGCUAUUCCCUUUGCCUCACGAUAUUUGGUCUAGCUUCAAGCCGACCGCUCUUUCUCGAUCCUGUGAUUCGGAAUCCCUUUGUAGGUUAGCUCUUAACCGUACGUAGCAUGGCCAUGCAUUUUCGGAUCCGAUCACUCGAGGGGCCUAGAGAUAUCACUCUCAAUCAGAGAGGGGCAAAUCCCAUCUUGAUUGACCAUGUCUCAUAGCAUGCUUCUUGACAAACCCGAAAGCUACCUUUAUAACUACCCUGUUACGGCGUAGCGUUUGAUAGCCCCUAAGUAGGUCGAUCCACAUCUUGAAUACAUGCGACAAUCUCAGGUCUAAGGACAAAGUGUAUAUGUUGUUUAAAGAGAGAACUACUUCUCGUGUUGGGUCGGUCCUAGCACAUGUGUCCACACUAUUAGUUCAACAUCUCCAUGUCCAUGACCUUUGAAACAUAGUCAUCAACUAAUACAUGUGCUAGUCUAAUAUUCAUGUGUGUCCUCACAUGAACUCCGACUAGGGACAAUUUUAGAAUAACCAUACAAGUAAAGAGUUUCACAUACAAUUCACAUAAUUGCAAAUCAAUUCAAGUAGCCUUUAAUGGAUAUUCAAUGAACACAAUAUACAAAUCAUGGAUACAAAUGGAAUAUCAUCAUCUCUAUGAUUGCCUCUAGGGCAUACCUCCAACAGCCAUAGCGCUCAUGAGGCAUAGGCAAUAACUCGGCUAUCUUGCAUAAGAACACACCCAAGUCCAGUGCCAGAGGCAUCGCAAUAAACGUCGAACGGCUUAGUGGUGUCUGGCUGAGCUAAAACCGGGGCGGAGGUCAGUAAUUGUCUCAAUGUGUGGAAAGCUUCUUCACAUUUGUCACUCCACACAAACUUAACUCCUUUCUUCAAUAGUUUAGUCAUUAGCUUGGCUAUCUUUGAGAAGUCAGGAAUGAAUCGAUGGUAGUAGCCUGCUAAACCGAGAAAACUUUGAAUUUGAUGAACUGAAGUGGGUAGCUUCUAGUCCAUUACUUCUUGAACUUUGCUUGGGUUUACUGCUAUGCCAUCGCUGGAUAUGGUGUGCCCCAAGAAUUUAACACUAUCCAGCCAGAACUCACACUUGGAGAAUUUGGCAUAGAGUUGGUGAUCUCUUAAGCGCUGGAGCACAGUGUGAAGGUGCUCUGCAUGUUCUUCCUCAUUCGUUGAGUAUACCAAAAUAUCAUCGAUGAAUACCAUGAUGAAUUUGUCAAGUUCGGGCAUGAACACCGAAUUCAUGAGAUACAUGAAAUAAGUCGGCGCAUUAGUAAGCCCAAAUGACAUGACUAGGUACUCAUAGAGUCCAUACCGUGUAGAGAAGGUAGUCUUAGGAAUAUGCACGGUCGGAUCUUGAUUUGAUGAUAGCCAGAACGAGAUCAUUCUUGGAAAACACUCUAGCUCCAACUAACUGGUCGAACAGAACAUCAAUGCGGGGUAAUGGGUACUUGUUCUUUAUCGUCACAGCAUUGAGAGGUCGGUAGUCCACACACAUACGCUGGCUCUCGUCCUUCUUUUUCACAAACAAAGCUGGAUAGCCCCAAGGUGAUGUACUUGGAUGAAUUAAACCUUUUUCCAACAACUCAUGCAACAGAGUUUUCAUUUUUGCCAGCUCUACGGGUGGCAUCCGAUACGGUCUCUUUGAAAUUGGUGCGGUGCCUAGUUGCAACUCAAUGGCAAACUCGAUAUCUCUAUCAGGCGGCAUACCUGACAAAUCAUCUAGGAACACAUCGGGAUACUCACACACCACUAGAAUGUCCUCCAAUCGGGCUUCAGUCACGGGAUAGGCACAAGAAUUUUUGCACUCGCGAUGGGGUAAGUGUAUGAUUGAGCUAUGAUAUAUUGGUGAAUUUAUAUGGACUGCUCUGGUAGGGAUGUCUAGUGCCACUCGGUGUCGAGUCAUCCAAUCCAUGCCCAAGAUAAUAUCUAUCCCCUCUAACCCAAGGAUAAGUAGGUCUUCCUUAAGAAGGGUUCUUCCUAAACGGAUAGGUACCUGGAGGGUCAAUUGGUGUGAGGUUACUUUCCCACCCGGGGUAGAGAUUAUAUAUGCACCUUUUGUGUGACAAAAACCUAACCCACACUUAGAACUGGUUCUAGUCCCGAUGAAACUAUGGGAUGCUCCCGAAUCAAACAGAACAAGGAUGGGUUGAUUAUGGACAGAGAAGGUACCUGUCCUCACUGGUGCGCCUUCCGAAAGUUUGGCAAGGGUGGUGAAGUUCAACCUACCUUGUCGGACCUGAACUCUGGGCUUCUUCCCUUUGUUGCCCAGUGCAUUGCUCUGGCCAAGCUGUUGAUUCUUAUUGCGGGGGCAGUCCUUGGCAAAGUGUCCCGUAUUCCUGUAGGUGAAACAACGGUUUCCAGUAGCAGGGUGCAACGGCAUUGGAAGAGUAGGCCGGGGCCCUUGUUGCUGGAAUCCUAGGAAAGGAGGUGCUGCCUGCGGUGGGGGUAAAGCAACCCAUAUCCCAGGCUGUGCGGGCCUGCGAGACGCCUGUGGAGGAACCAUCCUGUAUCUCUAUGCAGGUGGGCUGGGUGCCAGCAUUGGAGCUUUCCGCUUCAUGUCGGCCUUGAGGGCCUUCAUGCAAUCUUCCUAGGAAAUUGCUAGGUUCACCAGUUCAUUGUAGGAAUCCACCUUGAUGGGAUUCAGCCUUUCCUUCAGCUCCAGACUCAAGCCUCUACGAAAGUGGUCCCUCUUCUUCUCAUCGGAGUCCGCAUGAUAGCCUGCGUAGCGACACAGGUCAUUGAAAGCCUGCGCAUAUUGCAGGACGUCGUGGCCUCCUUGGGUGAGAGCCAGGAACUCAUUGAGCUUGCGCUCCAGGAGACCCUCAGGGAUAUGAUGGCCCCUCAACGCCAUCUUGAACUCCUCCUAGCUGACGACGUGGUCGGUCGGCUGCAUGGCAUGGUAGUGAUCCCACCAUAGAAGGGCAGAACCAGGCAGUUGCUGCGCGGCGAACCGAGCCUUGUUCUCAUCCGGGCAAUGGGCAGUGAAGAGGGAGAACUUGGACUCGAUGACACGAAUCCAGGCAUCGGCGUCAAGCGGAUCCUCCGUCUUGUGGAACAGAGGAGGCUGUGUCCCUAGAAAGUCCUCAUAGCGAGCAUCAUGAGGUUGUUGGUGAGCUCUUCCUCCCUGGGGCUGCUGCUGCUACCCCUGGGCGAUGUGUCUCAGCAGCUCAGUUUGAGCAUCCAAGAUCGCCUCUAGGGUGGGCGGAGGCGGAGGCGGUGAAGGCACCUGCUUCUGCUCGUUGCUACUGGGAAUAGAGCCAGAGCGUGUGCGGUGCGCCAUCUGCAAGAUUCAUCUUUCCAUUAGUCAUAUAAUCCCAAAAGGUUCCCUAAACACAAGGGAAAAUGAUGUGCUGAAUCUUUAAAUGCUAGUCUUGCUGAUAGUGCGAAAACAACAAUCAUAUCUUUUGUUGAGUAGGUGCAUAUCUGUUCUUCAAAGUAUACAAGGUUCUCAUCCUUAUUCGAGGGUUAGGACACGCCGUACAUAACCACUUCCAUUUUACGCUUGUUGACUGAAAAGGAAGGAAAGGGGGUCAUUUAGCCAAUUUAGCAAGUUGCUGUUUGGGCUGAUUUUCAGUAAGCUGAGCUGCAAAGUUUUGGUUCUAACACGAGUUUGACAGAUCCAAAGGAGCUGAAAAUUUGCGAGCAGUUAGAACACAAGUUUACACACAACUUUGUCAUUCAAACUUUGGAUCAAAAAUGAUUGGAGACAGGGUUAAAACUGAGGGGAAACAGCCACUAAAUUUCUGCCAUAUUUUUCAGACAUUACAACUAAUCGGUAGCAACGGCAAAUCCAUACAUAGAAUCAGUUUUUCAACACCCAAAUACUCAACUCAAGCUAAUCUGUUACAUCACUGGCCAAAAAUAUAGGUCGCCGAGGAGUACAACAAAAGAAACUGCUCACAACAAGCCGAUACAUCUAAAAGUCGUCAAGGUUGCCUACGGAGGCAAAGCUAAGUGCAGGAGAGUGAGCGUCGCCAACUCGAGGCUGCGGAGCGGCCUCCUCAAAGUCCAUACUCGAAAAGCUCUCGAUCUCCUCAGGCUCCUCCUCCUGAGCCAUAGGCUCAUCCUGCAGCAUCUCUAAGGCAUGGAUAGCAUUAAGCUCAGCGUGGUGCUCCUAUAGGUGCUCAUUGGCGUUUGCUAGCUCCAUGUUCACAUCAUAGAAUUUGUCGGCCAGCAUCUCAAUAUCAUGAUCCAUAUCUACUAUCUCCUCCUCUAAACUAGAAAUUCGGUUCUCAAUAUCAGAAAUCUGGACAUCCUUCUGUACCAACUCAAGUGACAAGUCCACCAUGCCAUUCUGCACGGUGGUGAGGGCAACCUGGUUGGCCACUGCCAUCCCAAUCACAAUGGUCAUAGCCCUGCUUUGCAUCUCAAUCAUCUAGUAGAACACAUUCAUGCAGUGGGCUGAAACAAAAAUCAUGCGCUGUGGGUCCAAAACACUUAGCAAGUCCAUGUGCUCCAUGCGGUCCAACCAAUCCGGAUCUCUCCUAUCCCUGGCAGGAAACAACCCAAUCGGGUCUAACACAAUCUCCAGGGGGUGCGCCCUACAAAACUGUGUCAACGCCUGCAAAGCUGCAAACUCCCACGUGUCCUGCAACGUGUGUCCCUCAGCCACAACCUCCAAAAGUGGCCACUGGGGCUGGUCUGGUGGUGGGGGCACCUUCACGUGCAUGUAGCUCCGAGGAAUCCCGUGGUCCUGGUACGCGCGUCCCGCGUAAACAGGCGGUGACGGGUACCCAAACGAGCGCAGGGUGUCCCACAGUAUGGCCGGAAAACCCUCAUAGUGGAGGCACGUCGAGUGGGUGGUGGCAUCCACACCAACCGCAACAUACACGAGGUGAGCCAUCUGUAACAAAAGGACAAGUAAGAAACGGAAUCAACACUCGGAAAUCAAAACAGAUUUCUGACAGUUAGAGAAAAUAUCAUAACUCAGCAAGUAUUUAUCCAAAAUUUCUCAAAUUUUACUAGCAGGUUCUUUAGGUAGUGUGUAACAAGUUUGGUAUUCAAAGGUAGAGCUAAAACUGAACCUAACAGGUUGAUAAGCUCAGAUUUCUAUCAAGUGGUACAUGCUGGAAUUUUUCAAACCUGAGCUGAAGUAAACUGAGCAUAAGUCCAAAACUGCUGCUAACUCUAGGUCAUGAGUCGGGUAAUUCUGCUCAUGUGGCUGUAAUGCAUGUGAAGCGUAGGCAAUGACCCGAUUGUCUUGCAUAAGAACACAUCUCAGUCCAGUGCCAGAAGCAUCACAAUAGACAUCAAACGACUUGGUAGUGUCUGGCUGGGCUAACACUGGUGCUGAGGUCAGCAACUUUCUCAAAGUGUGGAAGGCUUCUUUGCACUUCUUGCUCCACACGAACUUGACUCCCUUCUUCAGCAAUUCGGUCAUAGGCUUAGCUAUCUUUGAAAAAUCAGGAAUGAAACAUCGAUAGUAGCCUGCUAGACCAAGGAAGCUUCUGAUUUGAUGAACUGAAGUGGGUGGCUUCCAGUCCAUCACUUCUGCACCUUGCUUAGGUCAACUGCUAUGCCUUCACUGGAUAUAGUAUGUCCUAAGAAUUUCACACUAUCUAGCCAGAAUUCGCACUUGGAGAAUUUGGCGUACAGUUGGUGAUCUCUUAGUUGUUGAAGAAUAAUGCAGAGGUACUUAGCAUGUUCCUCCUCAUUCUUGGAGUACAUGAGAAUGUUGUCAAUAAAAACCACGACAAACUUAUUAAGCUCGGGCAUGAAAACCGAAUUAAUGAGAUACAUGAAAUAGGUUGGAGCAUUUGUAAGCCCGAAGGACAUGACCAAGUACUAAUACAAUCCAUACCGCGUAGAGAAAGGCAUUCUUAGGAAUGUCACAUGGCCGGAUCUUGAUCUGAUGAUAACCAGAGCGGAGAUCAAUCUUGGAAAACACUCUGGCUCCAGCUAGCUGAUCAAAGAGAACAUCAAUGUGGGGUAGAGGGUACUUGUUUUUGAUAGUUACCGCAUUGAGGGGUCGGCAGUCCACACACAUCCGCAGACUAUCAUCCUUCUUCUUUACAAAUAGAGCUGGGCAGCCUGAAGGUGACGUGCUUGGGUGAAUGAAACCUUUCUCUAACAGUUCAUGCAAUUGGAUCUUCAAUUCUGCCAGCUCUGCAGGUGGCAUCCGGUAUGGCCUCUUGGAUAUCGGUGCUGUGCCUGGCUACAGCUCUAUGGCAAACUCAACAUCUCUAUCUAGGGGCAUGCCUGGCAAGUCAUUCGGAAACACAUUGGGAUACUCCCACACCAUGGGAAUAUCCUCUAUCCAGGACUCAAUGGCUGGGAAGGCACAAGAAUUUAUGCACUCUCGAGUAGGUAGGUGUAGAGUCAAUGGUCCUUGUGUGGGGGAAUUUACAUGGACGACUCAUGUGGCAAUGUCUAGGGUGACUUUGUGCUUAGUCAUCCAGUCCAUUCCCAAGAUGAUGUCUAUCCCUUCUAACCCAAGGAUGAUGAGGUUGGUAGUGAAAACUUUUCUUCCCAACUAGAGUGGUACAAAGCGGUUAAGCUGAUCUGACCCAACUUUACCACCGGGUGUGGAGAUCAUAUAGGAUCCCUUAGUGUGAUAGAAUUUCAACCCACAUCUACUAUCAACUCUAUUCCUGAUGAAACUAUGAGAUGCUCCCGAAUCAAAUAAAACAAGGACGAGUUGGUUGUGGAUAGAAAAUGUACGCGUUAGCACUGGUGCAUCUCUUGGGAGAUCGGCCAGGUUGAUGAAGUUCAAUUGUCCUUGGCGAAUCUGCACCUUUGGCCUCUUGCCCUUGUUGUUUCCAUUCAAGCUCUGCCCUUGACUCUAGUUCUUGUUUUGCGGGCACUCUUUCGCAAAGUGGCCCGAUCUCCCAGAAGUGAAACAGCGGUUCUCACUGUUUGGGCAAAGUGGCAGUGGAGCAUCGGGCCUUAGGCCUUGCUACUGAAAUCCUGAAAAGCAAGGCGCUCCCUGCUGUUGCUACGGUGGUCGGAUAACCCACAGUCCUGGCUGCAGGGUUCUCUGUGGAGCUCUCAGGGGAAUCAACCGAAACUUUUGUGCUGGGGCACUAGGGGAAGGCAUCGGCGCUUUUCUCUUCUUGUCGGCCUUGAGGGCCAUGAUGCAGUCCUCUUCGGAGAUAGCUAGAUUGACUAGCUCAUGGAAGGUAUCCACUUUUACCAGAUUCAACCUCUCCCUGAGCUUGAGACUGAGGCCUCUGCAAAAUCUAUCCCACUUCUUCUCAUCAGUAUCCGCAUGAUAGCCUGUGUACUGGCACAAGUCAUUGAAAGCCUGGGUGUAUUGUAAUACACUGCAGGUGCCCUGGGUGAGUGCGAGGAACUCAUUCAGCUUCCUCUCAAGAAGACCUUCAGGGAUGUGGUGCCUCUUGAAGGCGGUCUUGAACUCCACCCACAUGACCACGUGGUCAGCGGAAAGCAUGGCAUGGUAGUGGUCCCACCAUAGCCGUGCCGAUCCUUGCAGCUGCUGGGAUGUGAACUUUGCCUUGUUCUCAUCGGGGUAAGGCGAGGUAAGAAGCGUGAACUUGGACUCUAUGGUGCGAAUCCACGAAUCGGCGUCGAGCGGUUCCUCUGUCUUGUGGAACAGAGGGGGCUGGGUGCCAAGAAAGUCCUCGUAGCUAGCCACGCGAGGUUGGUGAGCUCUCCCACCAUGUGGCAGCUACUGCUGCUGCUGACCUUGAACGAUAUGCUGCAGCAGCUCCGUCUGCGUGGCGAGAAUAGCCUCCAUGGAAGGCGGGGGAGGUGGUGGUGGCGGUGGUGUCUGUCGUUGACCGCUACCACUUGGUGCAAAGCCGGAAGGGUUUUGAUGGGUUCCAUGCACCAUCUGCAAGAGUGAACUCUUCCAUUAGUCACACAAUCUUAAAGCUUGCUCAUGAGCAUAUGACACAAGGUAAAUCAUGUGCGGCAUGUAAAAGUUCAUUGUGCAGUCAAAUCUUUUAGGCAGGAAACAGUCACUUGAGUGGAACUGAUUUUCUUUUGCUCCAAACAUUUACAAUCUUUCAUCUUUGGUUAGUGAGUAGAAGGUUUUGUGUACUACGACUUUGGUAUUCCACUCGGAGACCAAUCAAGAGUUAGCAAGGUCAAACAUCGUGUUUAAGCCGGGUCUGUCCUGGCUGUUUUCAGCAAGCUGAGCCGCAGAGUUUUUACUCAUAACUCGAGUUUGACAAACCAAAAAGGGCUGGAAUUUUACGAGUAGUUAGAGUAGGAAACCUUGCAUGACUUUGGUAUUCAAGUCUCAGCUCGAAAGAGAACAGAAACAAGGAUAAAAACUCAAAUACGACAGCUGCUGGAAAAGCCAAGUUUUUAGGGAAUUACCACAUCGCUAGUGUUUGUAACUCACCCACUCCUAUGUUAGGUCCGUAGCACAUGCUACACAAAAGAAUACUCGACUCUAAGCCAAACUAUUACAGCACCAUCCAAAAUUUAGGCUACGCUGAGGAGUACACAAGAUCAACUCUAACGCAUCUAGAAAUCAUCGAGGUUGUUGACGGAUGCGAAGCUGAUCACUAGAGAGUGUGCGGCCCAAGAAGGUGGCUGUAGGGCUACACUCUCAAAGCUCAUGCUGGAGAAACCCUCUGUCUCCUCGGGGUCCUCCUCCAUAGGCUCCGGAGGUUCCUGCAUGGCGGCCUGCUCUUGGUGAUGCAUCUCAAGGUGCUCAUUGGCAUCGGCCAACUCUAUGUUAAGGUCAUCGAUCUGCUCUGCUAACAUAUCCAUGUCAGCCUUCUGGUCUUCCAGUUCCUGCUGCAAUUGACUGUGCGCCUCUAGCUCUGCGAACCAAAUGCCCUUACUGAUUAACUCAACUGAUAGGGCUGUCAUCUCCCUGGUUGUGGCAGUGAGGGCCACCUGCUUGGCCUGGGCCAAGUCUGUCAACCUAACCGUGGCUCUAGCUCUAAGCUCAUUCAGCCGAUACAGUGCAUUCAUGCACCUAGCUGAAGUAAAGAUAGUCUUCUGUAGCUGCAGAUAACCCAUCAACUCCAUGUUAUCCAUGCGAUCUACCCGGUCAACAUUCUUCUUGUCCUUUGUCGGAAAUAGCCCAAUAGGGUCCAAUACUGUCUAAAUCGGGUGCUGCCGGCAAAAUAGGUUCAAACCUUCCAAGGCUGCUGUCUCCCACGUAUCAUCUAGGUGAUACCCAGUGGUCACUGUCUCGAGAUGUGGCCACUCGGGGUGCUCUGGGUUAGGAAGGACAGUCAUAUGCACACUGCUGCGUGGGACUCCAUACUCCUCAUACUCCCGACCGGAGUAGCGAGGAGGUGUAGUGUGCCCAAACACCCGUAGGGUAUCCCACAAAAUGGAAGGAAAGCCCUCCUAAUGGAGACACUCUGAGUGCACGCUCCCAUCCAUGUUCACCACAACAUUGACCGGAUCAGCCAUCUGGAGACAAAAAGAAAGUGAUAGGUGUAAGAACUAGAUCAUCACUUAAUGAAAAACCCAAGAUAGAUUCUGGUAAGUUAGCGAAAUAUCCAUAUCUCACAAAGUAUCCAUCCAAAAAUUCUCCAAUUUUACCAGAGGGUUUUUUAGAUGAUUUCCUACAAGUUUGGUAUUCAAGGUUUUAUCUGAAUCAAAUCCUAAGAAGGUGAUAAACUAAGAUUCUCACAAAGUAGUCCAUUCUGAAAUUUCAGAGACAGUGCAGAAAUGAACAGAUUAUAACUCCUAAACCAUUUAUACAACUUGGCUGAAAUUUUACCACAAGGUUCUCUGCUCCGUGAUUAACAACUUUGGUUUAAAGGUGCCUAACCGAAAACAUCCUUAAGGCAUCGAAAAAUUAAAAUCCUAGCAGAUGUGUAAACUGUGUUUCCAGCAAACAGGGGGUUACUAAACUAGGCACAACUCAAGAUUUCCUUGGUCAAAUUUUAUGAAAGUUCUAACAGCAUUUUGUUUAGGAAAUUUUACACAACUCUCUUAUAGAAGGUUUCUGGAGUAAACAAAAGUAAACAACUCUCUUAACCAAGACCAACACCGCUGAACAUAGGCAACCAGAUAAUCCUUAGUAACGGUGCAAGAUAUAGAGAGGACAAAACACAUAUGCAAGGUUGGUUUACAUCUUUUAUGUUGCGAUUUUUAUUUAUGAUGCAUGCACAACCUAUUCAUCCUCAGAAAAUAAACAAUUGCCAAAAAUUUUGGACUUACGUGGUCAGUGCCGGUGGCGAGGCAACAUUUACGGCUCUCACUUAUAAUAACUAGUCGAAUUUUCUAUCCGUCGUUAACUUACGUAAUCGCGGUUAGUGUACCUGUAGAAAAUUCCAACCUGAACCUUUCGUGCCAGCACUCACGAAAGCAUCCACAUUCAUUAUUGUCCACUAUAGGAACAGCACCCGAACGAUUUUCACUGUACAGGCAACAUUCAUAUGCUGAGAUAGCGUAUUCACUUUUUAUGUGCCGCCAUCAUAUUUGCAUAUGAUGCUAGGGGCAUGUUACAGAAUCGUCAUACCCCUGCGUCAACCUUGUUGUUCAAGAAAGUAAGUUUUCCAACCGGUUGUAAAUGUACUGGGAGUCAGUAUAAGAUAACCAAUAGUUAAUUAGCCACCUAAAACAACUCAAAAAUCCCUUAGGACUUCUCGUACUAACUUUAUCCUCAACAAACUUACGCAUUUUUCAAACACUUUUCUUUCAAGUUUUAUUCGAAAAAGGUAUUUAGGGCCUGUUGCUUUCUCUGGUAUGCUUUUCCGGCUUUGAUGCCAGCUGUGGCAGAACCACCCAAAUUAACCUGGCUAAAGUGUCCUUAACUUCGCCUCACAUGCAAACCGACACUUUAAUCAAGCCAAUUUGGUAGUCUGUUGGGUUAUACCCGAUAAACCACUUGUCUCGGAUUGAAACAAAAAGCAUCUCACACGAAGGCGAGUCCAGAGAUUACAACAUUCCAGUACUUAAUACAUAAAUUCCAAUUCAGUUAUUACACAACCAUUGUUCAAAAGUGCAUAAAGUGAAUUGUUCAGAGUUCAAAGGACCGGAAAGAGUACGGCAACUAGACGUUCAAGUAGAUACAUCAUGGUGAAGCCAACCAUGACGUCAGUUACCAUGGUCCUCGCCGACCGAGGAUGGGUCCUACUCGACCGUCCAACCCGGAGGGAGCUAGGUCGGCCAAGUUAACCUUGCAGCACACUCAUCAACAUCUAUUUCAUUACCUGAAAACAAAGCCACAAUCAAGGCUAAGUAUAUUAAUACUCAACAAGACUUACCCGUCGGGUGGUAACUACUCCACCGACUUCUAGACAUGCAAGGCUUUUUGGCUGAGGGGUUUGUUUUGCCAAAAUCAUCUAAGUAGGUUUGUUUUAGCAGCAAGUUCUAGUAGAUUAUUUAUUCUAGGUAAGCAACCUAUUCUAAGUAAGCAAGUUGAGCAAAUAAUUUUAUUCCAAGCAUCAUCAUUUAAGAUAAUCAUUCUCUGUUUCACUUGUUACUCAGUGCAGCAUAGUAGUCAAGCAGUCUCAAACUGUGAGAGGCAGAUGAUUCGAAUCAAGUUUUUUAAACCUUGCAAGGUGAACCUAACCUUACGACAUCCGCGUACCAUGACGGGUUUGCUUCACUUGUCAGCUAUCCCCAUCAAUCCCUAGCUACGUGUCAGGGCCAUUUCCCUUGGAUACAAGGCCCCACGAUCCUGGACGACGCUGUACCGUGACUGCACUUGUAGCCACAUGAUGCAUCAGGGGAAACUCUGUUCCAGAGAUAGUGGGACUGUCCGCUCACGUCCCGGUUCGAUUAGGUACUAGGCUUCCCUAUCCCAUACUAGGUAUGAGAUUAGUACUUUCAAACACUUGACCACGAACGUUGACAUAUUUCAGCCUUAGCGUGUUCAUCACUAGACAGACGGGACAACUCCUAUAACUCGCGAGUGAUAGGAAAAAUCAUUCAACUUUUACUGAAUCCUACUUUAGCAUUGCAGCUACUUGGCCUAUCAUACUAGUGUUCAACCAUAGGUACCUAAGAUCAUGCAACUAGGUUUCUAAUCAACUCCUAUGAACGUAAGUGCAUAAGCAUAAGUAUCAUAGAUAUUGCAUGAAUUUAGAAAACUGGGUAAUGCUCUAGGGCUUGCCAUCCUAGACUAAGUUAGUGAGCGGGUCAUUGGAUGCUUCGCUGAUCUCCUGCUCGUCCUUGGCAUGGUGCAGCUCAGCACAUCCUUCCUCCGCAGCAGGUAACAACUCGUACAUCCCAUCUACGAGGUUCACUUCUACACGAGAUGCAUAUGCAAUAUUCAAGAUUUUACGAUCUCACGUGCAAGAUGCAUUCAUAAGACAUUAUAGAAGUGUAAAGCUUACAAUGAACACGUAACCAAGUCAAGAUUCAAACUUGAGUUCUUCGUGAGAUAAAGUGAUUUCGUGUUUUAAACCCUAGGUUUGAUUGAUGGUGAUUGUGUACACAUAUAAGGUUUUAGAAACUUAUAUUUCACAAAGAAAGGGUAGGGUCACUUUAGGGUUGCUCUAAAGUCAUUUGGAAAGUUAUCCUAUUUCUGAAUUUUUAAACAACUCAAAUUAUCAUAUUUUAAGUGUAUUUAACUACAUGCAUUUAUUUGGGCAAGGCAAAACAUCUAGCAACCAGAAGCUAGUAUUUUUCCUGGAUAAACAGAGGCAUCAAGAACCUAACAAAAGUGAUCUUGCAUUUUUAUCUAUUUCCUUUUAUUUACAGAGCAAAAAAAACAAGAUCACACCUAGCAUCCAAGCAUUUAACUCAACUCAGUGAGUUUCACAACUAAACUAGUGCUGCAAAAAAUAUAUUCAGCACAAGCUCAACAUAACCAAACUAACAGAAGUGGAUUUGGCUUUUUAUCAUUUUUGUGUGAUUAAUGGGGCAUUUAUGGGCUUAAAUCCAAAAUAAAAUCUAGAGAAAAAUCUGCAAUAGUGACAUGCUCAAAAUUAUUUUUCAGUGAAACUACACAACACAUAGAGUUUAACAAAGUUCGUUUUGCAUUGUUCCCAUUUUUCUACAUUUUUCUACAUAUUUUUAAAGUUCCAACCAAUUUAAACCAUUUAAAAAUGAAAAAGGAUAAAACGUUUCACGUUGGGGCCCUUGGAAGGAAACAGGGCCUUUCAAAUAGGUCCCUGGGUGGUCGGCGGCUUUCUGGCGAGAUUGCUGGUGAGCGGCGGCGCUAAAGGGGGAGGGAAGGGCUCAGGUGUGAUGUGCUGCUCACCGCGGUGAGGUGCGCUGAAGGAGUCGGGGGUGGAGAUGGUCGGAAGAGGGUUGUCCGGGACGACGCUUGUCACGGCAAUGGGAAGAUUCUGCGCUGGCUUGGUCGAUAGUGGAGAAGACCUAGCUGGGGCUCGGUGAGCUGCGGUGGGGUGCCAGUGAUGCGCUGGAUUUGUUUGCUGGUGGCGGAGGGCACUGGAGGGUGAGGCUCGACUGUGAGGGGUGCGGCGGCACUCUGCUUUUGGGCGGUGGAGGAAGACGAGCUCGGGUGAGCGCUGGCGAGUGUGGUUUUAAGGCUUUUAUAGCCGGGAGGGGGUGCGAGGGUGCGAGGGGGAGAGCCAAUGGCUCAAGGCGGCUUGAGUGGUGGUUGGGCGUGAGGGGAUGGGAGGAAUGCCACUGGUGGAGCGGCAGGCGAGCGCAGCAGUUGGCCGGCGGAGAUGCGAGCACUUGAGAGCGAUCUCCAACCAUUGGUCGUGGAGGAUUGCGAAGUGCAAGGAUGCUUUGUGUCGCACGCAUGGGUUGGGUGGAGAGGGGCUCAAAUUGUCCCGUCACGCCGAUGAGAGGCGGAGCAGCCAGCAUUGGUGAGCGGGCGUGACGUGGCGGCGAGCGGGCACGUGACCAUGGCGCGACUGUUGGGCAAAGAGGAUGCGGCGCCAGGGGAUAAGAUAACGCCAGCGGCUCAUUGGGUGAAGGGGUGCACAGUGCUAUCCCAUCUCUGGCAUGCAGAGGCGAGCGGGCUGGCACAAACGCUGAGGAUGCACGUGGCGCAGCGCGACGCGGCAAGGUGGUGACCGUGCUUAGGCGAGCAAGACUGAAACGCGGCGGCGCGCGAGGCAGCGAGCUUCAAACCGGAUUUGCACAAAAUUUUCAAAAUAAACUUGAAAAAUUUGAAAUCUAAAACUUGUUGUCCACACUUAAAACUCCAACUCUUAGAAAGACAUCAAGUUCAAAACUAGUUUAAAUUUGGAGAUAUAACCCGUCAAAGUUUGAAGGAACACCUGUUUUCAGGACUUAGAGAAAUUUUGAAAUGAAUUUGAAUUUGGCUGACCUUUGACUCGAAUUUUGAAAUUGUUUCACUCAAAACUAGCAGAAGUUCAAAUAAUCAAAGUGGUGAGGUUUGAAAAGUUCUACAACUUUUAUAUUGGCAAAACUUUGAGUUGUUAUAUAAAAUUUGAAUUUAUUAACUGCCCCUAAUUUAAGCCUUUUGAGGGUAUUUUUGUCCAUUUUAAGUGUUUGAACUUCAAUCCAAAUUUGGUCUCUUGAAAUUUUUGAGAUGUUUGUUACCAUUCAACCCUGGUUUGAGUAUUAUUCAUAUUUAGUCUUUUGUUUGACUUGAUUUGGUCAAAUUUAGCCUCUAUUGGUGAUGUUUUAGGUGCUUAAGUGAAGUUUGCCCUUAAUCAGAGACAAAAUCAAACUUAGGUGCUAAAUUCAAACUCUUAAACACUCUAACCAGGCUUUUAAAGACUAACUCAAGACUAGGGAUGUUACAGUAGGUGAAAUGGCGAUGGUAUGCACAUGGAACAUAAGCUCACGAAUGGUCCAUUGCUUGUGACCAAUCAGCCAAAAAUGGUAGACCCACAUACCAUGGAGACGAACACGGUUGAGCUCGGACUGCUGAAGCCAAGACAACACAGACCAUUUUAGCUCAUGCGAUUCAUCUGGUUCGAAGAGGACUGGUCACAGAGGUGGCAUUUCAAUGGGCAGCAGCAAAGAUGGAGCCCUGGGCCGUGGGUGAAAAGGUGGUGCCAUGAGGCUCAGCUGAUCCUGAGUAACCGUUGCCAGCGGCUGAAUCGGAGGUGCCAUGCGAACAAGGUGCUGCUGGGGUGCUAUUGUCAACAGCUGAAGCACAGAUGCCAUCAGAGUCAGCUGCUGCUGAGGUGCCAGGGGGGUAGGCUGCUCCCGCUUCUCCGACUCCUCCAAGUUCCAUGCUCCAUCUCUUCCAUGUCCAGCCAUUCUCCACUACAUACACAAAUGAAGAACAAUGGCACCAUAUGCUUACAAUGUUGACCAUAUCAAUACCAUGCAUAUAUUAGUAAAUGAGAUAGACAAGAAAAUGAGCUCGCGUACCUCCAAUCGAACAAUGCAAGAUAGUGAAACGAUGAGUGUAGCUGUUGCCUUGCAAGAACACUGUGCACCCGCCUACUUAUUGAGCACUACGGCGGGCAUGCGAGCUUGGUGUGGCAGGCCAAAGUUGUAAUGAAAAAACGUGAGAUGCUUGGAAUAUAUUCAGGCCUAAGCUUGCCACGAAUCUAGUUUGGAAUCUUCAGUGUUGCACAUUGGUUACAUGUGUGCAUGACGGUGUCAUGGGAUGAGCCUGACGUGUGCGUGUGUACAUUUCGCUGGACUAUCCAGCAUACAACAUGAGACAUUCCUACGAGAUAAUUAUGAUGCAGUUUUCUUUUGCUAGUAAGAUGGGUUUAAUUAAGUAGCAUUAUUAUUGAUAACAAUUUCAUACAGUCUGUUCAAAAACUAAAUAGUGGAAUUUUCCCUUUGUCGAACCUAGCAAAACUAUUGUGAGACCAAGAAGGCCUAUUACUUGCGCUAUCAUCCGGUCUAUUCAAAUGCCUAAUAACGGACUUUCACCCUUGUCGAACUUUACACAACUGUUAUAAGACCAAGAAGGCCUAUUUAUUCGGCUUUCAUCCGGUCAUUUCAAAACGUAGCAAUGGACGUUCCCUCUUCCUCGGUAAAGAUAUCUUGGGCAAUGACAAUGUACCAAUCACAAAUGCAACAAUUUGUGUUAGAACAUAGAUAAACCUUACCAUUCUUAUUACCAGCACCACAUUCGUAGGCCACAACAUAUGUAGGCAUAGAUCCACUGUCAGUACAAUUUCAACGAUGCACUCUAACAAAGGAAUCCAGCAUACAUAGGUAUACAUCCACUAUGGUUACAAUGACACACUCUAACAAACGAAGCAGUAGCAUGGGCUCAUGGCAACCCCACAACAACACAGAAUUCAGCAAAAUGGCCAUCCUAGCGUAGAUACUCUUCUAAAGCACGAUGCCUCACCUUAGUAUUGCACAGCCACGUAGGUGAAAUGGCAAUGGUAUGCGCAUGGAACAAGAGGUCACGAAUGGUCCAUUGCCUAUGACCCAUGUGGCAAAAAGGUCAGAUCCACAUAGAACAAUGCAAGACAGUGAACUGAUGAGUCAAGGCGCCGCUUAUUUAUUGAGCACUAUAGUGGACAUGCGAGCUCGGUGUGGCAGGCUAAAGUUGCAAUGAAAAAUGUGAGAUGCUCGGAAUAUAUUUAGGCCUAAGCCUGCCAUGGAUGUAGGUAGGAAUCUUCAGUUUUGCACAUCGGUUACUUGUGUCCACGAUGGGUGUCAUGGGAUAAGAGCGACAUGUGUAGGUGUACGUUUCGCUAGACUGUCCAGCAUACAACACAAGACAUUCAUGUGAAACAAUUAAAGUGAGAUGAUGAGUCAUAGGUUCCCUUUUGAAUGUGAGUUAAAUGAAAGAAAGACGUUACCACCAUUCAUCUGGAGAAAGAGAAUAAUUGUUGUCAUGUUUUAGAAAUCAAUAAGGUCGGACAGUCCUUACAUUGCCAGAUGCACGGUGCAGGAUGUCAUGACUAGUCCAACUCAUCUAUGGUGCAUGCCUGAAAAGGUCUACCAAGGGCAUCGAUUCGCACUAGAUGAUCCUGACAUGCUAUUGACGGUCGUUAAGUAUCAAAUAUGACUAUCAAUAUAAUCAGGAAUAAAGGAGGGUUGGCAUUUCUUACAUGCAUAUUUGGUUUCAAAUAAUGUAGUUCCACUUGUCCAUGGAGAAUAUUUGGUUGCAGGUGAAUAAGCACAAAAGGAUGGAGAAAGCACCCUCUAAGGAUCCAAGAAACAUGAUUCUGACCAAUGGGAGGUUGCCACGUGUGCAUCCUAUGGAUUGAAGGGCCCAUAAACUACCACAACCACCUCAAUCCAUCAAAGAACAUACACAACUACCAUUGGGACCCACCAAGCAGUCACCCGGUGAAAGGCGGUUGCAAGGGGGGCCCAUAGGGGGUCGGCCAAACUAGGGGUUCGGCCGAACCGCUCUUGUCCCUUCUCAUCUCCAGCUCCCAUGUGGUGCUACCUUAAGUCGGUUAAGGGAUAUUCCUUGAAGAUUUCCUCAUAGAACCGGCUCUUGGAGCCUAUAAAUAUGAGUGGGGCUCCAUUCUAGGACACACAUACAACUAGUUAUCCACUCUCUCCCUCUUAGUUUCCAAGUUAGUGGGGUUAGGCUGGAAUAGCUCUACUUCAGGUUCUAGGUCUCCUUGGAGUCUAGGGUAUGGCUCUUGUUAUCUUUUAUUCCUAGGAUAACUUUAUUCUACUCAAAGUAUACAUCUUCUCUAUAUAGUGUUGUGCUUGGUCCUUAAAUGCAUAAGUUGGUUGUAUACCCUUGCUAUGUUGAUGUGUUAGGAUUAUAUGCUCGUAUGCUAGUCGUAUAUCCUUGCUAUCGUAGUAUAGGCUUAUAUACUCUCAUGUAUGCCUUGAGACCAUGCUUCAUGUUAUGCUAUGUGUGCUUAUAUACCUUGUAUAACUUAGUUGAUCUAUGCUAUGGUAUCGGUUCAAUGGCAUUUAUAUGGUGGCUUCAACCAUUGAUACAAUAGCCCGGUAUGGCUGGAGUGUUGUUAACAAUGCAAGCAUGAUGCUUGGACUGCUUAGCUUCAUUGGAUAUGAGUUUGCUCCACAGGUUGCAGAGGUAGGCCGCAGGUGGUAACAACCCUGUUGGUCCUUUGUAAUCUUCCACGCUCUGGUACACUGUAGGAGUUCAUAAAUUAGCAGUAACUAUGACUAGGCGGAGCCAGUACAGGAUACUGUCUCCUCGUGUGUGCCUAGGUGCAUAGGCCUGAGUUCUAUACAAAUGUGUAUGUAUGUUGUGCUUGUAUGAUCUGUGCAGUAUAUAGGAAGACCAUAUGAACCUAGAGCUAACUCUUAGUUAUCUUGAGAUGAAUCAUGUGUGUGUCAUACUAUCUAUCUAUCUAUCUUACCCUUGCCUUGAGUAUUGUCUCUAUCCAUCUAUGGUAUACUCAUAUGCAUAGUAAACUCUUUUGACCUACCUGCCUUCCUUUGAGAAAUACGAUACCCUUGGGAAUACUCUUGGAUGAAAUACUACAACAGUAUAUCUGUGCGUUUGCGGAUUUAUUCGUGAUUGUAAAUAUACCAACAAGCAUUUCUUGCGCCGUUGCCGAGGAAGCCACUGGUUAAAAGUUUUUUCUUUGUAUAUGUUUAUAUUCAUAGUUGGUAGAUCUUUACUCAAGGAGGCUAACCUUGAUAUGUCUUCUCUAUCUUUGAUGUGAAGACAGGUAGUGUAUGACUGGUUUCGACUUGCCGACUAAUUUCACUGAGAAUUCGGAGUCACUUGUGAGAAGGGUAUGAUCUCGUGUCGUUCCUCCUCAAAUUACUCUCUCGGAAGUCGACCCAGCUUCCUUUGCACCAUCUACGUCAAACGCAAUGGCCCAGAAGUCUCUUCAUGAGUACUCCACUCCCUCAACUUCUCAGGUGCUGAAAGGCCUCAAGGUGGACAUUGGGAACACAAGCUUCGAGAUCAAGACGGGUCUCAUUACAAUGGUGCAGGCUAGCCCAUUCUACGAGAAAGCUAACGAGGACGCAAGUGCCCAUCUGCAGUAGUUCCUAGAACUUUGCAGCACCUUCACCAACAAAGGGGUGAGUGAAGAUGCUAUUCAUCUCCGACUGUUCCCAUUUUCUCUUUUUGGGAGAGAGAAGCAAUGGUUCUAUGCAAACCGUACGGAGGUGAAUACGUGGGAUAAAUGCUCUGUGGCAUUCCUCGCGAACUUCUUUCCGUUGGGCAAAACUAAUGCCCUUCAUGGAAGGAUUUCGAGUUUCCAGCAAGCAGCUAUGGAGUCAAUUCCUGAGGUAUGGGAAAGGCUUCAGGAGUACAUCCUGGCCUGUCCUCACCACGGGAUGGAUAAUUGGCUGAUUCUUCAGAACUUCUACAACGGGUUGACUCCGACAGCCCGAGGCCAUGUUGAUGCUGCUACUGGAGGAGCCUUCUUCUUGCUUGCCAUUGAUGCUGCUACAACAUUGAUCGAGAAGAUGGUCUCUAAUCAAGGGUGGAGCAAUGAACAAAUCCAGCCCCAACAGAGAGGUACGGAUUCCGUCAAUGGACCUCCUCAUGUAGAGAUUGGAUGACUACACCAAAGAAAAAGCCUCUAUGUCCAACACCGUCCAAGCUAUGGAUUCUCACAUGACGUGUGAGGUUUGUGGAGACACUGGACACUCGGGGAAUAACUUCCCCGAGACUCAGGAGGACAUGUUGUACAUGAAUGGCAACAACAACGGAUAUGGUCCACAAGGAGGCCAAGGGUGGAAUCAGUAAUGACCUUAUCAAGGAGGUAAUAACGAUAAUUCUUUCAAUCCUAACCAACCCUCCUUCAGAGAUCUCAUUUUUGGGCAUGCUGAGAUCAAUGAAAGUUUCACUAAAAAGUUAGCUGCCAAUGAGAAAACCUUGUAGAGCCUCAACAUAAAACUUGAUGGUCUUUCUUCUGCUUUUAAGAACCAGCUGAGUUUUAACAAAAUGCUAGAAACCCAGUUAGCUCAGUUGGCCGCUACUGUUCCUUCUGCUAAGAUCAAGAAGAUCCUGAGGCAACCCGAGUCUUCUCUUGAAAAUGUUACUGCGGUAACCGCCAAAUAGGGUAAGCCAUCUCAGAGGCCAUUUGUUGCUAACCAUGCAGGAAAAGCCCCUACACCAAGGAAAGAAUCAUUGGAUGAACUAGUAGCUACAAGCAGGGAAGAUCCGGGAUACCCGGCGAUCAGUUGCUCGAUAUGGGACUACUACAUCGAGCAGGCCCUUUGUGACCUUGGAGCAAGUGUCAACACCAUGCCCAAGGUGAUGUUUGAAAGGUUGAACUAUCCUACUCUUUCUCCUACCUUGAUAAGGUUGCAGCUAGCUGAUUUGAUGAUCUAAUACCCUGAGGGAAUAUUAGAGAACAUUCCGAUGAAAAUUCAAGGUUCCUAUAUCCCUGUGGAUUUCAUGGUCCUCGAUAUGGAAUGUGAUUUCUUGGGCAACCAUUCCUAAAUGACGCCAAAGCAAGAAUCGAUGUUGGAGCUGGAGAAAUCCGUUUCCGCAUUGGGAGGAAGAACAUGAUGUUCAAGUUUCAACCAAGGGAGGAGCAAUGCUACCUGCUCCAUCAAGAUGAUGAGUGGCACAGGGAGUAGACGGAGCCAUAGCCCCAAUCCAAGAAGCCAUCGACCGCAUCGACAAAACCUAAGAAGACCAAGAAGGUGUGGCGGAAGGUGGAACGAGCAUCCUCAUCCACUUCUCCAGGAUGGGAUGCCAAAUGGUUAAAAUAAUGGAGAAGAGUCCUGCUCGUCGGACUCAAAAUGGUGAGCCCUUUGCCGAAAGGUAAAAUUAGUAGUUAUCUCAUAUUUACCUUCCAAAUAUUGAUUUUCUCAGCAUUUGAUUUUUUUUCAAAUGCAUAUUUGAUUUUUUUUCCAACCCUCAUUUGCAUGCUAGAAUUUUUAUGGCUAUUUUUCCCUUUUCAUAAAAAAUUCUAAAAAUGAUUCUGAGUUAAAUUCUCUUUGAAAAAUCUUUUGAGCAUUUCUAGAGCAAACUUUGGCCGAGGCACCCAGGCAUGACAUCAUGUAGCUAUUAGGAAGCCACCGGCCAAAGCUAGCAGCAAGUGGGCCCGACCAGGGGUCGGCCGAACCAACGACUAGUAGCUGUUGAGCCUCGGCCACCCCCGGCUACCUGGCUCCUUUGCUCUAUAAAUAGAAGGGUUGAUGGGGGUGAUCUUCAUCCAUUACUCACAUUUCAUCCACUCACUCCCUCUCCACUCUUUGCUCUUGAGCUUUCUUGGAAGUUUUGCUCAAAGUUUAGUGCAAGCAUUCUCUCUCUCUCUCUCUCUCUCUCUUGAUUUCUUUGCUGCAAGAUUGGCCAAGCAUUGGAGGAGCAACUUCAGGUAACAAUUUCAUUCAAUUACACUAACCCGUUACGAGUUGCUCUUGUGUUUCCUUUGUUUUCAGUGGCAAUCAUGAAGCAGGUCACCGGUGUGUUCAGAAGGAUGUCGGGUUCAAGCUUGUCCCAUUCGCGGGCUAGCGUGAGCUCUCCUCACUUCUCCGAACCAACACCGAGCUCGACUUUGAUGGACUAUGAAGAAGAGCAAGAAGAGCAAGCUAAACUACAAGUUGAAGCCAUGGAGGUGGACGCAAGGGACACCCCUACCUUGACUUGCAAGGCGAUGGAGAGAAGCAAGCCUACGCCAUCCUCAAGGACCGGGCCUUCGGUCACACCAAGGCCUACGACCCGAAACUUCUAGAGAAAAUAGGUAUGGAUGUCGACUUCGCCUAUGUUUGGUCUACUAUUGGGUAGGAUGAGUUUUCGCCAGUUGGGGAAUUUAGUUCUCAGCCCCUCACCAUCCAGUUUCUUUGCACUCUUUGAGAGGUGAUGGACAAUGUUACGUUCUAACUCUUCAGGAUGGAAUACCAUUUUACUUGGAAACAAUUUAGCCAACACCUUGGAUUUGGUCCUCAUUGCGUUGUUUCUCUUGACAAAGCUUGCCAUGGUUUUUCUCGACAUGGUUUUUGGGGUGCAACCUCUGGCCAAAUUGUCCAUGGCAAAUUUGCACCUUGGUGCAAAGACAUUCAUAAUCCACCUCUUCGCUUGAUGCACAAGUGGCUGGCCAUCACUUUCUUUCCAAGAAAGGAUGUUAGGCACGAGCGCAAUGAUGAGUUGAUGAUAUAUGCCUUGGUCAAGAAUAUCAAGAUUUCCCCUAUUAAGGCAAUGGUUCGGCAAUGGCUUGAGAAUUUUAAGAUGACAGGCCCCAUUGAGUGUACUUCUUGUAUUACCCAUGUCGCUUCAAAGAUCGGGGCUCUAGAUGGGAAUGCUAUUCCCUUCAUUGAGACACCUCAACUUCACAUCGGCGAGGUGUAUUUGAUUUAUGGUCACACACUCAAGAAGGGUUCGGAUGAUUCAUUAGUUUUCUUGUUUCCCGACUAUACAAAUGAGAUCCCAUUACCUAACUCGGAGUUUCAUUUGUAUAAUUGCAAGUCGCUGACCAUUCCUCUUGUACCACAAGAGGAAACUCACAAGAGCAAUGUUUCUAUUGGCAGGAUGACUAAGAGCAUGUCGAGGAGUGCAACCAUGCAGUAGCCACCGCCACCAUAGCCACAGCCACAACCUCCCAUACCUACAGUGCUGGCAGGAUGGGCUCCGACUGGGUACAUGCUCGGGGUUACACCUGGAUAUGCUCUUGGUUGGGACCAGCCCUCCUAUCAGCACAAGGCGAGUAGCUCGGCCUGGCAGAGCUCGGGCAGUGACGAGUAGGCCCAACCAAUCCAUCGGGACUGGUCCACUAGUUCCAGAUUCGGUGGUAUUCCAUCCACGUCCGCCGCUCGGUGCUUGUUCUCAGACCGAGACCACACUGGUCUUGCUCAGUAGCUGAGUGAGCUCACUGUGCGUACUAGAAACAUGGAGGAGUCGCUGAACCAACACAUCCAAUCCACUCAAGAUUGGUAGCGAUAGACGGGCAAGAGGAUCCACGAGAUGCAGCAGUUCCAGUGACGGUAGUGGCAGGAGCUACAGGCUUACUCUCGUUGGACGGGGUACAACCCCAACCAGCAGCAGUGAGCCUGAAGCUAGCUUGGGGGAGGACCCCCACAAGAGAGGUAACUUGUAUCCUUACCGCUUUCAGAAUAUGCAUGAUAAAAAUAAAUAAAAAUCUGGAAAACUAAGAAGACCAAAACUAUUCACUGCUUUCCUAUGCGUGGUAAGAAUGUUUUAAUUCUCCAUGGUUGAAAUGAUGAAUAGUUGCUCUAUUUAUUUCCUCUCAUAUGUCUUGCUACAACUUAGUAUCCUACCCAUGUUUUUAAGUUUAUUGGCUUGCAUGAUUAAACCUUAGCUUGAAACUUGUGGGUAGCAAAAAGCAUGAUCCAUGUCUAGGUUGUUGUGAGAUAUGAUAUGGUAGAGUAGAGCUUCUAUGAUCUUAUUCUAAGUGAUGCUUGAUAUUCAGAGUUUUAUUUUUGAAAAUGCUAAAAUGAUAAGUUCCUCAAUGAUGAGAAUUUCCUAGCUAAGGCCAUAUGUUGAUCCUAUUACAUAGAUUCCACAUAUGCAGCUUGUUCUCUUAUUGAGCUUUGUCAAAUUGUUGUGACCCUUAGUGAGAAACUUUUCAUACUCCCAUGAUCAAGAUCACGUACACGCCACCACCAUAUGCUAAGCUUCUUCACCGGAAGUUAGCAAUCAUAUCAUUUCAUCAAUCCACAAAAUAAAGCACCAUGUUGUUCUAUGACCUCUCUCUCCAAAGUUAUCCUUGCAAAAGAGACUUCGUCUAUACAAAAAGAAAUAAAAUACGUGCUCAUGAAAGCAUUAUGAAAAAAAAGAUAGCCCAUGUCUCAAAAGAAAGAAAGCAAGGAGAGAGAAAUAUCAUACAAAAAAGGAGUCCAUACACCAUCCACCAUAUCCACCAUCCACACAUAUGCACACCUUGAUCAGGUUGUAUGACUUGCUUCUCCAAAGGAUCUGGUCUUUGACUUAGCAAAAUAUGAGGAACAGGUAUGCCUUCAUUCUUCCCUACCUACAGCUCCACAUAUAAGCCUAUUAGGAGUAGGUUGUGAAAGAAAGGCAAUCCUAAGUCUUGGUGAGGAAUCAUACACAUUGAGCAAUCCAAGAGUAUCAUUUGAGAAACUCUGAUUUCUUUUGAAAAACUUUGCAAAAUCACCAGAUUGAACAUUGAUCAAAGGAUGACUAAAUGGUGCUAUAUAAAACCAUUCUAUCACUCAACCACCCAAGACAAGGUAAAGCUACAUGCCCCAUAGUAGUAAGGUAAGAGGUAAGGUCAAUGCUAGCUUAUUCGAUUCUUGGUAGAAUAUUUUAUUGUAAACCAGUGGCAAAUCAACUCAAUUCAAAAAUGUUGAAGUCUUGGAAACCAUGCUGAGUAGAGUAAUUUACCUGCUGAUAUUUUAAAUUCUCAACCUGAUCUUAGGGUAGAGAUUUUACAAAAGUUUUAGAGUAAACUUUGAAGAAUAAAUUUUCAAUAUGAGUCUGGACUAAAUCGCACUAGAACAUGCUCCAAUCCUAGGCUAAAGUCAGCAAGAAAUUCAAAAACAGCACAAACUGCUCUAAGUCUAAACCAGUGAAAACCCUUAGCUUGGCAUGAUGAUUUCUCACAAAAUUUGAGCUAAACUUGAGUUAAACCCUUUAUAAAAGUUGGAGUAUACAACCUAAACUACAACUACACUUAUUUUACCUAGGCCCAAAACUCAACAGAACCAUUUCAAAUUUCAACCCAAAGUCAGCUAAAACACUAAAAUCAGCCUAAACUUGAAAAUCAACCAAGUCUUCAAAGCCGGUGUUCCCAAGAACUUUGAGCUCAAAUAACUUUCAUUUUGACCUGAAUUUGUAGUGCCUUUCUAGAACUUGUAGAGGGUAGUUUGAACUACAACUUUGCUAAUUGGAGUUCGCCGAGUUUCAAUUGAAAUUUUUGCCCAAAAAUCAUUCAAACCCGCGCCCUUCGUGUGGCCAUGUGCGUGUGGAUCCUCGAAUCACGCUCGGCGCAUCGUCUUCCUCCGUGUGGUGCCACCCCAUCGGAGCUCCGCCGUCGCCCAACCCCGGCUGAGACAAGACCCGUCGACGCGCCUAGGUGCCCAGUCCCGCGUUGUGCUUAUCUUCUCCCCCUAGUGCGCUAUCCCCGCCACCCUAUCCCCUUCGCCACUGCACGUGCCCACGAGCUCCUCCACCCGCCACGACAUCGCUGGCCAUGAGCCAAGCUCCCUCCGUCAACCCACACCUUGGACGUGACUCGACAGUGCCGCAACUUCGCCAAUCCAUCCUCCCGGCAAAGCCGCUUCUUCGCGCUUGCAAUCGCCCACACCCGAUGGCCACAAGAUCACCCCACGACCCGCAUCUGCUUCUGCCAGUCAGCACCGCCGGCCAGUGCCAAGUGGUUUAUCGGGUAUAACCCGACAGACUACUAUUUUAACUUGAUUAAAGAGUCGGUUCGCAUGUGAGACAAAGUUGAGUACACUUUAGCCAGGUUAAUUUGGGUGGUUCUGCCAUAGCUGGUAUCAGAGCUAGUUUCUGAUGCCACGGCUCAGACCUGGAAAAGCUUGCCAGAGAAAACAACGGACCCUUAACACUUUUUUUUCUAAAUAAGUUCGUUAAGGAUGAACUUAGUACGAGAAGCCUGGGAAUUUUGGGUUAUUUUUAGGUGGCUAAUUAACUAUUGGUUAUUUAUACUGACUCCCAGCACCUACGCAGGGGUGUGGCGAUUCCUUAACAUACCCUCGGCAUCGUAUGAAAAUACGAUGGCAGCACAUAAUGGUUGGACGUAGGGGUAUGCUGAUUCCGUAACAUGCCUCCGACCUCAUAUGCAAAUAUGAGGGUGGCACAUAAUGGUUGGAUAAAUGUGAAUACGCUUUUCAGCGUAUGAACGUUGCCCGUGCAGUGAUAAUCGUACGGGUGCUGUUCCUAUAGUGGACAGUAAUGAUUGUGGACGCUUUCGUGAGUGCUGGCACGAAAGGUUCAGGUUGGAAAAUUUUCUGCAGGUACGCUAACCACGAUUACGCAAGUUAACGACGAAUAGAAAGAUCGACUAGUUAUUAUAGAGAGAGUCGUAAAUGUUGCCUUGCCACCAGCACUAACCACGUAGGUCCAAAGCUUUUUUGCAAUUAUUUUUGUUGAGAGGGCAAAUAGGACAUGCAUGCAUCAUGAAUUAAAAUCCGCCACUUAAAAGGCGACAAAUUGAACUUGCAUGUGUGCCUUGUCUAAAAAUCUUGUGCCUGAUAAGGAUUUUCUAGCUGCCUUACUCCGCUAUCCAAAAUUGAUAAAAUCUUUUGAGUUGUUUCCUUAGGCUUGCUCCAGAAACUUGUUAUAAGAAAGUUGUCAAAAAUUUCUAAAACAAAAUGUUGGUAGAAAUAUCAUAAAAUUUGACCAAACAAAAUAUGGGAUAUGUUUGGUUUAGUAGCCCUCUGUUUGCUGGAAACACAGUUGCACACCUUUUGGGAUUUUAAUUUUUCGACACAAUUAAUAACGUUUUCUGUUAGGCAACCUUACACCAAAGUUUUUGAGCACUGAGCAUAGAACAGUGUGAUAAAAUUUCAGCUCAAAUGGGUCAAUGGUUUAAGAGAUAUGAUCAAUUCAUUCCUGCACUGUUUCUGAAAUUUCCAGAAUGAACCCCUCUGUGAGAAUUAUAGUUUAUCACCUUCCUAGACCUUGAUUCAGCUAAAACUUUGAAUACCAAACUUUUUGGACAUGAUCUAAAGAGAAUUCUGGUAAAAUAUCCAAAUUUUUGGAUCACUGGUUUUAAGAGUUAUGCUCAGUUUAUUUCCACACUGUUCUGAAAAUUCCAGGAUGUACCCCCUGGUAAAAACAUGAGUAGAUCACCUUGAUAGAAUCUGUUCCAGCUCGACCUCUGAAUACCAAAAUUUUGGAUAAAUACUUGCUGGGUUAUCAGCUUUUCUCUAACUUGCUAGAAAUUUGUUUUGAUUUCAGAGUAUUGAUUCCCUUUCUCACUUGUAACCCUUUGUUUCCAGAUGGCCGAUCCCGUUUAUGUCGUGGUUGACAUAAAUGGCACCGUUCACUCCGAGUGCCUGCACUGGGAGGGCUUUCCCUCCAUCCUGUGGGACACUCUUCGCUCUUUUGGGUACGAGCGCCCUCCUCGGUACUCCGGCCGAGAGUACAUGGACCACGGAGUGCCCAGGAGCAGCGUGCACCUGAUAGUACACCCCCACCCCGAGCAGCCCCAGUGGCCACGACUUGAGACCGUGGUCCUUGGACACACUCUUGAGGAUGUUUGGGAGAGUGCUGCACUUGAGGGGUUGACACUUUUCUACCAACAGCACCCAGUGGAGAUUGAGUUGGAUCCAAUCGGCUUGUUUCCAGCUAGGGACAAGCAAGACGCAAAUUGGCUGUAUAGGAUAGAAAACCAGGAGUUGAUGGGUUGGUUACAUCCUUAGGAGACUAUUUUUACCUCAGCUAGGUGCAUGAAUGCACUUUACAGGCUGAACAAGCUUCGAGGUAGUGCGAUGACCGCUUUGACUGAGUUGGCAGUGGCCAACCAGGUUGCUCUUUCUACUAUCCAGAGUGAGAUGGUGGAUUUGUCACUAGAGCUUGUAUAGAAGGAUCUUCACAUCUCGGACAUGCAGACACAGAUAGCCAAGAUGGAGGAGGACAAGGCUGAUAUGGAGCAUGAUAUGGAGCUAUUAGCUGACCAGUUUUACGAUGUUAACAUGGAGUUGGCUGAGGCUAAUGAGCACAUAGAUGAGCACCACACGUAGAUGAGCACCACGCAGAGAUGGAUGCCAUACACGCCUUGGAGGCACAACAGGUUCAGCAAGCCGAGCCUAUGGAGGAGGAGCCUGAGGAGAUCGAGGGCUACUCGAGCAUGGACUUCGAGAAUCUUACCCCUCAGCCACAGAUGGGCGCAACUCACUCCCCCGCACUCAGCUUUGCCUCCGAAGGCAACCUGGAUGACUUUUAGAUGUGUUAUUUAGACUUGAGUAGUUUUCUUUUGUUUUACUCCUCGGCGACCUAUAUUUUGGAUGUUGAUGUAAUGGGUUACUCUCGAGUCGAGUACCUUUGCUGCCAUUAACUUGUUAUGUGAGCAUUGCCAUGCUUUUGUCAUAUCUAGCGAUGUAACCCGAAAACUUGGUAGAAAUUCAGAAGCUGUUUAUUCUCAGUUUUGACCUUGUUUUCAAUCACUUUCGAGCUAAGACUUAAAUAUCAAAGUUGUGCAAAACCUUGUGUUCUAACUACUCAUAAAAUUUCAGCUCCUUUGCAUCUGUCAAACUCGAGUUAGAACAAAAACUUCACCGCUCAGCUUGCUGAAAUACAGCCCAGACAGCAAAGUAUCAAACUAAUUUUUCACCCUUGUUACCUUCUGUUUCGGUCAGCAAGAGUAAUACGAAAGUUGUCACGUAUAAAAUUUCCUAGCUACUGACCAGAGAUGAGAAAUAAUGGGCAUAAGAAAGAGGAAAUAUGCACCUACUCAAUAAGUUAUAUUGCUAUUUUAUCGCAAUGCUGCCAGCAAGAUGAACACUUACAUUCCACACAUAAUUUUCCUGUGCUUGAACAAGUUUCUAAAUUAUGUGACUAAUGGAAAAGUACCCUCUUGCAUAUGGUGCACGGAACUCUCCAAACACCCUCCAGGUUUGCACAAAGUAGCAGCAAGUAGAGGCAGGCACCUCCGCCGCCGCCUCCCCGCCUUCGCUGGAGGCGAUCCUGGCUGCAUAGACAGAGCUCCUACGACACAUCGUCCAGGGGUAGCUGCAGCAGCCGCAAGGCGGAAGGAUCCCUCAUCAGCCUAAUGUGGUGAGAUAUGAGGACUUCCUGAGCACAUAGCCCCCCUAUUCCACAAGACAGAGGAGCCUCUGGAUGCGGACGUCUAGAUUCGAACCAUUGAGUCCAAGUUCUCGCUCCUCACCGCACCAUGCUUGGAUGAGAACAAGGCCCGGUUCGCAGCACAGCAGCUACGUGAUUCUGCCCAACUUUGGUGGGACCACUAUCAUGCGAUGCUGCCAACCGACCAUGUAGUCAGCUGGGAAGAAUUCAAAACGGCGUUUAGGGGCCAUCACAUCACCAAGGGAUUAUUGGAGUGCAAGCUCAAUGAGUUCCUCGCGCUCUCCCAAGGCCCCCGCAACGUAUUGCAAUAUGCGCAGCCCUUCAAUGACCUGUGUAGGUAUGCAGGUUAUCAUGCGGAUUUGGACCAGAAGAAGUGGGAUCGUUUCUGUAGGGGCUUGAGCCCUAAGCUCAAGAAGAGGCUGAAGCCCAUCAAGGUAGACACGUACAAUGAGCUGGUGAAUCUGGCUAUAUCACAAGAAGAUUGCAUCAUGGCCCUUAAGGCCGACAAGAAGAGGAAGGCUCUAAUGCCAUCACCCAGUGCUCUAGCUCAGAAAUUCCGGUUGAUUCCCCUGCUAGCACCUCGCAGGCCUACACAGCCUGGGAGAUGGGUUGCCCGUCCGCCAUAGCCGGCCGCACCCCGUUUCCCUGGAUUUCAGCCCCAAGGACCAUGGCCGAACCUUCCACAACCUCUGCGCCCUGGUAAUGGAAACUGUUGCUUCACCUGUGGGAACACCAGUCAUUUCACGAAAGAUUGCCCUCAUAACAAGAAUUAGAGGCCUAGUUAGAGCAACCCCGAGAAUAAUAAAGGGAACAGGCCGAAGGUGCAAGUUUGUCAGGGCAGAUUGAACUUCACCAAUCUGGCAGAGCUUCGAGAAGGUACUCCAGUGAUGAUGGGUAUAUUUUUUGUUCAGCAUCACCCUGCCUUCAUAUUACUCGAUUCCGGCGCUUCCCACAGUUUUAUUGGAACCAAAUUUUGCUAGUAAAUGUUGAUUACAAGCACAUCCACACCAGUUUCCCUCACUCGAAUCUCGAGAUGAGAUUCCUUUUAAGGGAGGUAGGCUGUGACAACCGUAGCUAAUUUAGCUUUGAUUAAGCUUGGAUAGGAAGUUUAGGCACUCAUUUAGCACAUGAAAAGUCCAAAUUGCCCUUUUAAAGCUUAAUUUGGGGUAAUUCAAAUUUUGAAAUUUCACAUAACAACUUGAAAUUUUGUCAAACUAUGAGUUGUAAAACUUUUCAAAACAAAAAACAUUUCUUAUUUGCACUUUGGCUAAGUUGGAGAGGAAGAGGUUCAAAAACUAGAUUUAAAACCAGUGGCAAAUCAACUCAAUUCAAAAAUGGUUAGUCCUGGAAACCAUGCUGGGUAGAGUACUUUAGCUGCUGAUAUUUUAAAUUCUCAACCGAAUCUUAGGGUCGAGAUUUUACAAAAGUUUUCGAGAAAGCUUUGAAGAAUAAAUUUGUCAACAUGAGUCUGGCCUAAAUCACACUAGAACAUGCUCAAAUCCUAGGCCAAAUUCAGCAAGAAAUUCAAAAACAGCACAAACUGCUCUAAGUAUAAACCAGUGAAAACCCUUAGCUUGGCAUGAUGAUUUCUCACAAAAUUUGAGCUAAACUCGAGUUAAACCCUUAUAAAAUUUGGAAUAUACAACCUAAACUACAACUCCACUUAUUUAAUCUAGGCCCAAAACUCAACAGAACCAUUUCAAAUUUCAACCCAAAGUCAGCUAAAACACUGAAAUCAGCCUAAACUCGAAAAUCAGCCAAGUCUUCAAAGCCGGCGUUCCCAUGAACUUUGAGCUUAAAUAACUUUGGUUUUGGCCUAAAUUUGUGCCUAGUGCCUUUCUAAAACUUGUAGAGGGUAGUUUGAACUACAACUUCGCUAAUUGGAGUUCACCGAGUUUUAAUUGAAAUUUUUGCCCAAAAAUCGUUCAAACCCGCACCCUUCGCCCGGCCAUGUGCGCACAGAUCCUCAAAUCGCGCCCAACGCGUCAUCUUCCUCCACGUGGCGCCGCCCCACCGGAGCUCCACCGUCACCCAACCCCAGCCAAGACAACACCCGUCGACGUGCCCAGCUGCCCAGUCCCGCGCCGCGCUUAUCUUCUCCUCCUGCCGCGCUAUCCCUAACACCCUAUCCCCUUCACCACCGUACAUGCUGACGAGCUCCUCCACCCACCAUGAUAUCGCUGGCCAUGAGCCAAGCUCCCUCCGCCAACCCGCGCCUUGGACUUGACCCGACAGUACUGCAGCUUCACCAAUCUGUCUGCCUGGCAAAGUUGCUUCUUCAUGCUUGCAAUCGCCCGCACCCAAUGGCUGCAAGAUCACCCCGCGACCGCAUCUCCUUCCACCAGUCAGUGCCACCAGCCAGUGCGCCCCCGCCCUGUUCUUCUCCCCCGCUCGCCUUCGGCCAUGUCCGGCACCAGCAUUCGCUCUGCCUUGCCCCUCCGCGCCUCCCCAGCCCUAUUAAAGGCGUGGAUGCCCGCUAGAGAAGCAAAAGCAGAUGGAACUAUUGGGCAGUACAAGGAAUCCAGUAUAUUCAUGAUCGGAGGCCAUUAAUGGAGGAUACGUUGCUACCCUACGGGUAUUCAUGAUGCAUGGUACCCACAAAUAGGACCAGAAUGAAUUUUCGUCAUCCUCGUUCUGAUGAACAGCACGGAAAAGGUAUGUGUCUCGUUGCUAUGAAUACACAUGCUCACAUAUACACUCCAAUGGUCAACCCUGUGAAUGCUUGCACGUAGGUACGAGUCUUGUUCCAUGCGGUGGCUGGAGAUGCAACAGAUUAUGAUGAUAUAUUUCGAGUUCAAGAUUCAAAGGAACUUGAAUUCAUGAAUGACAAUCUAGAACAUGGCUUUAACUCCCUCAUGGGGCAUCAUGAGAUUGAGCGUGUGUGGGACCAUUCCGGUUGUGUAAACAUAUCCUGCAUUCUUACAGUACUAGAGGAUGAUUGCAUUGAAGUUCCACCUCCAUCAGUAGGCAGAAGCAUAUGCACAACAAUUGCAACCCAAGCCCCUAUGAUAUCGUCUUUGACAUAGGCGGCCGGGUGAUUCAAGCAAGAUGGACUGAUGUGGCGGCAUUAUCUCGUGUGAUUGAGGCAUUGCUCUAUGGCAGCAGAGUGGAGUCAAAGUCAGAAACUAUUUCAAUUAAAGACACUAACCUUGCUGGCUUUUCACUGCUAAUCAAAUACACCUGCGAAGGAUCACUCCUAGAGAAGGCUGAUUUAUGGGACACCUCUAUCAACGCCUGGCCCAUGUUACUCUCACUCGUCGACAUGUACUACAUCAAAUGGUUGAAGCUGCACUGUGUUUCAAAGAUGUGGGACAUGGCGUGUGAGAAAACUAUUAACACAUUUCUACGAUGGGCAUUUGAGACUAACUGCACCCAAUUGUAGGAGAAGUGCAUGUCUCUCAUAGCACUAAUCUCGUCGGACAGAAUUCUCACAGAGGAUUUUGUGUUCGUAUGUUACCACCAUCCCGAAGUUAUCAAGAGGAUCCGUGUGCUUGCUUUAAAGAAUGUCGAGUAGAGAUUAGGAGGCUGCCGCCAGGGUCCGCUGUAGUUUUAAUGUAUUAUUCAAGUGUAUUUUAUCAUGUAAAUAGUCAAAACAGUACAUUAAUUUGUUGCACUCAAGUACAUUUGUAAUGCAAUAGUUGGAUCAUCCUGCAGAUAUGAAUCUACCAAGGAGGAUAAUCCGUGGAGUGCUCAUCAAUGCCAUGAUGCCACGGACUGUCCCAGACUCCCUUCUGGAACCGCUCAUCUAUGUAAGGUCACUGACGCUUGGGUCCGAGUCCAAAGCUGUCCAACAUGCCAAUGACCUAGGUCUUGUGGCGGUUUCCAAAGAGUUUCCUCUCCCUCUACCAAGCACAAAGUCGGGAUCUGAAGUUUUGAAUUCCCUGGUCCUCCUUCAGGUCCUCCCCCUCCCACAUCCCACCUGGUAAUUCCAAAAUUAGUCCCCUCUCCUCUUCCCACUGAAUACCCCUAGUACAUCUGUGGCGGCGGCAGCAAGCGCGACCUUGGAAGCGCCAUCAAGCUAGACUACCAGCGGGCUACCUUGGCUACGAGCGAUGGGCUUCCUCGGCAAUGGGCUUGAAGCUGCUAGAUGGUUCGAGGCCAUCACUCCAUCGGGUUCCUGAGGCUGCCACCGGUGGCUACCGUGCUCGACUACAUGCAAAGAAGACCGAAGAAGCGGCACACGCCCGGGCUGCUCGAUCGAGGUGGCAUUCGGCACCUCUUUCUCUUCACGUUCAUCAGGUCAGCAGUCUCCUCCCCGUAUUGCUAAAUUCAAUUAUUAGAUUGCUUGCCCUUGCUCUUUGGAUUUCAAUAUUGUAGUUUCAUGCUUUGGUGAAUGUGGAUGUGCUGUACCCUAUUGCGAGAGUUGGUGAAAAAUUACUAGUCCACCAGAUCCCCUUUAUCUUUCACCUUUUCCAAUAAUUAUUUUUGUGCCAAUUUAUUUAUGUGGUUUGUAGAACUUAAUAGAUGAAAUUAUUAGAUUGCUUCCCCAUGCUCUUUGGCUUUCACUAUUGUAGUUAUAUUGGGGAACGUGGAUCUGUUGUCCCCUAUUUGUAGAGUUGGUGAAAAAUUACUACUCCAGCAGAUCCCAUUUAUCUUUUGCUUUUCCCAAUAAUUAUUUUUGUAGAACUUAAUAGAUGAAAUUGUUUCAGUUUGCAGAUGAUCUCAACCAUUUCCACAUGUUCUUAUGCUUGGUUAUUUGUCUGUUCUUAAUUUAUACUUAAAAAAAUGCAUCAACUGAAGUUUGACUAUAUCCUGUUUCAACCGGCCAAAGGAUCAACAUAUGUAGUCGCUCCUGUUCAAUCCAGCUCCAGGGUAACAAACUAAACACAUGAUGAUUAUUGAUGUUCCUUCUUUCCUUAGUUUAAAUCAAUUAUAAAAUCACAAUUUCCUUAGUUUAAAUCAAUUACAAAAUCACAAUCUGAUUUCAGAUCCACUGUUGCUAGAUGGAAGUUCUCAAAUCAAUGUUGCUUCUUGCUAAAAAAAACCUGAUGAGGCAGCGGAGUACUCAAGAAGCUCCACCAAAUCCUUAUGCAGCAGUGUUGAUGGGGAGCAAGUUGACGCCGACAAACUAGAUGGGGUACAACUUCGACAACGGUUUGUUGCUCACCAGGAAGAGUUAGCUACCUUGAAGAAGAAGAUAGAAGAAUCAGAAUCAACUCUCAAAUUACAGUCAGUCGAGAUUGUGAAAUUGAAGAAGGUAACACCAGAUAUUGAAGAACUCCUUCGUCGACUGCUAACCUAUAAAAGAGAUUAAGAUCAAUGCUCUACUUUAUCUCUUGAGAUUAUGACCUGGAUGCAGCUUUGUUAAUCUCUAUUCUUUGUGAGACAGUUAUCUUGUAAUAGUUUGUGAUAUGUUAUGAAAAAUAUGGUAGUGGUUGUCUCGAUGGGAAACAAUAAUUUGUUUUCUUGUAUACAUAAAUAGGUGUAUUCUAUUUAUUAUUUUGCUAACCGGAUCAGAAUUGAAAUGAAAUCAAUUAUUUGUCAGGCCCGGUUGGUUAAAUUUAUGUUUGCCUGAAGUGGGCUUAGCCCACAUAUAAUUGGGCCAAAAGUCAAUUUCAUUUAGAAAUCGGGACUAAAAGGGCUACAAACAAUUUGCACAACUUUUGGGCUCGACCCAACAACAAAUUGGCCUAUUGGAAUCAAUUUUCGGCUAUCUGAACAACAUUGGCCUAUGGAAACAAUUUUGGACUCAACCCAACAACAUAUGGGCAAAAUUCAUUUUAUGAUGAAAUAAUUUGUCACAAUUUUCAUGCCACAUCAGAUUCUGUCCCUCAUGGCAAAACAGUAGAAUCCAAUUUAUGAUGUUUCUGUUUGACGAUUCAUAGGCGUCAUAAUCUUAGUGACGCACCGAAAUAAGAAACGUUUCUAGUCACGGUUUAUGAUGCUCGACUAAUGACGAAGGGAUUUCAUCAGUCCUGUGUCAUAAAUCAUGGUUGAUGACGCAAAAAAUGUGUUUAUGACACUUUUUGGUUCGUCAUAGGUCGGAAGAUUUCUUGUAGUGGAUAUAGGUCAUUUGAGUACCUUAACAUGGCUGCAAUAUAACUGAUUUCAGAUUUGCAUAGUGGUGGGUGCUCCAAAGAAGUUGCUGACACAAGCAUAUAAAUUUUAAGCUCCUCAAUGAAAUCUAACUUUGUAGAUGUCCAUGAUCAUAUACAACUUGUGGCAAUGAUCCCAAACUUAGUUUCCAUACUAAUCUGAGCAUGACAUGGUUUAUGCUCAGAAUUUCAUCAUCUUUUUUAGAUACUUCUUGCUAAAUGCUUAUCAUUAACCAAGUUGAUCACAAGAUGUCACACCCUGAAAUUUUUGGAUUUCAAGAUGUGAUUAAAAACAAUGAUUAAACAAUAAUUUUCUCAUAAUUUUAAAAAAAAUUCCAACAUUUAUUUUCUUUACAGGGAAUUUAGUAUAGGAAAACAAUUGGUUAUUUUUCUAAAUUAAAUAAAGUUGUUCUUUGUGUCUCCAUUCAUGCCAAUGCAUUUUGGUUUUUCAUGAGUGCAAAUGUUUCAAAAAAAACAUGUCUAGAUAAUGAUUAGGUCCUUCCAAGGAUUUUUCAGCAUUUUCUGGAAUUUAUUCUCAUUUUAUAAGAGCUAAAUCCAAUUUUUGGAAGGCUCUAGAAUCCUUUUCAUGAGCCCUCGUGUCCCAAUUUAUCUCUAGGAUUUUUUUCUGGAAUUUUAGGAUUUCAGAGUAUUUUUCGUGAGUUAAAUGAUUUAUCUAGAAUUUUAUGGAUUUAUCUUUAUACGCGGAAUAAUUUUCUGAAAUUAUCUUUUCUUUAUCAUAACGGGUCCAGCCCGUGGGCCCGACCCACAUUGGUCGGUCCGGCCUGUCCCAGCCGGCCCGCUCCACUAGCAGAGCCCAUCUGGGUCGACGCCGCCGCUCCCCUGGCCUGCACGACCGCGCCACCGCUAGGCCCUCGGCGUGCGCACCUAGGGCACGCGCAGCCCCGCACCCUAUAAAAAGCACCGCCGAGCCUCUCGUGUCGCCCCUGCUGCACCGCCGCCAGCUUCGCCCUUCCUCGCGCAGCGCCACCGUCCUUCGUCUGCCGGCCGAGCCGGGCGCCACCACCAGCUUGCCCAAUUCGCUGGCUCUGUCGCCCGCCGGAGCAAACUGCCGAUGCUACAAGCUCCACCGAGCCGCCGUGCAUCCCCACCACCCGUCACCGUCGCCGGUCCACUGCUAAAGGAGCACCUCCACAUGAAGGCCCGAGCCGCCGCCUUUUUCUUCCACUAGCAAAACUCCGACCACAUCACGUCUCCAUCUAUCCCGGCACCGGUGAGCGUACCCCAAGCAUCCCCUCGAUCCCCUCCACCUCAUGCGCUGCCCGCCCGUAGCGCCAGCGAGGACCGCCAGCCGGAGCUGCCCACGUGCGAGAGGAGGAAGAAGAAAGCCCCUGAAGAAAUCUAUAAAUAGUCCAAGGUUCCCUAUGUCUUGGUUCUUUUGCAGACAGACCCCCGAAGACGUUAAAAUCUCUACACCCAAGUCCUACUCGAGAGUUUUUAUAGAUCUAACCCUAGGCUUUGACCUAAUCACGAGCAUUGUACCAUGUGUCUUGUGAAUCUUCCUUGCUAGCCCCUGAAGUCUAUGGUUAAUCACGAUUAGAUCCUUCGAACCUUGUUUAAUCCCUAGAUUUCAUGUUUUAGCUCGGUUUCUAUCCGUUCAAGUUGCAUUAGAUUCAUAAUAACAAAAAAUACACGUUAGUGGUGAUGUUUUCCUUCAUGCAUAUUUUUGAAAAUAAAUUUGAUAGUAAUUUGAUUAAUGCCUAUUUGAAUGCCUUUUCUUAGUAAGAAUUUAAGUAGAGUUUAUAUCGGUUUUUCAUAAUCAAUAUUAACUUGACUAAUACUAUUUAAUUGUGUUUUCUAAAUCAAAUUAAUAUAGAGUUGUACCUUAGCUUUUUCAUGAUCAAACUUAAUUUGAUUAAUGCUCAACAUUGAAUCAACUUUUCUAAAUAAAAGUUGAUUAGGUUUUUACACCAGCUUUCAUAAAUAAAUAUUAACUUGAUUAAUACCAAUGUGAAUAUGUUUUCAAUAACAAUUUGAUCCACUUGAAUCAUAAAGUGUACGUUUAGAUAUUUCAUAUAGUUUAGCCUUUCUAAAGCCAAAUGUUAGAUGGUAUAAUCUAUACUUCAAUAUUUGUAUUUAAAAUAUUGUUAAGUUAUAACUCGGUUUUUUCCAAGUAUUGAUAAACUGACUAAUGUCAUUAUGAAAUGUGUUUUCUAAAUAAAUUUUGUUUAGCCAACAUGACAUAUGUCUUUAUUGGAUUAGUUGUUCUCACCUUUCUAAAGUUAAGUGUGUAAUUGGUGUAAUUUAUACAUGAACAUUUAUAAAUCAAACUUGACUAGGUUUUUACCUCGGUCAUUGCAAAUAAAGUAUAAUUUGCAUUAAUUUCAACUAAGGGUAUUUCCUUUCUAAAAUAUCCUUUACAUAUAUUUUUAUAAUUAAAAUAAACCUAGCAUAUAGUCUUUUUAUUCCCUCUUAUAGUUCAAACCUCUCAAUAGCUUUGUCCUUUCAACCAUAGUUUUGUCUUUAGUGUUUUGUGCGCCUUCGCGAUCCAAGGAUCGAGCCUAUCCUUUAGUACGCUCUUUUAAAGUUUUUCUUUUGUUUUAGUGUAUUGUUCUUAGUUGUACUUGUUUGUUUGCUUUGUAUAUUUGUGCCGGUGAUUUCUUCGAGUAGAAGGAUCACUAUUGAAGGUUUGAAGAUUAAGGGUUUCAAAAGAGCAAGAGCUGAAGAGCAGUAACUUUUUGUUGGAGAAAGGCAAGUGUCCCUAACCAUCCUUCUAUCUAUGCUUAUUUACAAGAAUACCAUGUAUUAAUUGGAACAUGGAGUGACCACCCAGAAAAACAGUACAACCAUAAGACCAACGGGCUCUGGUCUUGGCUAAUUAAUUAGAGACUCUAGUUUGCGAUAGUCUUAAUGAAAGGGCAAGAGGAGUACAUAGGUUGUGCGAUGGCUUGUCUAGACAAGGGGUGUAUGCACCACUUGGGGGAGGGUUCAUCCCCUUAUGUGGAAGCCUUAGCGGGUUAUCACUUAUUAGGGAAUCUUUGUAAAUGCCUCGUAGCGUCCCUAUACAAUCACACCUCGGUAGUGUGAUAAGUGCUUUGUACAGCAUGGUUGGGUCCAAAGUUUUUCUGAACUUUUACGCGACUUGUGAUGAAAGUGUAUGAUCUCUACAGAGUGUAAAAUUGAUAUAUCAGCCGCGCUCACGGUCAAGAGUGGCCUGGACCCUCGCAUGAUUAAUAAACUCGAAGAUGGACUUAGAUCGUUAUUCUGGUUAUUUCUUGUGGCCUUGCUGAGUACCAACCAUAAGUGUACUUACCCUUGCUUACUGCUACUUAGGAGAGGAAGGUGUGUGAAGUUUCUCUGAAGAUGAUGCUGAGUUCUAGGCAUACGCAACCCCUAGUCGAUUGCCUGUGAAGUUUGGAGCCUCAAUUUCCAGGAUUAAGCUGUAUAUCUCUGAUAGACUCGUAAGUCUUUAUUUAUAUUUCUUUACGUGAUACUGUUACUGUUAUUCACUAAUGAUAUCUCUAUAUGUAUGAAACUAGAUCCUGUCAUACAUAUAGACAGCACUUGAUUUUGUUUUAAAACCGGGUGUGACACUAGAUCAUAAAACUAAAGAUCUUUACUGAUUUUGGUCUUUAAUAGGUUGAGCACAUAGACCACAAAGGUCAUCCAACUGAGAAAAUAACCAACACAAUUUACCGCAAGAAAUCUGAUCUCUAUAGUUCAAACUGUCAUUGAUACACUUGUCAACAAUUUGUAUACUAGAAGGGCACACUAUCAUGUACAAAUUGACAUGUAUGAAACUAGAUCAUGGCAUACAUAUACGCAGCACUUAAUUUUGUUUUAAAACCGGGUGUGACACUAAAUCAUAAAACUGAAGAUCUUUACUGAUUUUGAUCUUUAAUAGGCUGAGCACAUAGACCACAAAGGUCAUCCAACUAAGAAAAUAACCAAAACAAUUUACUGCAAGAAAUCUGAUCUCUGUAGUUCAAACUACCAUUGAUACACUUGCCAACAAUUUGUAUACUAGAAGUGCACACUGUCAUGUACAAAUUGACUUUAUGAUCAUCAAUACAUCCAAAUCAUAUAACUGUCUUUGAUCACAUAUAUCAGGUGCCAACGCCAAUGUCAAGUUUCAGCUAGCUGCACUAAAUGUAGCACAAGUGACCACUUCCAUUUUUCAGCAAGCACAACACAUAUCUUGCACUAAUGAUAACUCAAGCAUCCAUAAAUUCAGUUAUAACCAUGAGUAAUUGUUAUCCCAAGAAAUCAAGAUCAAUGCACAUGAGCAGGACCAAAUGACUCAUCUUUCUGAUUUUAAGAGUUGUGCACAUAAACAUUGUUGGUACCUCUAGUUGCAAAUAAUUUUCAGCUGAGCACCAUAAUGGAAAUUGUUUCUACUUUCUAAACCAAAAAUGACAUCACUUGGAUAUGUAAUCUCAGACCUUGGUCAUCAGUAAGAUAGGCUCACAAAUUAAUUUCUCCAUUGCUACUUAUCAAGUAAGCCUUUCAUUAUUUCCCAUAUACCAAACAUGUUGCACCCAAGUUAUUGCUAUAUCACAAUGCAACAUAUAUGCUAUUCAUGAAAUUAUUUGAGCAGCCCAAAGAUUUUAUCUAUCAUGUACUAAUUGAUAGUGUCUUUUGCUUGCUGUGGCAUGGUGUAUGUGUGCUAUGUUUCAGUCCUCAAAAGAUUCAAUUUUCAGCCCAAGCAUUUGACCAAGUGCAUAAGACCGUGCUCCAAUAAUCCAAAUAAAUUUUAGCCCUCAUGCAACCAUAGUUCUCUCAUUCACUUAAUUUUUUCAACUUCAUAUAAUUCUCAUAAUUCCUUCAUUCUCACACCCCAUUUGCAACAUAUACAAGAGCAGGUCAAGAGAAUGAUAAAGGGAGGGGAUUGACAAGGAGGAAUGAUCAACUGAGAUAUGAGAGAAUGAAAGAAACUUAUUGAUGAAUCUUUAAGGGAAUGCUUCACAUGAUAUUAGGAUUCUUGAAAUCUCCAAUAGCAACACCAUAUCAAAAGUAACCAUAGUUGGAGUUUAUAGAACCUAGUGACAUGCUUUCGAAAGUGCAAGAUCAUGAUGACAUGAAAUGUAAUGAAAAUAUUCCAAUAAAUUAAUACACGGUGCAUAUGCAAACAACAAAGCACAACUAACCAAGCAAUAUAACCUACACAAGGUUAGGCAAGAUGCUUCAAUGUAAAAACUUGUUACCGAGAUAGCAUUGGUUCUUGAUGUAGAACAAUCAUCGUCAUACUUGACUCCAUUUUGGUAUGAGAUAUAAAAUAGAUUAUUCAAAAUUAGCCAAGCCUCCAAUGCCUCUCAAAGUACCUAUUGAGCAACUUAAGAACUUUGUGGUACUCAAACCGGGUUGGAUCCUAGGAUGUUAGUCACAACAUAUUUAGGCACCCAAAUGGCCUUUGCAUGAAUUUUAGGUGAAUUAACAAUCUUAGCAUAAAUAAAACCAUUUCUAGCCUUUCUAAGCUAAUAAUGAUCAUUAUAGAGAAUAGGCUUAGAAACAUUACUCAUGGGACAAUUCUUACCAAUAUGUCCCUUUUCUCGGUAAUUGUAGCAAGUUGGAUUGUGUCCUUUAUGAAUUUUCUUCAUGUAUUGCUUCUUGUCGGUUUGCCUCUUUCUCGAUGUGUUUGGCUUCUAAUCAAGCUUGCUAGGACAACUUGAGGCAAAGUGUCUCAUUCCCGUAAACUUGAAGCACUUGAUGUGAGCAAUAUUCCUCUUCUUUUCUUCCUUCUUGCUCACUUUCUUUGCAUCUUUAUGUUUCUUUUGGUGCCUUCUAUUGUGCCUACUUUGGCUAUUGAACUCACCGCCAAACAUUGUCGGAGAAGAGACCGAAGCUCAAAGAACUCGACGACGAGAAAGGAACGCCGCAAGAGUAGAACGCCGCCGCCGCCUUGCAGUGGACUUACCAAUCCAAAACCCGGAUAAUGCCUUUGAAGCAAUUCAAACGCGUCACCAACGUACUCCCCUAGCUAUCAUCACAUCUAUUGAUCCCAUCACCCGCGCGAUGCCUUAGAACAAAUACACUAGACAGUUGGCUCAACUGGCAGAACUCGUGUAUGAACAACUUGAUCAGCAAAAUCUGAUACAGUCAAUCCAAUGCUCCCCAUCCCAGCAUAGUCAACAUGGCAGCAGCCAUAGAGGCCCUCCUUCCAGACCAAGCCAACUCGGAGGUGCCAGACCAAGCCAAUAUGGAGUAGAGGGUAGUCCGGCAGGACCCUUGGGAGGCCAUGGCCACCGUGUAGCUAACCCAGAGCCUGAACGCCCAGUAGAAGACCUCCACAACAAGAUCAAUGCCAGCCGCGACGCCCAUACCAUCAUCAACAGAUGGCGACAUGAGCGCGAGGAAGUCGAACACCCAGGAAAUGAUUCUGACAGGUUCCCUGCCUUCUCAAGACAUGUGAGGAGGACAAUUCUACCCGAAAAGUUCAAACCUCCAGGUAUCACCAAGUACAAUGGCAAGUAGGACCCAGUCCAAUGGCUCUGGUGCUACUCGUUGUCAGUACAAGCAGCUAGGGGAAACGACAACACCAAAGUCAUCUACUUCCCCAUCUCCAUGGAGGUGGUGCCACUCACGUGGCUCGAAUCAUUAGAUAAGAACUCCAUCGACUCAUGGAAAGACCUCAAGGUGGCUUUCACAAAUAACUACGCAGGGGCAAUGCAGCAUCCUAGCAACAGGAUCGACUUGUCCCAAGUCAAACAACAAAAAGGAGAGACCCUGCAGAGCGACUUACGUCGCUUCUUCGAUAAGAAGGCCACAAUCAUGGACAUCACGGAGCGCGACGUUAUUGACUGCUUCCAAAAUGGCCUCCACGACUGUCGGAUGUUUCAAGACUUCGGUAGAAGACGCCCCGCUGAUGUCAAAUCUCUCAAGAUAAUGGUACACAUGUGGGCAGAUGAAGAAGAUAGGAAGAUCGAAAGGUUUGAGUCCAAUUGCAAUAAGGGCCAGAAUAGCAACAAUCAGAACAAUGGCUAACGCAAUGAGAAGAACCACAACGAUCGUCCUAACAAUGACAACCGAAAUAACUACCCGGGAGGUCACAACCGUAAGCGCAAGCUAGACAACACCUCGCGGCAAUCUCUAAGUCAUCCAAGAAAGGUGGCAGCAAGAACCAAGACAGGCCCUCGUUCAAUGAGCUCCUAAAGAAAUAGUGCCCAUGGCACCCAUACCACAAGCACUCUGCGAUAGAUUUUUUUAGCUUACGCAGAGUCAUGAAGGACCUCCCAGAGCCAUCUGGCACCAAAGACAAGGGCAAGGCCAAGGAAGACGAAGAUGAUGGUGACAAUAGUAAAUUCCAGAACCCAUCCAACACUGUCAACAUCAUCUUUGGCGGAACCUUGGGUACUGCUACUAAGAGGUCCCAGAAACUCGCUCUUCGAGAGAUAAUGUCCAUUGAACCUGCAACGCCAACAUUCCUCAAAUGGUCUGAGGUACCAAUUACCUUCUUCAGGAAGGACCAAUGGACUAGUUUCUCAGACCUAGGAUGGUAUCCCCUUGUCUUGGACUCGGUUGUCGCUGGCUCUAGACUCAAUAAGGUACUCAUCGACGGCAGUAGCGGUCUCAACAUCCUAUUCGCCAAGACAUAGAAGAAUAUGAGCCUCGACAUCACCAAUAUGCUCACCCCAACAAACUCUCCUUCUAUGGUAUCAUCCCGGGCAAUGCGGUUGUACCCCUCAGAUAGGUGGUUUUGCUAGUUACCUUUGGGACCAAAGAACACUACCGGACAGAAUACAUCCGGUUCGAGGUAGCGGACUUCAAAACAUCAUACCACACCAUCUUCGAAAGACUAGCAUUGGACAAAUUCAUGGCCAUCCCGCACUACGUGUACUUAGUACUUCAGAUGCUGGGACCUAAGGGAGUACUCUCCCUACGUAGAGACUUGAAGAGGUCCUACGACUGCGACACAUCCAAGUACCAAACUCAAUGAUGCAAGUCUUCACCACAUCCAAGAAACUAUCCCCAUCAGAACUCAAGAUCCCAGAAAAGAAGUCAGAGACAACCAAGGUCAAGCCAGCAAGUGAAGUAGACAUCAAAGCCAUUGACCAUGAGACUGGUGAUAGAUCCAAAACAGUCCUGAUUGCCAUAGAGCUGGAUCCUAAAUAGGAAAGCGCGCUUAUCAGCUUCCACCGGGCCAACUAAGACAUCUUUGAGUGGAAACCAACGGACAUGCCGGGGAUGCCUAGGGAAUUGAUCGAGCACUCACUCAACGUGAAUCCAAAAGCUACACCUAAAAGACAACGCCUACGAUGAUUCAGCCAAGAUAGAAGGGAAGCCAUCAAGAAAGAGCUGGCCAAACUACUCAUGGUGAGCUUCAUAAAAGAAGUCUAUCAUCCAGAGUGGCUCACUAACCCCGUCCUGGUGCGAAACAAAAAUAACAAUGAGUGGAGGAUGUGUGUCGACUACACAGACCUCAACAAACACUGUUCAAAAGAUCCUUUUGAGCUCCCUAGGAUUGAUCAAGUCAUCGACUCCACAGCUGGAUGCAACUUACUCUGUUUCCUCAAUUGCUACUUGGGGUGUCACCAGAUAGCUCUCAAGGAAGAAGACCAUAUCAAGACCGCGUUCAUCACCCUAUACGAAGCUUUCUGCUACACAAUAAUGUCUUUCGGGUUGAAGAACGCAGGUGCUACUUAUCAACAGGCAAUCCAGGAGUGCUUCAAAAAGCAACUACACCACAACGUGAAGGCGUACAUGGAUGACAUGGUCGUAAAGACUAGAUAUCCCGACAACCUCAUUGCGGAUUUAGAAGAAACUUUCGCAAGCUUACAAAAAAUUCCAGUGGAAGCUCAACUCGAUGAAGUGCGUCUUCAGUGUGCCUUCUGGGAACCUACUUGGGUUCAUCAUUAGUCACCGAGGCAUUGAAGCUAACCCUAAGAAGAUCUCCGCCAUCACCGACAUGCAUGCCCCAUCGGUAAUCAAGGAUGUCUAGAAGCUGACUGGAUGCAUGGCGGCCCUCAACAGAUUCAUCUCAAGGCUUGGAGAAUGGGGCCUACCCUUCUUAAAACUAUUCAAGCGGCAAACAAGUUUCAGUGGACCGAGGAAGUUGAUCAAGCCCUACAACAAUUAAAGGACUUCCUGUGAAAGCCAUCGGUUCUCACAGCACUAAAUCCCAAUGAAGAUUUGUUGCUUUCCAUCACUGUGACUACUCACAUCUUCAGCACGGUGAUCAUGGUUGAAAGACCAGAACCAGGCCAUGUAUACAAACUACAGAGGCUUGUUUACUUCAUCAGUGAGGUGUUGUCAGACUCCAAAACCAGAUACCUGCCAGUCCAAAAAUUGCUAUAAGCAAUACUACUCACCUUGCGCAAGCUACAACAUUACUUCUAGGAGCACAAGGUCUUUGUUGUCACCAACUUCCCCCUGGGAGAAAUUUUCCACAAUCGAGAUGCAACAUGAAGAAUAUCUAAGUGGGCGGUAGAACUCAGAGCAUUGUCCCUGGAAUUCAAGUCGAGGACUGCAAUCAAGUCCCAGGCACUAGUCGAUUUCCUGGCAGAAUGGCGGGAGAACCAACUACCUACGCUAGCAAAGAAUCCAGAGCAUUGGGUCAUGUAUUUCGACAGAUCACUCAAGCUCAAGGGCGCCAGCGCAGGAGUACUCUUGAUAUCUCCCAAAGGCAAACAACUCAAGUAUGUCGUACAAAUAUUCUGGGAAGUAUCCAACAACGAAGCUGAAUACGAGGCACUUCUUCACAGGCUCCGCCUAGCAAUCUUGCUAGGAACCAAGCGAUUGUUGGUCUACGGUGACUCACUGGUGGUGAUUAAUCAAGUCAACGAUGAGUGGGAUCGCCACAAGGAGAACAUGGAUACAUAUUGCCUAGGAGUACACAAGCUAGAGAACAAUUUCUCUAGUUUGGAAUUCCACCAUGUAGUUCAUGACAACAACGUUGCUAAGAACAUCCUAUCCAAGCUUGGAUCUACUCGUGCUCAAGUUCCAACAGGGGUUUUCAUCCAUGAGCUAACAACAUCAACAACCACUAAUUGAGGUCCUAUCGCACCAGAUCGGGAGGUUAUGAUGAUCGACAUAGACUGGAGAAAUCCCUUCAUUGACUACAUCAAACAACACAAGCUACCAUCAGACAAGACAAAGGCCGAGCAAGUCUUACGGUGAAGCAAGAACUAUAUUCUAGUCGGAGACAAGCUUUACAGAAGAGGCACAACGUCAAGAGUACUCAUGAAGUGCGUCAUACGGCAAGAUGGCAAGGACAUACUGGAGGAGAUCCAUAAAGGCAUUUGAGGCAAUCAUGCAUCUUCACGCACGAUCGUGGGCGAAGCUUUUAGAGCACGAUUCUAUUGGCCUACAGCUCUCGCUGACACCGAGGAACUAGUCCACCGAUGCCAAGGAUGUCAAUUCUUCACCAAACAACAGCACGUCCCUGCCUACAAGCUGAUCACCAUACCACCAUCUUGACCCUUCGCAUGCUGGGGGUUUGACAUGAUUGGUCCACUCCCCACGGUGCCUGGAGGAUUCAACUGAGUGCUAGUGGCAAUUGACAAGUUUACUAAGUGGAUUGAGGUAAAGCCAGUAACCUACCCAAAGGCACACAGAGUACUCGACUUCCUUGAUGAAAUUGUCCACCGCUACAGCUUCCCCAAUCGCAUUAUCACAGACCUAGGCUUCAACUUCAACAAUCACAAGUUUUGGGAAUAGUGCAAGAAUAGUAGGAUCGACAUCCGGUAUGUCUCUAUCGCUCAACCGCGGGCUAAGCCUACAGGGCAAUCGCGCUACUUCCUGGUCUAUGGAUCUGAAGUUAUCCUACCUGCCAACGUCAUGAGGAAAAUCUCCUAUAGUCAAGCAGUACGAGGAAGGUGUAGCAGAAGAAACAAGGCACCUAGACUUAGACAACGUCGAAGAAGCCCGUUGUUCAACACUCGUCCAGUCUACAAGGUACCUUGAAGGAAUCUGCCGCUAUCAUGAUCGCAAUGUCAAAGAACGUUCAUUCAAUAUAGGCGAUAUGGUCCUCAAGCGUAUCCAAGACACUAAGGGGCUGCACAAGCUCAACUCACCAUGGAAGGAACCGUUCAUCAUCUCCAAGGUCACUGGACUUGGAUCGUAUAGGCUCUAACAUCUCUCUGGUGAAGAUGUCGACAACUCAUGGAACAUUGAGCAACUCUGUUAAUUUUAUCCCUAAAUUUUAUAUUCAUGUUAAUCGGUCGUCGGCCCUAGUGUUAGAAUUACAAUUCAAUAAAGCAGCCAUACUUUUUUGUCGUAAUUCAACUACUUAUUACUGCCUAAUUGCGGCUUGCAAAAGCAAGUUCGUAGAGUUAUUCAGCUCCCUGAGCAAAAUUGCCCAAAUGCGGCUUGUAAUAAAGUCUACAGAAUUUAAUGAGUUAUUCAACACACUGGACAAAAUUGUCCAAUCGUGGCUCGCAAAAGCAAGUCAAGUACAAAGCCAUACCAAGAGUCGUAGGUUACGUCCCCAACCGACCCAAAGAAUAGCCUAGCACUACUAGAAUUUCAGCUCUAGCCUAGCUCCACUAGCCUAAGGAUUACAAGAGUAGCAAGAGAGAGAGGGAGAGAGGCUUCAAGUGUGGUGUGUGUGCCAUACAUACAUCUAUGGGCCUACCAAAAGGUUUGGACAGUCGUAAAUAUGGGUUUGGACACCAAGACGCAUCUGACAUGGAAACUAUAGGUAUGCCCUAGAGGCAAUCAUGAGAUGAUGAUAUUCCAUUUGUAUCCAUGAUUUAUAUUGUGUUCCUUGAAUAUCAAUUAAAGGCUACUUGAAUUGAUUUGCAAUUAUGUGAAUUGUAUGUGAAACUUGUAUGGUUAUUCUAAAGUUGUCCCUAGUCGGAGUUCAUGUGAGGACACACAUGAAUAUUAGACUAGCACAUGUAUUAGUUGAUGACUAUGUUUCACGAGUCAUGGACAUGGAGAUGUUGAACUAAUAAUGUGGGCACAUGUGGAGACAUGUGCUAGGACUGACCCAACACGAGAAGUAGUUCUCUCUUUACACAACAUAUACGCUUUGUCCUUAGACCUAAGAUUGCCGCAUGUACUCAAGAUGGAUCGACUUACUUAGGGGCUAUGCCGUAACAGGGUAGUUAUAAAGGUAGCUUUCGGGUUUGUCAAGAAGCAUGCUAUGAGACAUGGUCAAUCAAGAUGGGAUUUGCCCCUCUCUGAUUGAGAGUGAUAUCUCUAGGCCCCUCGAGUGACCGGAUCUGAAAAUGCAUGGCCAUGCUACGUACGGUUAAGAGUUAACCUACAAAGGGAUUUCGAAUCAUAGGAUCGAGAAAGAGCGGUCAGCUUGAAGCUAGACCAAAUAUCGUGAGGCAAAGGGAAUAGCAUGUAUAUAAUGUUGUGAUGAUUCGUUUGAUAUGAUCUUCGUGUGUGUAUAGGAGUUGGCACGUCUUGCUAGAGGCCGCUACCAACUAUUGGGCCGAGUAGGAGUACUCGGGCCAUGUCUAUACGUAUCCGAACCCAUAGGGUCACACACUUAAGGGACUGGAAGCCCAAUUCGGAUGUGAUCCGAGUUGGAUUAGGUUUAGAAGUACUAAUGGGCCUCGGACCCAGAGGCCCGUUAGGAACCUCUAUAAAUAGAGGGGUGGGGGCGCCCUAGGGUUUACACCUUUUUGGCGAAACACAUCUGUUGCGCCUCCCACGCCCUCGCCUGUUGUAACUCGCGGAUCUAGCAGUCUAGCUUGCGACGCUUCCUUCCUGCACGUGUGGAUACCUUGGAGGUGUUGCACCUGCAGCACUUGGACGAGCUUCUGACGAGCCACAACGAGCCGCCGACGAGCCACGACGAGCCGACAACGAGCCGCGGCACGAGGGCGAUCUUGCUGCACGUGGACGAGCUGCUAAGGAGCUGUUGGAUGUCGACGUGAUCGACUACGUACGACUACGCUGAUCGACUUCGCUGCAUCGACGCGAAUCUACAUCUUCUACAUCAGUGCGUCGAGUGGUAAUCCCGUGAUCCUUAUACGGCAGUUUUUCUUGGUUUACGCGGUAGAAAAUUUUGAUUUGCGCUAGUGUAGCCUACCUCAUAUCCCAACAACUAUGGCACAGGACGGUGUAGUCUGCAUGGAAAGACAGGAACUAGUAGAGGAUUAGAAAAGUACUUGUAGUAAUAAGAGUUGAACUCCUCUAGUCGAAUCCGACUAGUAUUCUUGUAACCAACCGACCUGUAACCCUGCCCCCGGCAAUAUAAGGUGAGUAGCGACUCCCUCCAAAGCAAUUCAAUCCAACCAACACAGAGGAUGUAGAGUAUUACGCUAUUUAGCGGCCUGAGCCUAUAUAAAUCGUGUGUCUGCAUUACCUUCGAAAUCCUGAUCUCAGUGAGACCCACUAACCAAAACACAACCUCGGGCACCCCCCUCGGUAGGCUGUCGGGUCUAAACAUCGACAUACACUAUUGAUUACUACUGCAGUCUAACUAUGUCUAACAUCCCAUAGCAAAUGUAUAGCAUUCCAUAGUAAUACAAAGCAACGAACCCGCGAAUAAGAGAACUAAUCUCACUCAACUAUAAGAACUCGAAUAUGAACUUACUUUAUACCAAAGGAAGUCAGAAUUUGUAGAUGUACAAGCUUGGAGAAGGGCGCCGACAGACCCGGUACUUCCCCGAACUAUCCCUCAUCUCUCCCUACUCUAAGCACUAGCUAAGUAGCACCUAGCCUUUGCAAUGAAGCUCUAAACUCCUCUUAGAUUGUGUCUCUUGAAAUGAGACCGCUCCCCUUCUAUUUAUAGGCACUUGGGGUCCGCUCUCGAAGGAAAUAUUUAGGGAAUCUUCUACAACUGCCAUUGCAAGGCCGGUAUCUAGCGACACGUGGCGGCUGGAGGCGAGCGGAGCCAACAGGGGUUCGGCCGACCCCUGGUAACCACCUUAGCCAACCGCCUUUGGCUAGGUGGCUGCCAGAUGGGUCCUCACUUGGGUACGAGGUGCUUUGUGGUGAAUCUAGUCAGUUUACUCCCAUUUAUGGGCCCUUCAAUCCGUGUGCUUCCUCCUGAUUGGUUGAGAGUGUGUUUUCUCCUUUAAUGGACCUGCAUAUAAAUAUUCACCAACACUUGUGGAAUUUAUUAGUAAUAACUCCUACCACUACUAUUGAUGCUCAUCUUUUAUGUGUUUAUGCAAGAGUUGACGGUCUAGAUUUGAUACUUAACAGCCGUCAACAAUACCAUGUAGAGCACAUCUACACUCAAAGCACUAAAUAAAGCAUUAGUAGCUUGAGCAUCAAGAUGUAGGUAUUUCUCUUGCCCUUUUGUUGGAGCAUUAUCAUCCAAAGAAUGAGAAAAGCCCACAUCUAUGAUCCACCAUAUUUUUGGAAUCAUGGCAUGAAAAUAGAUAGACAAUCAAAUUUUCCAAAGAGCAUAAUUUGUUCCAUCAAAAUAGGUGCAUCACCGGUGUGUUCUAUACAACUAGUGGCCAUCCUUAUACUCUUGGGACGAUUAAGUCCACCAAAAUGAGAGACCAAGCUCUGAUACCACUUGUAGGAUCAAGGAGGCUGACUAGAGGGAGGUGAAUAGUUGGUACUAAAAAUUCUAGCAAGACUUAACCGAUAAAGAUGCGGAAUUAAAAUGAUAGGCUAAAACAUGACUACACCCCCAAAAUUCAAUGUCUUAACUAUGUGCAACAACACCCUAUGUCUAAAUCAAGGUUUACAAUCCUAGGGUGAGAAGCAAGCAAUUCAAGUUCAUCUAGUAAGAUUAAUUGCUUGAAAGUAAUUGCACAAAGUAAAUACCCUCAAGUAGACAAACCACAAUGGAGACACCGAAUUUUUUCCCAUGGUCUCGGUGACUUGCCGGUCACCCCUAAUGCAUGUUGAGGUGGAUUCAAUAUUCCAACCUGUCGUUGUCAAGAAUUACGAGUCAAGACUAUGGCAAGUGAAUUUGUUUUCUAUGCGCAUAAGGCUCGGAUGGUUGCGUGAGAGGACACGGGGUUUAUACUGGUUUGGGCAGGAAUAGCCCUACGUCUAGUGUAAGAAGCUGCUCGUGUUACUCACGCAGAGUUUGCAGUAGGGGUUACAAACGGGCGAGAGAGGGAAGCCGGUCCCAAGUCUCUGUGGGUGUGCACUGAUGCUCAUAUGGAAGGGUUGUGAGUUGGGCGUUUGGGUUGCUUGAGAGCGAUCCCUGGCUUGGGCCUCCUGGUCCUCCUUUUAUAGCGCAAGGAGGGGACUGGAGUUACAAUUAAGCCAGGAGUAAGGAGAAGUAAAAGAGAUAAGCAAGUAAAGUAAAGUAAAGCACAGGAAGAAGGACCGAGUCCCCGGGGUCGCCGCCUUCCCUCCUGGUUUUUGUCUCCUGUCAGCAUGACUGCCAGAGGAGGAUGGAUGUCGUUGGGCCCUGUAGAUGACCCAGCAGUCGGCCGCUGUAACCGAGCGUGCGGGACGUGCGUGGCGAUUGGCUAUAGUAGCCAUGUGUGGCGAUGAUGAAGAAUGGUCAUCGCAGUUGUGCACAUCGUGGAGGACAGUCGGCCCCUAUUGCCUCACGCUGCUAACCAGGAGGCGCAGCUACAUGCCCCUGCCGCCGGGCCGAGCGCGAAGCCGGGCGGCGUCCCCUCCUGUGCUAGGAGGCGUGGGCAAUGAGUGCCCUACGACAAACAGGGGAGGUGGGACGGUGCAGCUGUAGCCCCGUGCGGUCGUGGCUAUAGUGUUCCGCCCGAAAACUGUGGCGGGUCAUGUCGAGGAGCGUGGAUGUCUUUCUGCGCGCCAGAGCCGCAUUGCAUUUAUGGCGAGAUCGGUGGGGGCCCACGAGAUCCGCGCCCUCGUCUGCUGGUCUGCGCCUGCCCUUGGGCGAGGUGAAGCUCUAUCCGGUGGGUCCGGAUCCGUCCGACCCCUUCCGCCUAGGAUUGGGCGAGGCGAAGCCUUGCGUCGAGGGGUCGGGCGAGUCCGACCCCUUCCACCUAGGGUCGGGCGAGGCGGAGACCUGCCGUGAGGGAUCGGGCGCGUCCGACCCCUCUCGCUCGGGGGUCAGGCAAGGCGGAACUCUUUCGGCUGAGAUGAGGAGCAGCCUCGGGGGGUCGGGCACGUCCGGCCCCUUGUCCAAGGGGUCGUGCCAAGUUGGCGGAGGUUAUUGUUGCCGGAGGUGGGCCCAGGCCCUUAUGACUAUUGUUUAAGGAGCCUAAGGAGGUCGUUAAUAUUUCCCCCCAACAGUAGCCCCCAAGCCUUUGGUGGAGCAAAGAUGCUCCUCUAGAGGCUUUAUUCAUCAUUCGUCGGGGAUCCUUGUUUGUCCUGCAACCUGCAUUUGAUUAGGGAGAGAAAGUUUCGCUCGUUCGGCUUGGUCGGGAAGUUUGGGUAGGCAGGGUGUUCCGAAGAUGGCUCUGCGCAGGAAGAUUCCUUAUCGUUCCGGUGACCACCCCUGCUCCAAGACCCCAAAUUGUGACCACACGCGUGGCCAUCGGUUGCGACGCUAGCCCCCGAGCCCCCACGCGUUGCAGGAGACCGAUCGAGAGACUAGAUCGACUUUUGAUCGUUACCUCUCAGGCGUCUGUUCGUUGGGACGGAGGGGGUGAGCCGUGCCACGUUAUCCUCAUUGGACGAACCGUGGUGCUCGUUGAGCUGCGAACGGGUUGGUUCGAGUGGAGUCCCGAUCCCCGUUCGGGAGGGUUCGGCUCGGGCCAUGCUGGUGGCGUACUCCAGAUUCCGGACGGCCAGUUCAUAUAGUUCCCGAGUCCGUUCGAUUGGAUUCGGGGGCUCAUUGCCUUUCUUCGGGGGAAAACCAUGAACUUAAACGUCGAUCCAAACUCGAACGUGAGGUUGGGACGCCCUUGGCUUUCGCUCGCCUGGGUGGUGGUCGCUAGCGGACCCGUCCCCUCUCACCCCUUGCUCGGGGGUGUCCUGGGGCGACUGUCAAACCCACAGUGGGCCAUCCUUCGAACCCCUGGACCGUAAUGAGCCAUAGGAGCGUUUUCAGCUCCGUAUCCCCUUUUGACCUAUUGGUGGGCCCCGGGCCGUACGUGGAGGGAGUCCCGCACAUGAGCUCUCUGGGAGGUGAAGUGGCGGAGAGUAUCAGGCCCGCAAAACGAGGGAGGGGGAGACGUUCCCUACAGCAGAUCGUGCACGCGGUUUCCAAAAAAGGCAGGGGUGAUGGGGUACCUGGCGUUGCAUUAACUGCGAUUGGAUUGCUGCUUUCGCUUCUCGCGUGCCCCCCUAUAAGAUGAGGGAGCCGCCUUGCCAGUUCUGCCCCGAACUCGUCCUCGAGCCUUUCUUGCUUUCUUGUGCACUUUUCGCCUCCCCUCGCCCCAGUACAGCAGCUUUCUUCCCCGCCGUCGAGCCUUCCAUCCCCUUAGCGAUGCAGUCCUAGAUGCGCUUGAACUUUGGCACCUCAUGCGCCAACGGCCUCGUGAAGAAGGGCCUCCUUUGCGAGAGGACCGCCAAGGAUGAGUGGCGGUUUCCCAGGAGGGAAGAUGCGCCGCAGCCGGAUUACGGCUACGUCAUCUCGUUGGCACACUUCCACGAGCGGGGGUUCGCGGCUCCGCCAAGCCUCUUCUUCCGCAGGUUGCUGCACUACUACGGGCUCGAGCUGCAGCAUCUCAACCCCAACGGGAUCCAGCACAUCGUGGCGUUCGUCGCGCUGUGCGAGGGGUACCUGGGAAUCAAGCCCAACUUCUCGCUCUGGAAGUACUUCUUCACGGUCAGCCUGUAUCAGAAGACUGAGAAGAAGGGUAUGCAGGUGCGGGCAGUUUUGGUGCUGACGGGGUGCGCCGUCAUCCACCUCCGCCAGAAUCGCGCCAAGGACUACAUGGCGAUGAAGACCGCGGCGUGCCACAAGGGGUGGGACCAGCAGUGGUUCUAUGUGAAGAACUACUCCAAGUCCCCCUUGCCAGAGUUCACCGGCCGCGUCAUUACGGCGGCGCCGGACCACUGGUCGUACGGUCCGGUUGAGAAGGAGAAGAAGCACAUCGCCGGUCUUCUUCAGGCCAUCGACCGCGUGAAGGAGGAGGGCCUGACCGGGGCUGGAGUUAUCGGGGCGUACCACGCUCGGAGGGUGGCACCGCUGAUGCUCCGGGCCUGCGCACUCGGUGAUAUGGUUCCCGGCGCGGCGACCGAGGGCACCGUCCUUGCGACAGGUGUACUUGCCAACGUCGAGAUCGAGCAGCACGUCCGGGAGGCGCUGGAUGACAGGGAUGUCAUCUACCCGGUGCCCGGUCACCCGCCGAUGCGCCCGGACGAGGACUUCGUCACGCUGGUGAGAAUUUCGUACUCUCGUUCUUCUUUCCUGCAUUUCUUGGUCUGUCGUUCUGACACGGAGUCUCUGUAUCUACAGGGCAAUCUAACCCAGGUUGUGGCCUCGCGCCCGCUGGUGCUAUAGGACGCAAAGCGGCGGUGGCAAAACCGCCUCCUCGCUGAAAAGCAGAAGAGAAGGAAGGACAAAGAGACAGCGAGGAAGAAGAAGAGGGCCGCGAAGGUGUUCCAAAGGUGGGGGAGGGACGCGGCCAUGUCGGACGAUGACGACGACGAUGAUGAUGAAGACGAUGAGGAAGAGACCGAGGAGGAGGAGGAGGAGGAGUAUGUCCUGGUCCCCGCGCCAGGUGCGCUUGUCAUCCAGGACCAGCCCCCUGAAUCGGCCGCGGGGGGCAGGCCGAGCGGACUACCCACCCAGGGACCGGCUUCGUGGGGCUCGGUGGCCGCGCCCCAGGGGUCGGCACGGGGCGCGCCUCGGGGACCGACAGAGCCGACCCCCGACCCUCUGCCUGCAUCACGCGAGCAGAGGAGUAGCGCCAAGCGGCCGCUAUCGGAUGUCCCGGGGUUGGCGUCGAGCUCAGAGGCAAAGUGCGCUCGUUGCCCUCGCGCCGUGGCGAGGUAAGUGGAAACUUCUCGCGUACCUUGUUCCUUUCCUGGCAUCGAGCUGCUUUUGAUGAAGUUGUCGUCGUCUCGCAGUGCUGCUCCUUGGGACUUCGUCCCACCACUGGCGCCGAAGAAGGCGCUCCGGGUGUCGACCACCUCCGCGGGGCCAACCGUGGCCCCGCUGGGAGCGAGCGGCGGUGUUGUUGGAGAGGCCGCGGUGCCUCCUGCGGAGGUAGCCUUUGCGGCAGCGACUGGAAAGAGGGUGCUACAGUCGGGCACGGAGCUGAGGCCGACCCCUAUUCCGCCCUCUGCCUUCAUAGCCGACCCUGCGGAACAAGGUGUCGCCCCUGGGGUUCCUCCGCUCAGCGAGGUGAUAAACCUUGACGACGAGGCGGAGGAGCCGGCGGGGGAGGUGUCAGCGUCCAGGGCGUCGGUCACGGUGGUGGCAGUGAUGGCGGUGGAAACAGCAGCGGUGGCGGAGAUGGUGGUGCCUGCUCCGACGACGACGACGGAGAUGGCGGUGGCGGCGAAGACGGUGGUGCCUGCUCCGGCGGCAACGGCAGAGACGGCGGCGGCGGCGAAGAUGGUGGCACCCGCCCUGGUGACGACGGAGACGGUGGCGGCGGCAAAGACGGUGGCGCCCGCCCUGGCGAUGACGAAGAUGGCGGCGGCGGCGAAGAUGGUGGUGCCGCCCCGGCGGCGACGAUGGGGAAGGUGGCGUUGGGGCGGGCCGGAGAGUCCUCCUGUGCCCUCGUCUCGCUUGGUCGCGAUCCCAACACGUGGGGAGGGCCGACCGUGCGCUGGAUGUCCCUUGAGGACCUGCAGAGGCCCCGCUUCAUGCUGGACAACGUCGGGGAGCGGAAAAGAUGGCAGGCGGUGCAAGGCGGCCUUGAAAACGUCCGCGCCGCCCUGUCUUCCGCGAUGGGGGAGUUGGAUGGCGUUGUUGUCCCUGGUGGUCAGGUACGAUGUCCUCCUUGGUGGUUAUUUUUCUCUCAUUUCUCCAUCCCUCUUUUCUCUCGACAGUUCCUGAACGUAAAUCGUUCUAUAGGCCCUCUAGGAAUGCAGCCGGGGAAAGUCCAAGUUCCUCCGGCACGAGUGGGGGGUCUGGGAGCGCUUCGCCGCAGAGAUGUGGCGGACCGGGGAGCUGACCAGGCAGCUCGCCGCCGCCCAGCAGAACAUCACCGACCUGCGAGCGCGAGAGCAGGAGGCGCGGGAAGGCGCGUGGCGAGCGGAGGACAAGUUCCAGGCCAUUGUUGAGAAGGCUCGCCUUGAUGCCGAGGAGUUCCAGGCCAUUGCCGAAAAGGCCCGCCAUGAUGCCGAGGAGCUGGCUCGGUUGUGGAAGGAGCAUGAGGCCCUUCAAAAAACCGUUGAGCGCAUUCGGCACGAGCGACAUACGACUCGACAGGAGCACGACCUCGAGGCGGGCCGGAAGGUUGAGGCAGAGAGGGUGGCAGCCAACCUUGGGGCGGAGGUCAGUCGCCUUCAUUCGCAGAUGCAGGGGCUUCAGACCGCCGUGUCCCAAGGGCUUGACCAGGAACGUCUGUUGAGAGCUCAGUCUGAGGGUAAGGCUUUCAUUGUCUUCUUACCUGCAGCGUUGUGCUGGUUUCUGACUUGGCAGGCUUUUCUGGGUAGGCCUUGAGGCCGACCUCACCCAGCUGAGGGACGCCACCGAUUCGGAGCACGCUGAGCUCGCCAACCUACGGGACGCCGUUCGCAUCAUCUGCGAGGACCUCCACGUGGUCCAAGAGGAGGGGACGAGCACGCUGGUGGUUCGUGUCCUCGGGAUGUACCGGCAAGCCCUUGAGAUCACUCGGGAGGCACUCCACGUUGGUGUGAGGCGGGCUUUCGUCGUCUUUGGCUCCCACUACUCUGGCAUCAACUUCGACACGAUGAGCAGGGGAUAUGCCUUCGGCUACUCCGAGGCCGAGCUGGAUGAGAUCGACACAUUGGUGCUCAAUCCAGCGGAGGCCUUGGCAAAGCUCCUAGAGGAUGAGGCCAUCCCACUAGAGGACCCAGGGACGAGUUAGCUGUAUCAGGCCCGGACGCCCAAAAAUAUGUAAAUAUGUUAAGUAAUGUCGAACUUGCUUUUGCAAUGGCUACAGAGGCCCUUUUGGUUCAUGCAAUUUUUUCGGAAAAGUUUUUGAUCCUCUUUCUAUUUUUUGGGUUUGGAAAGAUCAGAGCAUAAGUCGAGCAUGUCAGGUUGCGCCGAUGAGUGAAGGCACCGUAGCUGCUGGGGCGUAGGUUUCUCGCGGUCCGAUCGGUCCUGCCCGAGCAUCAUUCGCGCACUCAUUUCUUUUCGCGCCCAAAUGUUUAGGAAGUGGGUCGGUUUGGAAAAAUGGUGUUUUGACAAAAAGCAAAGUGUCUUGGGCUAGAGCCCUUGAUAGCCCCUGAGGGAUAUGCGACCCUGGGGCAGAGCCAGGGUCAGAUAUCCCUAAGCUCGGGACGAAACUCUAGCGAAGGCAACUCAAAACUGCACCCUUUUUCACAAACUAAAAGAUGAUAGAAGUAUGUAUGUACAAACUUGGAAACAAUAGCUAAGGGUAGAAGCAUCUUAGCUGCUUGAUGUUCCAAGCGUUAGUGAAGAUCUGCCCGUCGGGGGUCGCUAGCUUGUACGUGCCCGGGCGUAGUACUUGCACGAUGAUGAAAGGGCCUUCCCAUGGAGGGGUCAGCUUGUGCCAACCUCUGUUGUCUUGGACAAGGAGAAGCACCAGGUCGCCGAUGUUGAAGGCUGAGCCUCGUACCUUACGACUGUGAUAGCACCGCAAAGCUUGCUGGUACUUGGCCAAGUACAGCAGGGACACAUCACGCGCUUCGUCGAGCUAGUCCUGCGCGUCCUCGAGAGAUGCUUGGUUCCCUUGUUCGUCGUACACCCUGACCCUUGGGGACCCGUACUCCAGGUCGGUGGGGAGGAUCGCCUCGGACCCAUAGACCAUGAAGAAUGGGGUGAAGCCGGUUGCCCUGCUGGGGGUCGUCCUCAGGCUCCAUAAGACCAUGGGGAGCUCCGCAACCCAUCGGCCGUCGAACUUGUUGAGUCGGUCGAAAAUUCAUGGCUUGAGACCCUGGAGUAUCAUGCCAUUGGCCCGCUCAACCUGUUCGUUCGUGAGGGGAUGUGCCACGGCUGAUCAGUCCACUCGGAUGUGGUGAUCAUCGCAGAACUUGAGGAAUUUCUUCCUGGUGAACUACGUGCCAUUAUCCAUGAUGAUGGAGUUAGGGACUCCGAAAUGAUGGAUGAUGUAGGUGAAGAAUUGCACUGCCUGCUCGGACUUGCUCUGCGCGACCGAUCGAGCCUCGAUCCACUUCGAGAACUUGUCGACAGCUACGAGCAGGUGGGUGAAGCCCUCGGGUAGGGCCCGACGAGGUCCAGACCCCAGACCGCGAAGGGCCACAUGAUGGGGAUGGUCUGGAGUGCCUGGGUGGGCAGAUGGGUUUGUCACGCGAAAAACUAGCACCCUUCACAGGUGUGCACCAUGCAGGUGGUGUCGGCUACCGCCGUCGGCCAGUAGAAGCCCUAUCGGAAGGCGUUUUCGAUGAGGGCUCUUAGUGUGGCAUGGUGGCCGCAGGCUCCGGCGUGGAUGUCCUGUAUCAGCGCUUUUCCUUGCUCGAUCGGAAUGCAGCGUUGUAGGAUGCCGGUGUGGCUCCGCUUGUAGAGCUCCUGGUCGAUAAUGACGAAAGAUUUGGCGCGGCAGGCAAUUCUCCGCGCCUCUGUCUUGUCCGUCGGGAGCAACUCACGGAGGAGUUAAUCGAGGUAUAGGGUUCUCCAGUCAGGCGGGGGGUUGGGCCCCUCUGCUGGGUUCGUGUCAAUUUCCAUGACCUCGGGGUCAAAGGGAUCGACCUCUGAGUCCAGGAUAGGUGGCGUGUUGCCGACCUCUCCUGGGUCGGCUCCCGAGUUCGGGACAGGUGGUGCAUUGUCGGCCUCUCCCAGCUCCUUGUAGCGGAUCGAGGGCUUGUACUGGUCGUUGAUAAAGACGCCGUCGGGGACUGGCUUUCGGCCGAACGCCGCCUUGGCCAGCUCGUCGGCUGCCUCAUUGAAGCGUCUUGCGACAUGGUUGAGUUCCAGACCGUCGAACUUGUCCUCGAGCUUGCGAACUUCGUUGCAGUAUGCCGCCAUCUUGGGAUUGUCUCAGCUCCACUCCUUCAUGACUUGCUCGACGACUAGCUGAGAGUCACCUCGGAUGUCCAGCUGUAGGAUGCCCAGCUCGAUGGCAAUGUGAAGCCCAUUGAGAAGAGCCUCGUAUUCAGUGACAUUGUUAGAUGCAGGAAAAUGGAGGCGGAUCAUGUACCUCAUGCACACGUCGAGGGGAGAGACGAAGACCAGACCCACUCCGGCGCGAGCUUUCAUUAGCGACCCAUCGAAGUACAUCGUCCAGUACUCCUGCUUCUCUGGCGCUAAUGGUGUCUGGAUCUCCGUCCACUCUGCAAUGAAGUCGGCUAGUACUUGGGACUUGAUGGCUGUUCGAGGGACGUAGGUGAUGCCCUGAUCCAUGAGCUCGAGCACCCACUUCGCGAUCCGCCCCGUGGCAUCCUGAUUCCGAAUUACUUCGUCGAGGGGGUAUGAUGACACGACCGUCACCGGGUGGGAGGUGAAGUAGUGGCGCAGCUUCCUCUUCAUGAUGAGGACUGCGUAUAUGAGCUUUUGGAUUUGAGGGUAGCGAGCCUUGGAUUCGGACAAGACCUCGCUAACGAAGUACACCGGGCGCUGCACCUUGAGGGCGUGUCCCUCCUCCUCUCGCUCCACCACUAGAGCCGCGCUAACCACCUGGGUGGUCGCCGUGAUGUAGAGCAGGAGUGGCUCUCCGUCGGUUGGUGGGACCAGAAUCGGGGCCUUCGUCAAGAUGUGCUUGAGCUGGUCAAGCGCCUCCUGGGCCUCGGCGGUCCACACAAAGUGGUCGGUCUUCUUCAGGAGUCGAUAGAGAGGGAGUCCUCGUUCGCCGAGGCGUGAGAUGAAGCGGCUCAGAGCCGCAAGGCAUCCCGUGACGCGCUAAACUCCCUUUAGGUUUUGCAUCGGCCCCAUAUCGCUGAUGGCCACUAUCUUCUCCGAAUUGGCUUUGAUGCUGCGCACGGAGACGAUGAAGCCGAGCAGCAUACCCCUCGGGACCCCGAAAAUGCACUUUUCGGGGUGGAGUUUGGUGCACUUGUCUCUCAGUCUUUCAAAAGCUAGUUCGAGGUUGGGGAUGAGCUGGUCGCCCAUCUUAGACAUGACCACGAUGUCGUCUACGUAGGCCUCAAUGGUUCGCCCGAUGAGGUCCCCAAAACACUUGACCAUACAUCGUUGGAACGUAGCUCCCGCGUUUUUGAGGCCGAACGGCAUUGUGACGUAGCAGUAGGACCCGAAAGGUGUGAUGAAAGAGGUCGCGAACUGGUCAGACUCUUUCAUCGCGAUUUGGCGGUAACCGGAAUACGCGUCAAGGAAGCUAAGGGUUUCGCACCCUGCGGUGGAGUCGACUAUCUGAUCUAUACGUGGCAAAGGAAACGGAUCCUUUAGGCAUGCUUUGUUGAGACCUGUAUAGUCAACACACAUUCUCCAUUUCCCAUUCUUUUUCUAUACAAGAAUAAGAUUGGCUAACCACUCGGGGUGGUGCACUUCCUUGAUGAACCCGGCCGCCAAAAGCUUCUAGAGCUCCUCACCGAUGGCCUUGUGCCUCUCCUCGUCGAAGCGGCACAAGCCUUGCCUCACCGGUUUAGAGCCGGCCUUGAUGUUCAAGGAUUGCUCGGUGACUUCCCUCAGGAUGCCUGGCAUGUUCGAGCGUUUCCACACAAAAAUGUCACUGUUUGCGCGGAGGAAGUUGACAAGCGCGCUUUCCUAUUUGGGAGAUAGGGUAGUGCCUAUCCGCACCGUCCUGCCGUCGGUGCAGCUGGGGUCGAGGGGGACCUCCUUGACGCCUUCUGUGACCUCAAAGGAGGUGGUGGACUGCUUGGAGUUGGGCGGAUCCUCGGCGCCCUCCGCAAGUCGGACCGCGGGGUCCUCUGAACAAGUGAUGGCCGUGGCGUACUCGUAGCACUCGACGUCGCACUCAUACGCCUUCUGGAAAGACGUGCCGACGGUGAUGACCCCGUUGGGCCUCGACAGCUUGAGCUUGAGGUAGCAUGAACUUGGCGUAGCAUGGCCGGCCCAAGAUGGCAUGGUAGAUCCCGCGGAAGCCCACCACCUCGAAAGUGAGGGUCUCCUUCAUGAAGUUGGAAGGAGUCCCAAAAGUGACGGGCAGGUUGAUCUGCCUGAGGGGCAUUGCCCGUUUCCCCGGCACAAUGCCGUGGAAUGGUGCCUCGCUAGGACGGAGACGGGAUCAGUCGAUCUCCAUGGCGUCAAGGGUCUCGGCGUAGAGGAUGUUGAGGCCGCUGCCUCCAUCCAUGAGCACCUUGGUGAGGCGUUUCAUGCCGACAAUGGGGUCGACGACAAAGCGGUAGUGUCAUGGCUGCAGGACACGCUCCGGGUGGUCGGACUGGUCGAAGAUUAUGGCGGACCUUGACCAGUCGAGGAAGGUCGAGGUUGCGGGGUUGGCUGCGUAGACCUCGCAGCAUUCUAGCUUUCGGUGGCGCUUGGAGUCGUAAGCCGCCAGCCCGCCGAAGAUCAUGAAGCAGCCGUCCACAUUGGGGUUCCGUCUCCGGUCGCCCUUCACUGGAUUGACUACAAAGUACCUCUUCAUGAGGUUGCAGUCCUUGUAGGCGUGCUUGGUGGGGAACUCGUGGUUCGGGCAUGGUCCCUCGAGCAGCUUGUCGAAGAAGCCGGGGGUGCCCUCGGGAGGCGGCUGUCCCCGUUUUCACUCGGCAACGGCCACGAGAGGAGCCUCGCGCCGUUGCUUGUUCUUCUUCUUUUGCUAGCGGUUGGAGGUGCCCUCGUCGGCGUCCUCCUCCCGCUUCGCCUUGCCCUUGGAGCGAUCAAAGAUCGCCCCAAUGGCCUCUUCGCCCAAGGCGAAGCUGGUGGCGAUGUUGAGGAGCUCCUCAGUGGUCUGCGGGCUCCUGCGUCCCAGCUUGUGGACUAGGGGUCUGCAGGAAGUUCCUGCCAGGAAGGCUCCGAUGACGUCGGUGUCGGCGAUGUUGGAGAGCUCGGUGCUCUUCCUAGAGAAGCGCCGGAUGUAGUCUCGGAGGGACUCAUCCGACCCCUGGCGGCAGCUCUAGAGAUCCCAGGAGUUUCAAGGGCGCAUGUACGUGCCCUGGAAGUUCCCUACGAAGAUUUUCUUUAGGUCAUUCCAGUUACAGAUCCGUCCCGAGGGAAUGUGUUCCAGCCAGGCUCGCGCCAAGUCGGCCAAGAACAGCGGGAGGUUGUGAAUGAUGAACAGGUCGUCAUCCGCUCUACCGCUGACAAGCAAGCCGGUAGUCGCUGAGCCAAAGCACGGGGUUUGUCUCCCCGGAGUAUUUGGCCACGUUGGUGGGCUGCCUGAAGCGCGCUGGGAACGGCGUGUUCAGGAUACGUGCGGAGAAGGCCCUGGGCCCCGCUGGGUCGGGGCUCGGGCUACCAUCUUCUUCGCUAUCAUAGCGACCACCAUGGUGGACAUGGUAGCCGCGGUCCACGCCAUCUUCCCUGUCCGCGCGGGAGCACCUCCACGCGUCCAGAGUGUCGCGGGCGUCGCGGACGGGACCGACGCGCCGAUGGACAGAUGGUGCCCCACCAACUACAGGCGGUAGGGUCCAUCGAGCGGGCGCGGCCCGGUUUCCACCAGGGGGAGGCUGGUGGACGGAUUCCCCACUCCUUUCGGGAGGCGCGGUGGGUGCUGCCCUGCUGGCGUUGUGCUCGCAUCGUCAGGACGUGGAGCUCUUCGCCUGCUGAACUGUGGCGCACUCAAGCAGGUUGCGCACCUCUUGGUGAGCCUGUCGCUCCUUGGGCAUCAUCGGCUCGAGGAGUCACCGAAGUAGUGUUGGAGGUAUGCCCUAGAGGCAAUCAUAGAGAUGAUGAUAUUCCAUUUGUAUCCAUGAUUUGUAUAUUGUGUUCAUUGAAUAUCCAUUAAAGGCUACUUGAAUUGAUUUGCAAUUAUGUGAAUUGUAUGUGAAACUUGUAUGGUUAUUCUAAAGUUGUCCCUAGUCGGAGUUCAUGUGAGGACACACAUGAAUAUUAGACUAGCACAUGUAUUAGUUGAUGACUAUGUUUCACGAGUCAUGGACAUGGAGAUGUUGAACUAAUAAUGUGGGCACAUGUAGAGACAUGUGCUAGGACUGACCCAACACGAGAAGUAGUUCUCUCUUUACACAACAUAUACGCUUUGUCCUUAGACCUAAGAUUGUCGCAUGUAUUCUAGAUGUGGAUCGACCUACUUAGGGGCUAUCAAAUGCUACGCCGUAACAGGGUAGUUAUAAAGGUAGCUUUCGGGUUUGUCAAGAAGCAUGCUAUGAGACAUGGUCAAUCAAGAUGGGAUUUUCCCCUCUCUGAUUGAGAGUGAUAUCUCUGGGCCCCUCGAGUGAUCGGAUCCGAAAAUGCAUGGCCAUGCUACGUACGGUUAAGAGUUAACCUACAAAGGGAUUCCGAAUCACAGGAUCGAGAAAGAGCGAUCGGCUUGAAGCUAGACCAAAUAUCGUGAGGCAAAGGGAAUAGCAUGUAUAUUAUGUUGUGAUGGUUCGUCUGAUAUGAUCUUCGUGUGCGUAUAGGAGUUGGCACGUCUUGCUAGAGGCCGCUACCGACUAUUGGGCCGAGUAGGAGUACUCGGGCCAUGUCUAUACGUAUCCGAACCCGUAGGGUCACACACUUAAGGGGCUGGAAGCCCAAUUCGGAUGUGAUCCGAGUUGGAUUAGGUUUAGAAGUACUAAUGGGCCUCGGACCCAGAGGCCCAUUAGGAACCUCUAUAAAUAGAGGGGUGGGGGCGCCCUAGGGUUUACACCUUUUGGCGAAACACACCUGCCGCGCCUCCCACGCCCUCGCCUGUUGCAACUCGCGGAUCUAGCAGUCCGGCUUGCGACGCUUCCUCCCUGCACGUGUGGAUACCUUGGAGGUGUUGCGCCUGCAGCACUUGGACGAGCCGCCGACGAGCCGCCGACGAGCCACGACGAGCCGACGACAAGCCGCGGCACCGGAGGCGAUCUUGCUGCACGUGUUCACGUGAUCGACUACGUACGACUACGUUGAUCGACUACGUACGACUACGUGAUCGUCUUCACUGCAUCGACGCAUAUCUACAUCUUCCGCACCAGUAGUGCGUCGAGUGGUAAUCCCGUUAUCCUUAUACGGCAGUUCUUCCUGGUUUUACACGGUAGAAAUUUUGAUUUACGCUAGCGUAGACUACCUCGUAUCCCAACAGUGGUAUCAGAGCCGUAGCUGCUUAGUUUUGGAUUCGGGAUGUGUGCAUAUGGAGAUAUGCGAGUUUUCAGUUUGAUCCAUGUCCUGGUUUCGUGCUUUUGCUGCAAUGGUAGUGUAAUGACAUACUCCUACCGGUCGGUUUCCGCCAUCGGAGUUAAGUGAUACACAUAAUUCCAGUUGCAGUGAGCGAAGAUCGUGGCGCUUAGAGACAUGUUCCAAACAUAGGCCAGGACUGAAAGGUUCAAUGUGUCUAAGGCCUUUGUUGAGAGCAAGCUAGCAGAAGGCGCAGCAGUAGGACCACACGUAAUCAAGAUGGUUGGUUACACUCAACGGUUGGAGAAGCUGGGCUUCCCACUGGGCCAAGAGUUGGCCACUGAUUUCAUUCUUUCGUCUCUUCCGCCUAGCUAUGGGAACUUCAUCUCGAACUACCAUAUGCAUGGGACGGAGAAGGGUCUGAAUGAGCUGUGUGGCAUGCUUAAAAUAGUAGAGGCUGACAUCAAGAAAAUCGCUAGUACCAGCCAUGUGAUGGCUAUACAGAACAAGCCUAGCUUUAAGAAGAAGGGUAAUUCUUGGAAGAAGAAGGGCAAGGCUGGAACGUCCAAGCCAAACCCAGCGCCCAAGGUUAAAGCUGGACCUGGACCUGCUCCAGACAAAGAGUGCUUUUACUGUCAUGAACUUGGUCACUGGAAGAGAAACUGCAAGCAGUACCUAGCUUCCUUGAAAAAUGGCGGAAGUAAGAGUACUUCUACCUCAGGUACGCUUGUUGUUAAUGUUAUAGACAACAUUUUUCUCGCUGAUACAAUUAUUAAUUCUUGGGUAUUUGAUACCGGAUCGGUUGCUCAUAUUUGCAAUUCGAUGCAGGGAAUGAUAAGAAGUAGAAGCGUGGAAAGAGGAGAAGUUGAUUCCCGCGUGGGCAAUAAUGCAAGAGUUGCUGCGUUGACCGUCGGGACGAUGCAACUCCACCUCCCGUCAGGAUUUAUUAUGGAGUUGAAUAAUUGUUAUUUCGUUCCUAGUUUAAGUCGAAACAUUUUGUCUCCUUCAUGCUUGAUGAAGGAUGGUUAUUCAUUUGUGAGUGAAAACAAUGGUUGUGUGAUCUCUAAGAAUAAUAUGUUUAUGGCUUUUGCACCCAUUGUGAAUGGAUUAUUUGUUUUAAAUCUUGAUGGUUCACCUGUCUGUAAUGUAAGUGCUAAAAGGCCUCGGCCUAAUGAUUUGAGUCCUACCUACUUGUGGCAUUGUCGUUUGGGUCAUAUAAGUGAAAAGCGCAUGAAGAAGCUCCAUUCUGAUGGACUUCUAACUUCGUUUGAUUUUGAAUCAUAUGAGACAUGUGAGGCUUGCUUGCUAGGCAAGAUGACCAAGACGCCUUUCACAGGAUUUCCUGAGAGAGCAGUAGACUUGUUGGAACUCGUACAUAGUGAUGUAUGCGGACCAAUGAGCAUGACGGCUAGAGGAGGAUUCCAAUACUUCAUAACUUUCACUGAUGAUUUUAGUAGAUAUGGCUAUGUCUACUUGAUGAGGCACAAGUCUGAAACCUUUGAAAAGUUCAAGGAAUUUCAGAAUGAAGUUGAAAAUCAGCGUGGCAAGAAAAUUAAGGCCUUACGAUCUGAUCGUGGAGGCGAGUAUUUGAGCCACGAGUUUAGCAAUCAUCUAAAGAGUUGCGGAAUUGUUCCACAACUUACGCCGCCUGGAACACCUCAGAGAAACGGUGUGUCCGAGUGAUGUAAUCGAACUUUGUUAGACAUGGUUCGAUCAACGAUGAGCCAAUCGGACCUACCGUUGUCAUUUUGGGGAUACGCUCUAGAAACAGCAGCUUUCACACUUAAUAGGGUACCAUCUAAAUCCAUAGUUAAGACACCAUAUGAGAUAUGGACUGGAAAGGUUCCUAGUUUGUCUUUUCUAAAGAUUUAGGGAUGUGAAGUGUUUGUCAAGCGACUUCAGUCGAACAAGAUCACACCCAAGUCGGAUAAGUGCAUUUUCGUGGGAUAUCCAAAGGAAACUUUGGGAUAUUAUUUCUACAACCGAUCAGAAGGCAAAGUGUUUGUCGCUCGGAAUGGGGUUUUCCUAGAGAAAGAGUUUCUCAAAGGAGAAAAGAGUGGAAAGACAGUGCAUCUUGAAGAAGUUCAAGAUGAGCCGAUCGGGCAAUAAUCAAUGAGUGAUGCUAACGUAGCAGAACAAGUUGAGAUACCCAUGGCAAGAGAAACACCGCCACAACCACGAAGGUCGGCAAGGCUCCACGAAAUGCGGGAAAUAUUAUUGUUGGACAAUGAUGAGCCUGCAACAUAUGCAGAAGUAAUGAUGGACCCAGACUCCGAAAAAUGGCAGAGUGUCAUGCAAUCCAAAAUAGAGUCCAUGGGAGACAAUCAAGUUUGGAACUUGGUUGACCCGCCUGAUGGUGUUAAAGCCAUAGAGUGAAAGUGGAUCUAUAAGAAGAAAAAGGACAUGGAUGGAAAUGUUCACAUCUAUAAAGCACGACUUGUCGCAAAAGGUUUUCGACAAGUUCAAGGAGUUGACUACGACGAGACCUUCUCGCCCGUAGUAAUGCUUAAGUCCAUUCGGAUUAUUCUAGCUAUAGCUGCAUAUUUCGACUACGAGAUAUGGCAGAUGGAUGUCAAGAUAGCUUUCCUGAAUGGAAACCUAGCUGAGGACGUGUAUAUGAUACAGCCCAAGGGUUUUGUCGAUCUGAAAAAUGCUGGAAAGGUAUGCAAGCUUCAGAGAUCCAUUUAUGGAUUGAAGCAAGCAUCUAGGAGUUGGAACAUUCGUUUUGAUGAAGUGGUCAAAGGGUUUGACUUCACCAAGAACGAAGAAGAGUCUUGUGUUUACAAGAAGGUUAGUGGGAGCUCUGUAGUAUUUCUAAUCUUAUAUGUGGAUGACAUAUUACUGAUUGGAAAUAACAUUCCUAUGCUUGAGUCCGUAAAGACUUCACUAAAAAUAGUUUUUCGAUGAAGGACUUAGGGGAAGCGGCAUAUAUUCUGGGCAUUAAGAUCUAUAGAGAUAGAUCGAGAAGGCUUAUAGGUUUAAGCCAAGAUACUUACAUUGACAAAGUGUUGAAGCGGUUCAGCAUGGAAGAGGCAAAGAAAGGGUUCUUGCCUAUGUCACAUGGCAUACAUCUCAGCAAGACUCAGUGUCCUUCGAUUGCUGAUGAGUGGGAUCGCAUGAGUAGAGUGCCAUAUGCCUCGGCUAUUGGAUCUAUCAUGUAUGCAAUGAUAAGUACUCGCCCAGAUGUUUCAUAUGUGCUAAGUAUGACAAGCAGACACCAAUCUGAUCCAGGUGAGAGUCACUGGACAGCGGUGAAAAACAUUCUUAAGUACUUGAGAAGGACUAAAGAUAUGUUCCUCGUCUAUGGAGGUGAGGAGGAGCUCGUUGUAACAGGUUACACCGAUGCUAGUUUCCAAACCGACAGAGAUGAUUCAAAGUCACAAUCAGGAUUUGUGUUCACGCUAAAUGGUGGUGCUGUUAGUUGGAAGAGUUCCAAGCAGGAGACGGUGGCCGAUUCUACGACAGAAGCCGAGUACAUCGCGGCUUCGGAAGCCGCGAAGGAAGGUGUUUGGAUAAGGAAUUUCCUCAUUGAGCUUGGUGUGUUCCCGGAUGCGUCCAGCCCAUUGAAUCUCUACUGUGAUAAUAAUGGGGCAAUUGCGGAAGCAAAGGAGCCAAGGAACCACCAGAAGAACAAACACGUAAUGCGGCGAUUUCAUCUCAUUCGAGACUUCGUUAACCGGGGUGAGAUCAAGAUAUGCAAAAUACACACGGAUCUAAACAUUUCUGAUCCGUUGACAAAACCACUCCCGCAGGCUAAGCAUGAUGCGCAUGUAAGAGCUAUGGGUAUUAGGUACCUUCUAGAUUGACUCUAGUGCAAGUGGGAGACUGUUGAAGGUAUGCCCUAGAGGCAAUCAUAGAGAUGAUGAUAUUCCAUUUGUAUCCAUGAUUUGUAUAUUGUGUUCAUUGAAUAUCCAUUAAAGGCUACUUGAAUUGAUUUGCAAUUAUGUGAAUUGUAUGUGAAACUCUUUACUUGUAUGGUUAUUCUAAAGAUGUCCCUAGUCGGAGUUCAUGUGAGGACACACAUGAAUAUUAGACUAGCACAUGUAUUAGUUGAUGACUAUGUUUCACGAGUCAUGGACAUGGAGAUGUUGAACUAAUAAUGUGGACACAUGUGGAGACAUGUGCUAGGACUGACCCAACACGAGAAGUAGUUCUCUCUUUAAACAACAUAUACGCUUUGUCCUUAGACCUGAGAUUGUCGCAUGUAUUCUAGAUGUGGAUCGACCUACUUAGGGGCUAUCAAAUGCUACGCCGUAACAGGGUAGUUAUAAAGGUAGCUUUCGGGUUUGUCAAGAAGCAUGCUAUGAGACAUGGUCAAUCAAGAUGGGAUUUUCCCCUCUCUGAUUGAGAGUGAUAUCUCUGGGCCCCUCGAGUGAUCGGAUCCGAAAAUGCAUGGCCAUGCUACGUACGGUUAAGAGUUAACCUACAAAGGGAUUCCGAAUCACAGGAUCGAGAAAGAGCGGUCGGCUUGAAGCUAGACCAAAUAUCGUGAGGCAAAGGGAAUAGCAUGUAUAUUAUGUUGUGAUGGUUCGUCUGAUAUGAUCUUCGUGUGCGUAUAGGAGUUGGCACGUCUUGUUAGAGGCCGCUACCGACUAUUGGGCCGAGUAGGAGUACUCGGGCCAUGUCUAUACGUAUCCGAACCCGUAGGGUCACACACUUAAGGGGCUGGAAGCCCAAUUCGGAUGUGAUCCGAGUUGGAUUAGGUUUAGAAGUACUAAUGGGCCUCGGACCCAGAGGCCCGUUAGGAACCUCUAUAAAUAGAGGGGUGGGGGCGCCCUACGGUUUACACCUUUUGGCGAAACACACCUGCCGCGCCUCCCACGCCCUCGCCUAUUGCAACUCGCGGAUCUAGCAGUCCGGCUUGCGACGCUUCCUCCCUGCACGUGUGGAUACCUUGGAGGUGUUGCGCCUGUAGCACUUGGACGAGCCGCCGACGAGCCGCCGACGAGCCACGACGAGCCGACGACAAGCCGCGGCACCGGAGGCGAUCUUGCUGCACGUGUUCACGUGAUCGACUACGUACGACUACGUUGAUCGACUACGUACGACUACGUGAUCGUCUUCACUGCAUCGACGCAUAUCUACAUCUUCCGCACCAGUAGUGCGUCGAGUGGUAAUCCCGUGAUCCUUAUACGGCAGUUCUUCCUGGUUUUACGCGGUAGAAAUUUUGAUUUACGCUAGCGUAGCCUACCUCGUAUCCCAACAAGUAGGGCCACUGCGGCGAUGAUGUUCUGGCUGGCGUGUGCGAGGAGUUGAGGAUGAUCCUUAUCCUCGCAGAUGCGCCGCUGAAUGUCGCGCGCCCAUUGAUGCGCCCUGCCUUUGUUGCGGGGCGCUCGACCUCCUGAUUGGGCGUUGCGCGCGCCUCUGGCAAACGUGGCCGCUCCGGGACCCUGGUGAGGGCCCCGGUUGGAGCUGCGGCGCGCGGUGGGGGGUGCGCUGCCUCCCUUCAGCGCCAUUGUCAUUGGACCCCUUGGAGUGCGUGUCAGCUAUGAAGCACUCACGCGAGGGGUGGUGGCUCCCGUUGUCGGAGCCAGCAUCGGAGGUUGUCCCCAUCACGCCCACGAACUCGUUGUUCAUGGGUGGCACGAUCAUGGACCGUGCCAAGAGAUGACCAUAAGUCAUCACGGCAUUGCACAGGCCAAAGGGCCACUCCUCCGAAGGAGGCCCCGCGGUGCGCGCCCGGCGGCUCACCACCAUUCCGGCAGCGGAGCCGGAGGCGAUGGGGUGAGCGGGCAGGACGAGGUGAUGAAUCAGCUCGAUUCCCUCCCCCGUGGCGAGGAAGUAUAGGCUCCCAAAGCGGAUGUGGAGCCGGGAGCAAAGCCGAUGUUGUGGUUGGCCAUCUGAAGCCGGUGAUGUACGCACAAAUGUCCCCUACUUGGCGCACCAACUGUUGUUGUCAAGAAUUACGAGUCAAGACUACGGCAAGUGAAUUUGUUUUCUAUGUGCGUAAGGCUCGGAUGGUUGCGUGAGAGGACACGGGGUUUAUACUGGUUCGGGCAGGAAUAGCCCUACGUCCAGUGUGAGAAGCUGCUCGUGUUACUCAUGCAGAGUUUGCAGUAGGGGUUACAAACGGGCGAGAGAGGGAAGCCGGUCUCAAGUCUCUGUGGGUGUGCACUGAUGCGCAUAUUGAAGGGUGGUGAGUUGGGCGUUUGGGUUGCUUGAGAGCCGUCCCUGGCUUGGGCCUCCUGGUCCUCCUUUUAUAGUGCAAGGAGGGGACCGGAGUUAUAAUUGAGCUAGGAGUAAGGAGAAGUAAAAGAGAUAAGCAAGUAAAGUAAAGUAAAGCAUAGGGAGAAGGACUGAGUCCCCAGGGUCGCCACCUUCCCUCCUAGUUUUUGUCUCCUGUCAGCAUGACCGCCGGAGGAGGAUGGAUGUCAUUGGGCCCUGUAGACGACCCAGCGGUCGGCCGCUGUAACCGAGCAUGCGGGACGUGUGUGGCGACUGGCUGUUGUAGCCAUGCGUGGCGAUGAUGAUGACUGGCCGCCGCAAUUGUGCACGUCGUGGAGGACGGUCAGCCCCUGUUGCCUCAUGCUGCUGACCAGGAGGCGCGGCUACAUGCCCCUGCCGCCGGGCUGAGCGCGAAACCAGGCGGCGCCCCCUCCUGUGCUAGGGGGCGUGGGCAAUGAGUGCCCUACGACGAAUAGGGGAGGCAGGACGGUGCAGCUGUAGCCCCGUGCGGUCGUGGCUAUAGUGUUCCGCCCGAAAACUGUGGCGGGUCAUGUCGACGAGCGCGAACGCCUUUCUGCACGCCAAAGCCGUAUCGCAUUUACGGCGAGAUCGGUAGAGGCCCAUGAGAUCCGCGCCCUCGUCCGCUGGUCCGCGCCCGUCCUCGGGCGAGGUGAAGCUCUGUCCUGUAGGUCCGAAUUCUUCUGACCCCUUACGCCUGGGGUCGGGCGAGGCGGAGCCUUGCGUCGAGGGGUCGGGCGAGUCCGACCCCUUCCACCUGGGGUCGGGCGAGGCGGAGACCUGCUGCGAGGGAUCGGGCGCGUCCGACCCCUCUCGCCCGGGGGGGUCGGGGGAGGCAGAACUCUUUCGGCUGAGAUGAGGAGUGGCCUCGAGGGGUCGGGCACGUCCAGCCCCUUGUCCCAGGGGUCGGGCCAAGUUGGCAGAGGUUAUUGUUGCCGGAGGUGGGCCCGGGCCCUUAUGACCGUUGUUUAAGGAGCCUAUGGAGGUCGUUAAUAUUUCCCCCCAACACAACCGCUCCUUUAUCAAGGCUCCGCUUGAUCUCAAGCUGGCAUGGAUUAAAGAACCGCUCCAUACCUUAAGUCCACCAGAGUUUCUCUUCACCACUUGGAUGAGGCGAGCACAAUGCCUCUCACAAGCACACCGGGCCUUCUCACAAACUUCUCUUGAGAAGAUCACCAGAUCACAGCACCACCACGCCGUCUAGGUGUCGGCAACCACCAAGAGUAAUAAGUCAAGACACACUUGACCCCCCACCAAGUGCCUAAAGGUCAAUCUCAUAUGCAAAUGCACUUGGAUCUUGUCUCUCACCCUCUCUUAUGUCCAACACAUGCACAAACUCAUGGGAAGGAUUUGUAAAAGCUCAAGAAUGCUCAAAUGGAUGCCUAGCACUAGCCAAACAUGUAGGAAACUAGGUAUAUAUAGGCCACCCCUCAAAAACUAGCUGUUACAUUCAAAUCUCGUGGAAACAGAGUUUUAGCAGACUGUCCACCCUUGUAGGUGUGGACAGUCCGCCAUUCAACCCAACAGCUAUAUUUUCAAUAAAUGCACUUCAGAAUCGACCGUUACGUCUACGGUGGACUAUCCACGGUACAAAGCCCGGAUGAUCCGCUAGUCAUUUCCUAUUGCAACCACAGAACCAACAUGUUUAUAUCCAGCCUCAAAAUCGAUACCGGCAGACCAUCCGCUCCUCCGUGGUGGACCGUCCGCUAGUCCAUUUUCAGCACAAUCGAGACUUUGGUAAAAUGACUAUAACUUUUAACUUCGAUGUCCAAAUUAGGUGAUCUUGGACUCUAAGAAAAGCUCGUUCAUAGGACAACACAUCCCAAUUGAAUGCUUGACCCAAAACAUAUUGGAUCAACAUAUAAUUGUAAUAGCUGCUAAUUUAGUCAUUUAAAUGACUUUGGAGAAUUAAAAGAAAAUUGAAAAGAAAAGGAAAAGAAAUUGGCCGAAAAUCAAAUUCGGGUCAAAUUGGCCGAAAUUUGAAUUUUAAAUUCGAAAUUCAGAAAAAUUCGGCAAAAAUGUGGAAUGCAAGUGUGAGAGUGAUUAGAACUUAGAGAUCAAGAAUUUGGAACAAAAUGGUGCAAAUUAUCUCAAAGGAAUCAAAGAAAAGAAAAAGGAAAAUGGUGUUUACUGUUCCUUGUCCGAAAACAAGAACUCAGAAAAACAGCAGCAGAGUCUGUUUUUAAAAAUUGAAUUCUGAAGAAAUUUGCAAAUAAGUGCAUCAGGACAACUACACCAUACUGAAGUAUGAACUUUGGACUACAAGAUUUGGAUGUUGUUGGCCAGGAACAUGGAAGGGAACAAAUUCGAAUUGUAGCUCAAAGUCAGCACAUUGUCACAGUUUGACUAUCACUGAAAACGCCUAAGUCUGAAAAACAGCAGUAUAUGAGCAACUUUGGAUUUAAAUUCAGAGAGAUGGGGAUCAAAAGGGGUACUUGUUCAUGAGCAAAAUGGAACCUUGGGAUAUUGUAGAACACGUUUGAGAAGAAGUUGGACUGGAAGAACAAGGAUUGGGUCACUGAAUUGGUUCACCAAGUGAGAUCGACACCACUGUCAACUGACGAACUGAAACUCCAAAAUUCAGUGGAAAUUCAGUUGGAGCCGGUAAAGGAAUUCAAAUUGCACUGUGUUGGAUGUUUAUCUCGGGGUAGAACCAAAAUAAAAGUUGGAGAAUUCAAGAUUAUCUACAACAUUGGUUAAAACACCUAUGCACCGUUGGAUUGGGAAUCGGCCGCGGUGAAGCUCUGAAGAUCACGGGCGUUAGAAGAAGAAAAGGGGAGCGGUGACAGAGCAGCGGGACGUGUCGCCGCCGCCGUCGUCGGUCGCUCGCCAGCGCGCUUAGCUAGGCCACCUCCUCACCACAUAAGCCUACGGGUAGGCCACGGUGUCGCCCAUGCGCGCGGUGAAACACUUGAAUAACUACCGCUCCCGCGCCGCCGUUUUCACCGCCGUUCUUUUUACCGCCGCCAGCGCCUCCUAGGAUGGUGUAAGGGUAGCUGUUUGAGUCGGUUGUGCCGUCGUCGUGAGUAGCCACGACCGGCCGAGGGAGUCGCCGCCCGUCGCCGUGGAGGGGAUGGCUCCGACCAUCUCCCGAGGAGUUGUUGCCGCGCACGGGUGCGUGUAGGUGUAGGGGUGCCGACCUUGUCUAGCUUCGCCGCCGGGAGGGCGCCGGCCGGCGAGUCGCGCCGCCCCCUGUCGCGGGCGCGUUUUGGCGGGAGGAAGACGAAGCCUGGAGCAGCAGGCCGACGCGGCAGAGAGGCGAAGGGGUGAAGGGGGCCGGGGCGCGUGCGGUUGUUGGGCCGGCGCAGUGGAGGCCCAGGGAGCUGGCGCGGUCGGCCGAAAACAGAAAGAGGCCGGGGGCCCAGGGCAGCUAGCAGGCCGGCCUCGCGGGAGAAAGAGAAAAGAGAGGGCAGGCCGUGGGCUGGUGUCGGGCCGGAAAAGAAGAAGGGAAAAAGAAAAAUGGCCCACGGGGCCCGUCAGGGGGAAAAGGGCCGGCGGGUAGGAGGAAUAGGAGAAAGGUGGGGUCCGCACCAUGGGGCCCAGUGCGCGUGAGAGAGGGUAGAGCGGGGCUCAGUAAGAAAAGUAUUUCCGGGUGAUUUUCGGGAAAAAUUAGAUUUCCUUAGGAAAAUAACUAGUUUAAAUCCGUUUUACACCAUUUUAAUCACAGAAAUUUCUAGGAGUGUCCAAAAUUAGUGAAACCAAUUUUGUUAGGCUUGUUUUAUUUUCCUUUAUGCAUUAAAAUUUUUACACCCUAGAAAAAUAAUAAACCGGUGAGUGCCGUUAGACCUGACCUCGUUUCUUUAAUUUAUAGGAUGUUUGAAGAAGGCUACACUGAUAAGGAUGGGUGGACCCGCGGUCGUUACUUGGAUAAACCGGGAUUUGUGCAGUUGCUUUGGAAGACGUUACAAGAAUUGGGCUUUCACAAUCCCCCGGAAUAUUAUUGGAGAAGAGAAGAUACUGGCCACAAGCAAUAUUGCACUGUGUAUGUGCAUAUUCCGGAUGAUGACACCCGUCCUAAUUGGCGUCUGGAGGAGGUGAUGGAGUCGGGUUUUGAAUUUAAUGACACCAUAGAAAGGGUGGCCAUGACUGCUCUUACUGAACUAUGUGAAAACCACAAGGUGGAGGUAGGGUCGAGCUCUGCUCGAUUCUAUCCUAUCAAACAUCAAGAUGACGAGGUAUGGAGGAGAAGGAUUAAAGCUUUGAAGAACACUUCCCGAGUAGAGCACAAUGUUUUGGUUGCUGCUGCUUCUGAUUAUAUGACAGCUAUGUACAACUUGCAUCAAGCCUGUAUCAGAGAAUAUUAUAAUCAGAGGCAGAAGAAUGAAGACGCUAAGAUGGAAUUGAUGGGUGCCCGGUAUGACAAAGAAAUGUACAAGAAGAUGGCGAUGGAAAGAGAGCACGUUAUGGAGAAAACAAUGCGAGAGCAAUCCAGAAGAAUUGAGGAUUAUGAAGAAAAACUCAGAGUGAUGCAAGGGUUCAUUGAAGCCAGCAGGAGCAUGGCAGAUAGAGCAAGGGAGGAAGCUGAAUCAAAUGUUAAUAGGCUGGAAGCGGAAAGGUUCCAACAGCUAGACGAGAUCCUGUCCCUACGUCUAGCCUUGGAGGAGAUGCAGGCCCAGGUACCUGCACAAAAUAUUAUCAAUGUCCCACCGCCUCCACCACCAGAAGAGCCUCAGCCACCGAACCCGGAGGAAGCAGACCAAUUAGUACCUGUGAUAGAAGUAGAAGAAGAUCCGAUUCCACCUGCAGAUCCUGAGAUAGAUCUAUAUGCUCAUGAAAAUCUGGAGGGAUUUGACGUGGACAUGGAGGACGACCAGGGUGAAGUCCCUGCAGGAAAUCAACAGUUCGCUUGGGCCAAUGCCAAUGCUGAUGGACUAGAUCCUCAGGGCUAUGGACCCAUGCAGCAAUGGGGAGAAGAGGAACCCGAAGGUGAAGAAGAAGAAGAGGAUCCUGAAGAAAUGGAAGGAAACUCUGGAAUUAGCACCUCCGCAUCUGAUACUUCUCGCACCUGGAGCGACCCCGGGCUGGAAUCCGGAAGUGAAAAUUCCGUCAAUCAAGCCCCACCUGUUGCUCCCCCAGGGCAAACAUUGAUGACCGUGGACCAAGACACCCUGCAGGAAGCAAUGGCUCGACUGGGACUAAAUGCCGAAGAACUAGGCAUUUUCCCUAAUGAUGGUUAAAGUGAACUUUGUCUGAAAAGUGUUGUAAUAAAUUUUUGUAAGAUAUGCGUGUUGGACAAGUGGUACGAAGGGUUUUUUAAAAAGUAACUCCAGGGCAUGUAUUAUAAAUAAGUAUGUGUAUAAGUAUGGUUUGUGUGUGAGCAUACUAUGAUGUGUGACAUAAUAAUGUGCAGAAAAAUUGUUGAUAAAUUGCACCCUAGAUGUUAAUAUCCUGUUUACUCUUGGCAGUAUGACGGAUCCCAGAGAACCACGAGCUUCAGGUUCCGGAGGUCAGGAAGAAAAUUUACCAAGAGCACCCACGCUGGCAGAUGCCAUAGCCAGUCUUAUGAACUCCGGGGCAGAACAGGCCCGAUUACUCCAGAUGAUCGUACAGAACACUAGUAAUGGUGGACGUAGGCGAGAUCCGGAGCAGGGUGUGUCCUACACCCAAUUUCUGGAAACCCGUCCCCCAAUAUUCUUGAAGGCCGAGCAUCCACUUGAAGCUAAUGAAUGGCUUCAGGCUAUGGAACAAAAGUUUCGAGUAAUCCCCCAAUGUACUACCACUCAAAAGGCUGAAUUUGCAGGACUCCAGCUUCAAGGCCCCGCAGCAACUUGGUGGACCAGCCAUCUGGCCAGGCAGCCAGUGGGUAGGGAAGUCACGUAGAAGGAUUUUAAGGAAGCCUUCCGGACGCAGUUUGUGCCGGAAGGUAUCAUGAGAAUGAAACUGGAACAGUUCUUAGGACUGCAACAAGGAAAUCGCAGUAUUCUGGAAUAUACCAGUGAAUUCGACCACCUAGCCCAAUAUGCACCAGAACAUGUCAACACUGAGUCUAGAAAGAGAGAUUGUUACCUUCGAGGACAAAACGCAAGAAUGCAGGAAAAGUUGUCCACCUGCACUUUCGCUGACUAUAGCUCUGCGGUAAGUACGGCCAUUACCGCGGAAGAAAAGAUGAGAAUUUUGGAUGAAACCUUGAAGAAAGAAGAAGCAUUGAAAAGAAAGAAUAUUCCUUUUGGAAACUUUGGGAAUGCUCCACAGAGAAUGAAGAUGGUAUAUCGAGGUCCUCCUCGACCCAUGUAUCGACCAUCAUUUCAGCAGCGGCCUUUCCAGUCUUGGAAUGCUAGAGCUCCCAGUGCUGCCCCUCGUCCUAGAAUUGCACCACCUCUCGGGUUUCGUAACCCUACUUCUUCAGGGACUCCACAGGUUUGUUUCAACUGUGGGAAGCCAGGACACUUCGCCCGAGACUGUCAUUUUCCCAAAGUUGGGGGAAACGCAAACUUAAGGGCUCAGACCUCGGGCCAAGGCACUGGACAAAAGUUUGUCCGUCGUAAGUUCGUCAACACCAAGACGGGAAGAGCUCACUAUAUGAAUGUAGAAGAACUUCCCGAAGGAGAGCCUAUCCUGGCAGGUAUGUAUCUUGUUAACAAUUAUCCUGCCAUGGUUUUAUUUGAUCCAGGCGCAUCGCAUACUUUUAUAAGUAGAAGGUUUGUUACACAACAUCAACUAGAGGUCCAUACAUUAAAUGUCAAGUAUGCUAUUCAAGCUACUGGGGCCACACAGAAUACAAAUCAAGUAGCUCGCAAUGUGAUUUUAAACCUAGAAGGAAAUAAGGUGGGAGCUUAUCCUUUAAUUCUGGAAGAUCAAGGAAUAGAUCUUAUUUUGGGAGUAAAUUGGAUGAAGGAACAUAAAGUUCAAAUUAAUAUGGUUACUCGGGUCGUUAGCAUGAAAGAUGACCAAGGCCACUUUUUCGAGCUCCAAUUACCCGCUCAUCCUUGUUUGGACCAGAUGGUCAAAAAGACUAGAGCAGUGACUCUAGAAUCUAUUCCUGUGGUUAAUGAGUUUAUAGAUGUAUUUCCAGAAGAUUUGCCUGGGCUACCGCCUCAUAGAGCGGUAGAAUUCACUAUUGAGUUAGAACCAGGCACCGCUCCUAUCUCUAGAAGACCAUAUCGAAUGCCACCUAAAGAGCUAGCAGAGUUAAAAAUACAACUCCAAGAACUGUUGGAUAAGGGUUUUGUCUGACCAAGCACUUCACCAUGGGGCUGCCCUGCUUUAUUUGUUAAAAAGAAGGAUGGCACAUUAAGAUUAUGUGUAGAUUACCGCCCUUUGAAUGCGGUAACCAUUAAAAACAAGUAUCCGCUGCCACGGAUUGACUUGUUGUUCGACCAGUUGUCCGGAGCUAAGGUCUUUUCAAAAAUCGACCUUCGGUCAGGGUACCAUCAGAUUAAGAUAAAACCCGAAGACAUACCAAAAACAGCCUUUUCAACCCGAUAUGGAUUAUAUGAGUACUUGGUCAUGUCUUUCGGACUGACAAAUGCCCCAGCGCAUUUUAUGUACCUCAUGAACUCAGUAUUCAUGCCGGAACUAGAUAAAUUUGUGGUCGUCUUUAUAGACGAUAUCCUUGUCUUUUCUAAAAAUGAAGAGGAACAUGCGCAACACUUGUGCAUUGUUCUAAAUAGACUCUGGGAACACCAGUUGUAUGCCAAGUUCAGUAAGUGUGAAUUUUGGUUAAAGAAAGUUCCAUUCCUUGGGCAUAUACUGUCCGAAAAAGGAAUUGAAGUAGAUCCCGGAAAGGUCAGGGACAUACUGGAUUGGAAAUCACCAACCUCUGUUCAUGAAGUAAGAAGUUUCUUGGGAAUGGCCAGCUAUUACCGUAGAUUCAUCCCUAAUUUCUCAAAGGUUUCUAAACCAAUCACAGAGUUAUUAAAGAAGGGAAUAAAAUUUGAAUGGAAGUCGAAGUGUGAGGAAUCAUUCCAAGUCUUAAAAAAAUUGCUGACUACAGCCCCAGUGCUAGCUCAACCCGACAUCGACAAACCCUUUGAUGUAUACUGUGAUGCCUCAAGGACAGGCAUAGGGUGUGUUCUGAUGCAAGAAGGCAGAGUUAUUGCUUAUGCUUCUCGUCAAUUGAAGCGUCAUGAAGAGCAUUACCCUACCCAUGAUUUAGAGCUUGCUGCCGUAGUGCAUGCAUUAAAGAUAUGGCGACACUAUCUUUUAGGUAGUGAAUGUCGUAUCUUUACUGACCACAAAAGCUUGAAAUACAUCUUUACUCAAUUGGACUUGAACAUGAGGCAAAGACGGUGGCUGGAACUGAUUAAAGACUAUAAACUAGAAAUCUAUUAUCAUCCUGGUAAGGCUAAUGUGGUAGCCGACGCCUUGAGCAGAAAGGCCCAAUGCCACUGUACUACCAUCCAGUCUAACCUCAAGACCUUAUGUGAGGAAAUGCAGGACUUGAAUUUACAAAUGGUGAAACAAGGCACCCUUCGGAAUAUUAUGAUCCAAGAUACCCUAAAAGAAAAGAUUAUAACAGCCCAAAAAGAAGAUCCAUGGAUUAAGAUACUUUAUCAACAAAAAGCAGAAGGGAAGAUUCCUGAAUUUAAUCAAGAAGAAGAUGGAGGCCUGUACUUCAAAAACAGGAUAGUAGUUCCUAAAGAUGAGGACCUAAGAAGAUUAAUCUUGGAGGAAGCACAUCUGUCCAAGUUUUCCAUUCAUCCCGGAAGCAAUAAAAUGUACCAAGAUUUAAAGCAAAGAUUUUGGUGGGCCAAGAUGAAACCUGAAAUUGCAAGAUAUAUAGCUGAAUGUGAUACUUGCCAAAGAGUUAAGCCCAUACUACAAAAGUCGGCAGGUUUAUUACAACCUUCAGAAAUCCCUGUCUGGAAAUGGGAAGAUAUUUCUAUGGAUUUUAUAGUUGGACUGCCUACCACUUCAAAAGGAUAUGAUUCCAUCUGGGUUAUUGUCGACCGCCUUACUAAGUCAGCUCACUUUAUUCCAGUCAAAACUACUUAUCCGGUAUCGACAUAUGCCAAGCUCUAUAUAGCCCGGAUCGUAUCCUUGCACGGAGUACCAAAGACCAUUCUCUCCGAUCGAGGUUCCCAGUUUGUUUCCAGAUUCUGGGAACGAUUGCAAAAAGACAUGGGUACUACCUUAAUUAGAAGUUCUGCCUAUCAUCCCCAAACUGGAGGGCAGACAGAAAGGGUCAAUCAGAUUUUGGAAGACAUGUUGAGAGCAUGUGUCCUUACCUUCUCUAAGCUAUGGGAUGAAUGUUUGCCCCUAGCUGAGUUCUCCUAUAAUAAUAGCUAUCAAGCUAGCAUUAAGAUGGCACCUUUCGAAGCCUUAUAUGGUCGAAGAUGCCGGACUCCUCUAAAUUGGUCAGGAGUAGGAGAAAGGACACAUUUGGGAUCAGACUUGGUUAUGGAAACCGAGGAGAAGGUCCAGAAGAUUCGCAAACAUUUAGAAGUUGCCCAGUCCCGACAAAAAAGUUAUUCGGACAAAAGGAGACGGUCCUUGGAAUUUCAUACCGGAGAUUUUGUAUAUUUGAAAGUAUCUCCAAUAAAAGGAGUACAAUGCUUUGUAGUCAAGGGUAAGUUAGCCCCAAGAUAUAUUGGCCCCUAUGAAAUUAUGGAACGAAAGGGUCCAGUGGCAUAUAAGCUGUCAUUGCCAGACCAACUUGCUUCUAUACAUGACGUAUUUCAUAUAUCCCAGCUUAAGAAGUGCUUAAGAGUUCCAGAAGAAAUUUUAGAAGAUCUAGAAAUUGAGCUCGAGCCAGAUCUAACCUAUGACGAAAGACCUAUUAAAGUCCUGGAUCAAAAGACACGAGAUACCCGAACUCGGAGUAUCACGUUUUAUAAGGUGCAAUGGAAAAAUCAUACUCCGGAUGAAGCUACUUGGGAACAAGCUGAAGACCUAGAGUCUAAAUAUCCGGAAUUAUUGGAGACCGUUAGGAACAGAUGAACAAAAGCCACCACCCCACUAUCCUUGUACAGAAAAGGAAAGAAUGGUUGACCUGACGCAGUUUCCUUUCCAUUCUAAAAACCAAGGAUUUAACCCCGGGAAUCUCGGGACGAGAUUCUGUUAAGGGGGAGAGGCUGUAAUAGCUGCUAAUUUAGUCAUUUAAAUGAAUUUGGAGAAUUAAAAGCAAAUUGAAAAGAAAAGGAAAAGAAAUUGGCCGAAAAUCAAAUUCGGGUCAAAUUGGCCGAAAUUUGAAUUUUAAAUUCGAAAUUCAGAAAAAUUCAGCAAAAAUGUGGAAUGCAAGUGUGAGAGUGAUUAGAACUUAGAGAUCAAGAAUUUGGAACAAAAUGGUGCAAAUUAUCUCAAAGGAAUCAAAGAAAAGAAAAAGGAAAAUGGUGUUUACUGUUCCUUGUCCGAAAAUAAGAACUCAGAAAAACAGCAGCAGAGUCUGUUUUCAAAAUUGAAUUCUAAAGAAAUUUGCAAAUAAGUGCAUCAGGACAACUACACCAUACUGAAGUAUGAACUUUGGACUACAAGAUUUGGGUGUUGUUGGCCAGGAACAUGGAAGGGAACAAAUUCGAAUUGUAGCUCAAAGUCAGCACAUUGUCACAGUUUGACUAUCACUGAAAACGCUUAAGUCUGAAAAACAGCAGUAUAUGAGCAACUUUGGAUUUAAAUUCAGAGAGAUGGGGAUCAAAAGGGGUACUUGUUCAUGAGCAAAAUGGAACCUUGGGAUAUUGUAGAACACGUUUGAGAAGAAGUUGGACUGGAAGAACAAGGAUUGGGUCACUGAAUUGGUUCACCAAGUGAGAUCGACACCACUGUCAACUGACGAACUGAAACUCCAAAAUUCAGUGGAAAUUCAGUUGGAGCCGGUAAAGGAAUUCAAAUUGCACUGUGUUGGAUGUUUAUCUCGGGGUAGAACCAAAAUAAAAGUUGGAGAAUUCAAGAUUAUCUACAACAUUGGUUAAAACACCUAUGCACCGUUGGAUUGGGAAUCGGCCGCGGUGAAGCUCUGAAGAUCACGGGCGUUAGAAGAAGAAAAGGGGAGCGGUGACAGAGCAGCGGGACGUGUCGCCGCCGCCGUCGUCGGUCGCUCGCCAGCACGCUUAGCUAGGCCACCUCCUCACCACAUAAGCCUACGGGUAGGCCACGGUGUCACCCAUGCGCGUGGUGAAACACUUGAAUAACUACCGCUCCCGCGCCGCCGUUUUCACCGCCGUUCUUUUUACCGCCGCCAGCGCCUCCUCUGUCAAGCACCGCCGCCGAGCAAAAUUCCACCGCCACGUCUCACCUCCCGUCGAUUCCUUUCGCCCACUCCUCCACAGACACCCCAGCUACACCCCAGACCAGUUGUUGUCCAACAUCCAUGCCAGAAUAACCGUGCUCGCCGUUGUUUCUGCCCGCCGUCGUCGCGCCGCCCGCUCACGGUGAGCACCACCUCGCGCUGCUUCUCUUCCUUCUUGAGUAGUCGUAGUCGAGUCCUUAGGGUCCUAGGAUGGUGUAAGGGUAGCUGUUUGAGUCAGUUGUGCCGUCAUCGUGAGUAGCCACGAUCGGCCGAGGGAGUCGCCGCCCGUCGCCGUGGAGGGGAUGGCUCCGGCCAUCUCCCGAGGAGCUGUUGCCGCGCACGGGUGCGUGUAGGUGUAGGGGUGCCGACCUUGUCUAGCUUCGCCGCCGGGAGGGCGCCGGCCGGCGAGUCGCGCCGCCCCCUGUCGCGGGCGCGUUUUGGCGGGAGGAAGACAAAGCCUGGAGCAGCAGGCCCACGCGGCAGAGAGGCGAAGGGGUGAAGGGGGCCGGGGCGCGGGCGGUUGUUGGGCCGGCGCAGCGGAGGCCCAGGGAGCUGGCGCGGUCGGCCGAAAAUAGAAAGAGGCCGGGGGCCCAGGGCAGCUAGCAGGCCGGCCUCGCGGGAGAAAGAGAAAAGAGAGGGCAGGCCGUGGGCCGGUGUCGAGCCGGAAAAGAAGAAGGGAAAAAGAAAAAUGGCCCACGGGGCCCGUCAGGGGGAAAAGGGCCGGCGGGUAGGAGGAAUAGGAGAAAGGUGGGGUCCGUGCCAUGGGGCCCAGUGCGCGUGAGAGAGGGUAGAGCGGUGCUGAGUAAGAAAAGUAUUUCCGGGUGAUUUUCGGGAAAAAUUAGAUUUCCUUAGGAAAAUAACUAGUUUAAAUCCGUUUUACACCAUUUUAAUCACAGAAAUUUCUAGGAGUGUCCAAAAUUAGUGAAACCAAUUUUGUUAGGGUUGUUUUAUUUUCCUUUAUGCAUUAAAAUUUUUACACCCUAGAAAAAUAAUAAAAAUUCGGGUAUUUAUUUAAUGCCUUCCUUUUAAGGUAAUUAAAUAAAUACAUAAUAUUUAUAAAAUGUAUAAAAUAUGAAUAACACUUUCUUCAUCACAAAUUACUCUUAACUCAUAAGAAAUUAGAUUUUCAAGUUAGAAAAUAAUUAUAACUUUUCUAAAGAUAAAAGAAAAAGCUAUAAGGAGGAUUAAAUAAGAAAAAUAAAAUUGUGGGUUAAUCUUUUUGGGUUUUUGUGUGUUGGCUUGCAACUUUAUCAUGAUAGGUUGUAUAGUCCUUGUUGGCUUGCAACUUUAUCAUGAAGGAAAGUUGUAUAGUCUUUAAUUCAAAAUGUCGCAUUCUAACCCCUGCAUGUAUUAUGCCAUAGAUCUCGAAGCACGAGAAGGAGAAUAUUGGAAAUUUUCAGAAGGACCUUCGGAGUCCGAAGAAGUUUUUGAAUUAGUCCCUUGUGAAGCCCACCCGUCAGAGACUACUAACUUUUUUAACGAACAAGGCAAGCCCCGGUGCAUUUAUACCUAUCUAUUUUGAGAGUUAUUAUUUCAUGUGUCCAAUUAUCGGUUAUUUGCUAUAUGUAUGCACUAAGUCUAGGAGUUGCUUGAAACCUAUUCUGGUGUAUGAUCAUGCCUUGUUUUAAGGACAUCUUUGCCACUUGUUCAAACCUUAGAAGAUACCCAAGUCUAGAAUUGCUUACUUGCUUACAUGCUUGGUUUACCAUCCUUAAGGAAAACUUUUAAGUCAUACAUGUUGCUUAUGGAAGAUAACUUGGAAAAUGAAAACAGACAGAAGCUAGAGAUGUAGUUCUGUCUGCUAGAUUAAUUUGGUUAAGGCCCGAUUCGUUGUCUUAACCUUGGAUCAAGUGAUAAGCAUCUGAUCACUUACUGGGUAUGGGACCAGUAAAGCCCAGUAGGUUAGUAAACUCUAUGAUCAGGAAUACUUCGUACCCGCGCUUGACGUGCUGGAGAUUGGCAGGGGUGUAGCCUGAAACUCACAUGGUGAUCAGGCCAGACGUGGGGUCCCAUGUGGGGGUGCAUCCCUAGGUCCGGGUAGUCGUAUUCCUAAUCAUUGAAUUUGCUAAUCGAGAGGUUGUCAGAUACGACCUGGACAGUCGUAUAACGCUGGUGAUCAGGGUACUCUCCUGCAGGAUGUAAUUAGAUCCGGAUCGCCGCAAUUCUCGGUUAUGAAUGCACUUGAUCACUGUUGAGCAUCGUAGUAUCAAUUCAUGCAAUAUGUAUCCUUCUGUUAUCAACUGAUGUAUGACUUAACAGCUAUGGUUGUUUUUACUUUCUGUUAUCAUUUAGAAUGGUUAGGUAAUAACUUAACCCAAAUAAAAGAUAAAACUAAGGCAUUACUCGUAGUAAGCUUUUCGGCAAAAGUUAUACUAGCCAAACACACCCAAAAGCUAGCAUGCAUCCCAAAGAAAACUAUUAUAUUGGUUAGUCGGGUAAGACUUGCUGAGUACCCCGUACUCAGGGUUUUCCCCUUGUGGCUAUCUUUCAGAAGCUCCACGGGAGUCUACAGAGGAGGAGACCCCGAAGCCCUAGGGUAUUGACCUGAGUCUCACAAUACCCUAGAGAAAAAGUUCUACUUGCGCAUCUUCUCCUGAACUAUUUAUGUUUAAAUCUUAGAGCUUGUCUAACACUGCAUCACUAAGUUUGUUUCAACCUAUGUCCUGCAAUAACUCGUACCUUUUAUAUAUAUAUGUAAAAAUGUAAUGUUUGUUGAUAUUAUCCCAUCGCGGAUAUUAUCCUAAUGUAUGGUUAUGAAACACGCUGUGGAUCCUUCGAGGAGUCCUAGGGACACUCGACGGACUACCGGACUUAUGCUGUUUUAGGUGCGUUUCGGAUAAUUGUUGUUCCGACAGCGAUUAGGCGCACUUAAACCAGCUUAAGUUGGGCGGUUCCGCCACAAUAAUUGCAGUCCAAGAUGCACCACAACCCAUUACCAUCAACCAUUUGCUAAGCGACUUUUACAAAUUACCCGUUCCAUGCCAAGGCUAGUAUGCAUAUGCAAGAUUGAGAUUUUCAACACCUAGUAAAGACUCAAGCAUUAUCAAGACCCCUCUUAAUAGUACGGCAUUCUAUCUUAUCAACCCGGUCUUUUCUCCACUAAUCACCAAGACUGGCAAAAUAAAAUGCCUUACAUUUCAUACCUUUGCCUUGCGCAAAUCCACUUGGGUCUAGCUUGAUGCUAAUAUGCAUAUUAUGUCGAUCACCAUCAUUUCUUCUGGGCACUUGAUGCUCAUCAACAUAUAGACUCCGUCCAUUUCAUCUCAUUAAUACACUUGAUGUCGGUCAACACGUGAUUUCCAUCUUCUAACUCCUCACCACAUCAUUUCACUCUCACCAACACAUGAUGAUCCUUCAUUUCCAUUUCUUCAAGCCACGUGAUGUUCUUCACCACGUGAAGUAUAUCAUUUUAUUUC
rnacentral:lncRNA from 1 species